rnacentral:lncRNA from 1 species
GAGUUGUCCCUCAAUUUCAGCUAGGGUUUUUCCAAACUUCUUGAAGGCUGCUAUGGCAUUUGUAUCAGAAGUCCAAUACUCAGCACUGUCUCUUUGUCCAAGGUAGUACUCAUCAGAAGCAUGCCUCGACAAUAUUUCUAUGACUGAAAGAUCAAUCAGCGUUUGAAACUUCGGUGUAAUUGUUCUCAAGUAGGCCUUCUGAGGGUUGGUAGCUAGCUCAUUAUACUCGGUAGUACCUGCAAUAUGUAAAAUAUUUGAUUUUAGUCGCGAUAAAAUAAAUAUCAUUUGAUAUGAACAAAUUUUGCAGAGACUAAAACAAAACACGUACCUUUCUCAGGCAUUAAUCGCCUACUAAGAGUUGGACGGUUUAAUAUGAAACCUCCAUACGGAUAUUGUCCAAAAUUAACAGCUGCAUGAAGAGCUGAAGCAGUCCAUAUGAUAAUACUGCAAACUUGAAUCAACUCUUCGCGAGUUUGCAUUUUCGGCCACCAUGGCUCGUCUUUCUUGUCACCAUGACCCACUUCUACAACUUCUUUCCACCAAGAUUGGAGUUCAGAGUCCUGCUGAAUUUUUUCAUCUGAUGUGAAGUAUAUGGAGACGUAGUCUUGUACCCAUGUCUUAAUAGCAUCCCAAAUGUCAAGUCCAUCAACAGCAUAAGGGUAAUCCUCUAUGAGUAGACGAAGACCGUGAGGGGAAGAUGAAUCCGCAACUGCUAUUCCCCUAAAUAAACAAGAUCACAAUAAUUAUACUGGUUAAAUAUAUUGUUAGUCCUUAUAAAAUCAUGAUCGUUCAACUUUAAUCAUGAUUUUGAUAUAUUAUUUAUUGGUGUAUAUUUGUAAGAAUUACCUUUUGAUAAGAUCAGCAGGGAGGGCUUGGUCUGUAAAAACCCAAUCCUUAUAAACUUUUGAAGAUAUCUCCAUAGCAUACCCUCCCCACAAGAAUGUCUUUUCAAUAAUACCAUCUGCAUUGACUAAGGAUGAUCUAGCAAGUGCAUUUAUAUUCAUAGUAUCGCGAUAAUGUGGAUGUAAUAGUUUAUAAAUAGGAUGAAGCACACUAAGUUGUCUGUUUGUUGCUAUAACAAAUGGUUCAACAACUGCAUGAGUAUUUAACCUGCAAUCCAUCAAAAUUAUUCAUAAUCAAUUCAUAUACAUGAAGUUACAUUUCACUAAUAAAAAACAUAUAAAUUAGUAAGGAAAAUUUAGAUAGGAAAAACGUGUAAUUCUUCUCUAAUUCUGUCACUAAUUUUGUAACAACCGAAUUAGAGAAGGAUUCCAUUUGUUCAUUCACUAACUUUCAGUGCUAAUUUUAAUAUUUCGAUGUUUUACCAGUGGCUGACAAGUUGGUGAAAGCAUGAGUCAUUUACUAUAACAUAAGCCUUGGCAAGUAGCCAAACCGUAGCUUCAACACCUUCAAUUGCAGGCAAGUAGACGUUACUAACAACACCAAAUUGAUCUCCUUGAGGAUGUGGAAGACUUAACUCAAUGGCCAAAGGCUUUAAAGUUCCAUCACUUUUCAAGAAAAGGACGGUUCUUGAAGCAUAGGCCUUUGUGGAAGUUGAGUUUAUAAGCCUUAGAUAUGGAAUUAUUGUGUCAUGGUGUUCUAGCAAGAACAAUUUUUUGUUUUGUAUAGCCUGUUCAAAAAAUUAAUCACUUGGUCAAUUCUAUUCAUUGCAACCAUACCACAAUAAAUCAAAUUUGGCUAUAAAGAAACAAAAAUGCUUAUUGGUACCUCAUCAACAGUGAGACCGUCUAAGUUAAGCUGUAUGUGCUCUCUGGUUAUUGUGCUAGUAUGAUCACCAUAGACUGCACUAUCUAGCUUACUUUUUGGAGGAAACUCCUGUAAUAUUAUUUUAGAAAAUCAUGAAAGAAUGAUGUUAACAAUUAGUUUCAUGUUUAUUAACAAUGAACUUGUUAAGCUUACUUGGAGGCUGCGAAUUAAGCCAGGAUUUACACCAGCAAGAAUCUCUCUUCCAAAUUCAUCAUCAGUCAUCCAUGCAGACUUACUCACUACUCAAAAUAAUAAUGAUUAGUCCAUAAAUUCUUCACUAAUUUUUUUUAUUAAAUUUUAGUCGAAAGUGUCAUUUUAAAAACUUGGAUCUUCUCCAACCCUUUCAUAGAUCUCUCCUGUCAAAUUUCAAUUACCGGAUUAAUCUAAAAACUGAUAAUAUUGAUAGAUCAGUAUUUAGAUUAAUUCAAUUGUCGAAAUAUGACAGGAGAGACAUGAAGGCGAGCAAAGAAUCCAAUAAGUGGUUGUUUCGCAAAAGGUAUGAUAUAGUGAUAUACCUUGAAUUACUUUAGGUGUAGGAAACUUGAGGAAUUGUUCACCAUCAGUUCUAAAGAUUUCUGAUAACACUGGUAAAGGACUAAUUUGGCUAAGUAUAUCUGUUGGUAGCUUAAUUCCUCCUUCAUAUAGAUCAAGCACAUCAUCAAAGCUAUCAAAUUCAUUCGGUGUGAAGUUCGUGUCAAAUACAGAUUGUAUCAAUGGAAUUACAUCUUGAGAAACAGACUUAAGUCCAUAAACAAGAAAGUCUGAGGAUUUCAAGUGGCCGAAAGCUUCAUCUCUUGGAAUAUACACACUAGAGCUCCUGCUCUCACUGUUAGGAUCUGUUGUGAUAAUUCAAUAAAAAUUAUAAGUAACAGUAAAAUAUUUUUCAUUAUAAUGAUAUUUUUCGCCAAGCUGUGGUAGUUGAGCGAUAAAAGUUUGACUUUGUAAACUCAAGCGUCAUGUUUAAAUUUCAUUUAAGAUAGUUGUAAAAUAAUCAUUAAUGUCCCCGUUAUUCAUAGUAUUUUUCUGUCCUAAUUUUUUUAAAAAAGAAAAUAACUUCAUACCAUUACAUGCUAUGUAUCAAUGAGAUUCAUUCCUACAAAUUUUGUAUAAAAAAUUAAGACAAAAUCUAAUAAAGUAUUUACUGAAGUUUAUUAAAGAGAAGAAAAAAAAGAGAUGAGACAUGAAUCCAAGAACAUAGUCGAACCUGUUGCUGUUGGUUUUCUGCCCGUUCUUCCCCUACGAGGAUAAGGAAGGCUGCUAGAUCCUCCCAAAACUGGACGAGCGUAGCUUUGACCCUUGUCGGGGUCACCCAAAUCAUUGUAAACAUCAUAAUCAUAAACUCUGUCCCAUUCUUUGCGCUCCCCCGUUCCAUCUCCUCUUAAAGUCUUCAACUCUAAUUGUCUAUAGUAGACAAGUGGAGCAGGUGUUUCACUUGGUAGAAAAGUCUGCAAUAUAUUUUAUGUAUUUGAUGUUACACACUUUAAGAUUUUUUUAUUUUUUUUUAUUUUUUUAUUAUUGUUUGCUCAAAAAAAAAAGAUUUUUAUUAUUGGUAUAGUAUAUGUGAUGAUAAUGUAUGACAUCGGUUAGCUUGUUUCUCAAGCAACUAACAUAUUAAAUAACAUAUGCUCUUCCAUUUUCAAAAAUAAAUUUUUGUCACACUUAUUUGUUUAAUAAGGUGACCACACUCACCACCUUUAAUCAAUCAAAUUACGAGAUGAGUGUUUGUGAAAAAAAUAAAUAGAAGUGAUGUAUACAUAUCAAUCAUUCAAGCAAACUUGAAUAGAGAUGAGAGAAAUUUUUUCUAUACUAUAAAGUAUUAAAUUCAAAUACUAUUAGGUAGAUAGAUAGAUUGCUCUUACAUUGUUGGCGAAGAAAAUACGAUCAGUUAGGUAGUUUUUCGCAUUGUAAACCCACGAGUUGCAAACAAAGUGAAUGGUUCCAACGUUUGGGAUAUCAUCAAGAGUCAAACUCACAAGGAGGAACUCAGUUGACAUAAAGUUCUUAAUUUUGAAUGCUCCAGGAAUUCCAAAGUUGCUAUCAUAUUCAAAUUCAAUGCUGAAAGCUGUUUGUUUAUCUCCCAAUGUUGGCAAAUUGUUAAUUGCCUCUUUUAAAUAAGCUUCUUUUCCAAGUUUCCCUUCCCCAGUUACUGAAAAAUAUGCAUAAAUUAAAACAUAAAGUUACUUAUAAAGCAUAAAUUAAUUUGUACCAAGAUGGAGAAUAAUUUUAGUUAGUCAAGAGUUAUUGGGAAAAAGGAGCAUGUUCCUUAUCUCAAACAUUAAUUUUUCACUUUCUAAUUCGACAAAAAAAACUUACACCCAAUUUUAGUAGAGCUAAUUAACUGGAGACAAAUCGAUCGACCCAGAAAGGAAGUAAGUGUAUCAAAAAUCGAUCCAAACCCAUCUAAGGCUCCAUCGAUAAUCUUCGUAGGAUCAGUUAAGCUGUUGAUGUCCAAGACAUUCUUCUGCAUCAGCACCAAUGUGCCUUUGAUCUUAUCAUUCCCAAAUAGGAAAGACAUUUUUGCUUACCGAUCAAGCCACAAUAUUGUUAAAAUGGAUAGGAAGCUUGUGAGAAAGUCAAGCACACUCACUGCGUAUUUAUAGGCCAACAAGUAGUGUAGAGCUGUCAAAACGGGCCGGCCCGUAUGGGCCGGCCCGUUUAGCCCGAAUAAAUAUAGGGCUUGGGCCUAAAAUAUUGAGCCCGAAUUUUAAUAGGGCUUUUUAGCCCGGCCCUUAAAAGCCCGGUACCCGUUAGGGCUAGCCCGAAUGGGCCGCGGGUAGCCCGUUAGCCCGCAUAACAAAAAAAAAUUCUAUAAAUUAUAUAUAUUUUUCAAAUAAUUAUUUACUUAGUUGAUUAUCAAAGUAUAAAACAAAAGUGAAAAUUCAAUGAAUUAACACAAAUAUAAAUGUAAUAUAAAAUUAUAUUUAUUCAUUUCGUUAUUUAUAGUUUUAAAGAUCGAAUAUAUAAAUAUCUAUAACCAUAACAUAUCUAAUUUAUUUAAAAUCAUUUUUCUCGUCGUUUUAGUUUACGACGUUUGUACGAAAAUGUUUACAAUUUACUUUUGUGCUAGACAUUAAUUAAACAUAUUAAAAAUAUUAUUUAUAAAAAAAUUAUAGUAGUGUUUUAUAGUAUUUUUUAAAAUAAAAAAAAUAUAAUUUUUAAUACGGGCCGGCCCGUUUAGCCCGCGGCCCGUGUAGGGCCGGGCUCGGGUAGUAUAUUUCAAGCCCGUUUUGUCAACCGGGCUUUUUGGCCCGGCCCGCUAAAGCCCGAAGCCCGCUAGGGCCGGCCCGUUUAGGGCCGGGCCGCCCGUUUUGACAGCUCUAAAGUAGUGUUACAAUUUUGUUUUUAAUAACAAAUCAUGAGCUUAGAACUGAGAUAUUCCCAAGUACUUACCAUGUGCAAAAUGUGAAUGUUGAAAAUGAAAUAGUCUGUAUCAAACAAAGAAAGAGAUAAUAUUAUUUAAUCACUACAACACUCUUAUUCAUUUAGUGUAUUAUUUAUUCAUCAACAAUCAACAUUAUUAUAAACUAGCGUGCAAACAAAAAUUACACAUCAGUCCGAUUUUUUUACUCCCGUGAAUCUCGAUAUUUUUUCUUUCAAUUUUUCUCUCUGAUUUAGCCAAUAGAGAUAUCUGUCGAUGUCAUGUCACCUAGUGUUCUGCUUUAAAACUAAACUUUAUCUUAUUACAAAUCAGUCAUCAUACAAAAUAUUAAGGGGAAUUUCAAUCUUAGUGCACAAAUGCAAAUCUAUGUUUAAUUUUGAUUUAAUCAAGGACAUAAUUGCAAUAAGUAAAGAUAUAAUAACACACCUUAUAGAUAAAUGUAUAAUACACCAAAUAACCUGACGUGGCAUGACUUAAAUACACAAAUACUCGGUUGACCAUUUAACUUUACCUAAAAGACAUUUUCAUUAUUUCACCAUAAAAUUUUCCAACAACCACAAAGCUCGCCUUUCCGCAAUCGCCUUAAAGAAUACUCUUAUAUACAACAAUGAUGAUUUAACAUGUUCUAGGCUUAAAACUAAAACAAGUAAAACAUCUUCAAAAUAAUAUAGCUAAUGAUCAACCUCAAAACCCAGUUUUAUUAUUAAUCAUUAUUAUUUUAUAUAAAUACAUUUUCUUGAUAUAAUAAUUUAUGUUGGGGAUAAGAUGUUGAUAUUAAUUAAACCAGUGUUUUAAAACCUGGACCGACCCGGUCGGACUGGUCAUACCAGGAACCGGAGGGUGCAGCGGUUCGGACAGGCUACUAGAUUGGAUAUGGAAUUAGCCCGUUGAAAUCCGGUGUGACCCGGUUGGGUCAGUGGACGGACUGCUGAACCAGUUUAACCCACCCGACCCGUCCCGUUUUUUUAAUAUAUAGAAAAAUGAAAAGGCAAGGCAUAUAAAGACAAAAACCUUGUAACCAAAAAAAAAAAAAAAAAAAGACAAAAACCCUAGUAACACAUACUCCAAACCCAAAAGCGAUGGAAAUGAUGAAUACGGAUAUCAAGACUAUGACAAUUUGACUUCAUGGGCAUAAAUAGUUUAUUGAUUAGUGAAUUGUUAUAACUUAUUUGUGUUUCUGAUUUUUGUUGACUAUGUUUAGAACUUACUUGGGUUUGUAAAUCAAUUAUUUUUUGUUGACUAUGUUCAGAACUUACUUGAGUUUGUAAGUCUGUUAUAUUUUGAUUUCCAACAAUGUUUAGAACAUACUAUGUUUUAAUUUUUAAAGAUGGAAUCUGAAUUAGAACUUAUUUGUGAUGUUUUUUUAUGCGGUACUAUUGUUUAAUGUAUGAGUUCAUUUGAAUUUGGAUUGAAAUUAGCUUGAAAUUGAAUUGUGUUGCAGUUAAGAAAUUAACUUGCAAACUUGCAGCUAUGAAAAUAAAUUUUUUAAUGCACGAACUUCAAAUAGAAAAAAAUGAGAGGAUUUUUUUUUUUUUUUAUCAAAAUUUCAUUUUUUGUCAUAAAUAUUUUAUAUAGAUCGGGUCAAUAGUCAAGCGGUCUAACCAGUGACCCACUGGUUUGACCAGUAACCCAGCGACCCAAUACCUUGACUAGGUUGAUCUUCGGUCCGGGUUUUAAAAAAUUGAAUUAAACAUGUUUAUAUGCAUAUAUUUAUAUAGAAAUAGGGACAAAUAAAAUACUAUAUCCAUUAAUUAACUCUUAUUAUAACGAGGGAACAAUUUUGAUGCAUUGCCUUUGUAAAAAGGUUUACAAUGUCGAUCAAUCAUAACAUUUAUAUGUAUUACUUUCAAGUUAGAUAUGAUGAAACUAAUUUUUUUAAUGUUGAAUAAUUAUGAUUGAUUAACUAUGAAAACAACCUAGAGAAUUGCUGAUGAUACAUUGCAUAAGGUUGUGUCACACGAGUAAUUUAUCGAAAUGUCCCUCGACGGUUAACUGCCGAAUUAUGGAACCGGCUAUAGUUAACUACUGAGGAGCAUUUGGGUAAAUUAACUGCCGAGGAAUAUUUGAAUAAAUUACUCGUGUUUCUCAGCAAUGCAUAUGUGUCAGCAACAAUUCUCAACAAAUUAUGAUUAACUUACUGUGCAAGAACUUUUUUUUUUUUUUUUUGCUAAUAUAAAAUCUCUUUAUAUUAUCUGUGCCUAUGAAUUAAAUAUUUAAUUAAUGUCAAUUAUUGUUUUUUUUGACAAUAAUGUCAAUUAUUGUUGUUUUUUACUUUAAUUAAUGUCAAUUAUUGUUGAGCAUUGUUACUCAUAUUUUUCAAUAAUGACAACACGUACAAGAAAAUGCUUGUAUGCGAGAAUCGUGGUUCACGUGUACUUAAUUUUUUUAUCAAAAAAAUACCAAGAUGCCUUAGUGACUGGAAUAGUAGUUGACUUGAAACUUUUAUAACUUUUGUAAGUUACAUUCAAUAAAUGUGGGUAUUUAUCUGCUACAUAUAAAUAUAGGAGAUAAAUCUUGUACUGUGUGGAAAAUUGUUAUUUUGGUACAAUAUAAAUUUGUUUUUUAUUACUAGAAAAAUAGGAGAUAAAUCUUGUACUGUGUAUAAAUUUGUUUUUCCAAAUCCGGACCGGUGAUCGAUCCGGUCAAAGCAUUGGGUCGCUGGAUCAUUUGCCGAAUCAGUGGGUCACUGGUCAGACCGCAUGACUACUGAUCCGAUCUAUAUAAAAAUAUUUACGGAAAAAAAUGAAAAUUUUGAUAAAAAAAAAUCCACUAAUUUUUUUUUUUUUUUUUUUUGCUAUAUUUAUGUACAAGAUCAAUAAGUCGUUGAAUUAAUGAAAUGAAAUAUAUGAUUAGACUUAUUGAUCUAUGAAAAUACAGUCUUGUUAACGAAUGUCACGACAUAUUUUUUAAGGAUUUUAAAAUGAUAAAGGAACAUAUUAACAAGUGUUCUUAAUGUAAGAGUAUUUAUUUAAGCGUCUAAAAGUAGUAACUUUAAUAUUGCAAAUUGUGUAAUGAUUUUUACAAGUGUUUGCCUAAAAAGUUUUGAAGACAAAUUUUUUUGUUUUGUUGAUUUCUCAAACAAUGUCCUUAUGACCCUCCAUAAAAAAAUAAUAAUAAGGAUCUUGCUAACGAGUGCCCUCGGGGCAAUAGUUAAGGAAUCUACAAUUAAAAAUUUUGUCUUGGAAAUAUAAGGUGUUAUUUUGAUAAAGUAAUGAUUACACAACUUUUUUAUGAAAACUUACUUGUUUUUUGAUGCUUAACCAUUGUCCUUAGUACACUGGUUAGCAUUCUCCAAAAAAUAAUGCCCUUAGAACCCUUGUUAGCAAGACUUGAUAAGAAAUUAUUUCAUAAAACUGUCAAAUAUUUCAAUUUUCAAUAUAUUAAUUACACAAAUUUUUAUAAAAAAAUACCAUUUAAAUAUCUUAAAGAAUGUUUCAAUAGCACUUAUUAACAUUUUUAAAAAUAAACUAGUCUAUCUACCUUACAUGAGCAACUUAAUUGUGCAUAUAUAUUAAACAAAGUUGUAUGUAAUACUUAGCCUAUGAGACACCAAAGAAACAAAAUAGAUUUAACCUCACAUCAAAACAUCUAAACAUAAUCUUCAGAGUAUUUCAACUAAAACAAAAAUCUUUAAGAAAUAGACACGAAUUUACAACUUAAACCAAGUGGUUAAAUAGAAAAUAGAUUAAAAAGAAAAGCAGUAACUUAUAUAAUAUUUUUUCAAAGAGGAACUUAUUUAAAAUUUAUAGAUAGGUAUAUAUCUAUAUUUUAAAUAAGGAAGCAGUCUAUCUCCUCAAGAAAGGAAAUAAAAUAAGGUAGCGUCUAUCUUAUUUAAAAAGAAAAAUUGUAUGGCUUAUUUAAAAUUUUAUUGCAAAAGAGAUUUAUAUAUAAUCAAACUAUUAGAGUUAAGUGAUUAAUGAGCUUCGCAAAUGAAUUGUUUAGGAGAAUCUGGUUUCAAUUACUGAAUGAAACAAUUUUUGAUCAAAGUAUACUACUUAACUUACAUGUAAACUCCAAAUUACCAAGGUCCCUUUCUCCUUAGGAACCAGAGGGUUUAUACCAAGAAAAACGAGAGUUAUAUGUAAGUCUAUAUCUAUAACGAUGGGUGCUAUGAACCAGAGAUGGAGUUAGAAGGGGGACCAAUAGAGGCAACAACCUUCCCAAGUUUUUUCAAUUUUUUAAAUACUAGUAUGCAAAUUAUACUUUUUUUUUUUGUCUAUAUAUUUAUUUUUUGUGAACUUUGAAACAUUUGGAUUUUAGGUGUAAUUACACUAAUUCUUAACUAAAAUGUUUGACAACUAAUAAGAAAUGAAGUUUUGUCUGUAAUUUACAUAUGUACACUAAUCUUUAAUUAGAAUCUCCAUUUAUCAUUCCUAGUUGUUAUUUUGCUUUAUAAUUUUUGAAUCAUUGCAUGUGAGCUCUCGGGCAUUACCAAACAAUUUACUGCUUACAAUUUAAUCUUCCAUUUAUCUUCCUACUUUUGCAUUUUUUUUUUAAUAUUUUCUUUCUCCAGUAUACCAAAAUCAUAUUAGUAUGGUCAUUCUCUAACAAACCUCAAAAUUCUCAUCUCUUUUAUAUCGUUGAAAUUUCUUAAAAUUUGGAUGUAUUUUAACUUUAAUUAUCUCUUAUAAUUUCUUGUAUAUAUUAUAUGAAUUUGAAAAUUUAUUUUUCUUUUACUUAAAUGAUACUUUAAAACCUGGUCUUCCCUAAGUUUAAUUUUUGACUCCGUCAUGUAUGAACACUAUAUCUCUAACAUCCACCUUUUUUACUGGGUGAAACUCUUGUGGAUCCUACACUUUAGAAAUGGACCUCAUGUAAAAUGUAAAGUGGUGAGUCCAAACACGAAUUUUAAAGAUGUAUGCGUGGUUAAUUUAAGUCUUUUAGGGAGUGACGAUUGCCACAAAAUGACCGACCGCUUUGUAAGGAAGUCUUGGUGGGUAAAUGUGGUGAUAGAAUUCUAAAGUUGGUGGAUUGUGGAAGAGUUUGACUCUACAAAAGUGAUAGGUUUUUCUUGGAAGUUGCUUCUUGAUCAAAGUUCAGCUAGGAGAAAUUUAUUGUUGCAUAAGGCCGUUCCUUCAGAUUCUUGACUCUUUGUGUCUUUGUCAUCGGUCGGAGGAAUCCUCUUCCCAUAUUUUUCUCCAUUGCGAUAUUGCGUACAAUGUGUGGCCUUAGGGGUUCAAAUGAGCUUGGUUUUUCAUCGAUUACCCCUCAUAACUUGUUAAUGUAUCUAGAAAUUAUAAUAGGGGAAGCUAGCUAGGAACAACAAAAUCCAAAAGAGUUAUUGGCUAAUUUGGCACACUCUUACUUUGAUUCUUUGGAGAAUUAGGAAUAACAAAUGAUUCAAAGAUUUUUCAAAGAAUGUCAUAGAGGUGGUUGAAGAGGUAAAAUUGAUAUCAUAGAGAUGACGUUUAAUUAGGUUGAAAGUGAGCCUAUAUAGGAAUGAAAUCUGCACAGUAGUCCUCAAGGGCACCAUACCUGGAAUCCAAGGGUCUCUCCAAAACCAAUCUCCAUGCUCAUUAUCUAUUUGGUCUAGGUGUAUUAUGUGAUUACGGUACACAGGAGAACCAUUUGCAACAUCCUAGAUAUACAAAAAUACAAACCUUCUCAAACGAUACAAACCAACAAAAAAUAGGGGGACAAAUGCCACACCCAAAAGGAACAAGAAAAUAAAAGCAAAACAAAGUGGAAAAGGAAAAGAACAAGAAAAGUAUCUCAAAGAAAGACCAUGAGGCAUCUUGGUUAAUUAAAAAAACCAUGCUGAAGCAAAUAUUAUUCGGUUUUACUAAUUAAAUAAUAUGACAAAAUUAAUUUUUAAGUUUAAGGUGAAACAUGAAAGCUGCAUAUGAAAUCAAUGGUCUGGAAUGGUACAAGUACGACAGAUAAAAUAUUUCUUACAUUGAUGUUAAGCAAAACAUUAUAACAAUCAAACAAACAUACAUGCAUAAAAACAUGACCAUAGAUAGGGGUUGAGGGAAUUGAAUUCCUUCUUCGUAUGUUAUUCAUAGAAUUACUACAAGGGAACCUUUUUAGAUGGAGAUACUGUUAGGAAUGCCUCUGCAAGUCAAUCCUUCCUCACUAGAAGGAUAAAGCAAAGUAUACGGCAUCUUCACUGGUCCAUAUCGAUUCCUUAGAGUCUCAUCAUUGUUCCUUUGAGUGAGUUUUUGUUCAAUUUCAGCCAACUUUGUUCCGAAUCUCUUGAAAGCCUCUAAUGGUUGUGAAUCAGAAGUCCAAAGAUCACCUUCAAUUCUCUGUCCAAGGUAUUGUUCAUCAGAAGCAUGUCUUGACAAGACCUCUAUAAUGGUCAAGUCAGUUAGUGUGUCAUCUUUUGGUGUGAUUGUUCUCAAAAACGCCUUUUGAUAGUUCUUAGAAAGCUCAUCAUACUCGGGGGAUCCUUUCUUAGGCAUUAAUCUUCUGCUUUUAGUUGGUCGGUUAAGAAUGUAACCACCGUACGGAUAUUGUCCAAAAUUAACAGCUGCAUGAAGUGCUGAAGCAAUCCAUAUGAGGGUAGUGCAAGAGUCAAUCAACUCUGUGCGAGUUUGCAUCUUAACCCACCAUUUAGCAUUUUUCAAGUCACCGUGACCAACCUCUACAAGUUCUUUCCAAAAUGCUUGGAGUUCAGAAUCUUGUCCAAUAUUUGCAUCUGACUUGUAGUAGAAAUUCACAUAUUCUUCAACCCAUGACUUAAUAACAGCCCAUAUCUCUAAUCCAUCAGCAGCAUAAGGGUAGUCCUCUAUCAGAAGGCGAAGGCCGUGUGGGGAACUUGGAUCCUUAACAGCCACUCCUCUAGAUAACAAAAAAGGAAGAUAUCAUUAAUAUCAAAAUAAAAACUUUGAUAUCAAUAUAUUAUUAACGGAAAGUUUAAAAUUGCGGCAAAAUAGAGUUGAUGCGGCCACAACCAUUGAUGUUUAGACAUUAAAAACCUGAAUAUCCCAUCUUAGAUUGAGGUUGCGAACAAAUUUUCAAUCCUCUUUUUAACUAUUGAAUAUAUGUCUAGGAUCUAAUGUUUUUUAAGGUUACCUUUUGAGUAGAUCAUUAGGCAAACCUUGCUCUUUAAAAUUCCAAUCCUUAUAUAAUACAGCAGACAACUCUAGAGAAUAACUUCCCAUCAAGAACGUCUUCUCAAUAACACCCUCUGCAUUGACCAAAACAUUCCUUGCAAGUGCAUUAAUGUUCAUUGUGUCACGAUAGUGCGGAAGUAAAAGCUUAUGAAUAGGAUGAACCACACUAAGAUGCCUAUUUGUUGCUAUGAUGAAUGGCUCAACAACAGCAUGAGUGUUUAACCUGUCAGACAUAUAGAUAUUAAUGUAUAACUCAUAGAUAUAUAAAGCAUGUUUGACUCUCUAUAAUCUUUUCAAUUGAAUUUAUACCAAUGGCUGAUGAGUUGGUGAUGGCAAGAGUCGUUUACAACAACGUAUGCCUUGGCAAGGAGCCAAAUAGAAGCUUCAACACCUUCACUUGCAGGCAAGUAAAUAUCACUAACAGGACCAAAGCUAUCAGCCUGAGGAUGUGGGCUACUUAGCUCAAUGGCCAACGGCUUCAAAGUUCCAUCAUUUUGUAAGAAAAGGAAGGUUCUCGUAGCAUAUGCCUUUGUAUCAGCUGCAUUUAUUUUCCUCAGAUAUGGAUAUAACGAGUCGUGGUAAUCAAGUAUGUACAAUUUGUUGGUUUGGAUAGCCUAUUAAAAAAAUAUAUAAUUCAGUCAUUGCAAUAAUUUGAAUAAAAAUGAAACAAUUUUGCAAAACAAUACCAAAAUUAUUUAUUUCGAGUAUUGAUGUUAAAUUUUGUAAUUACUUGUUCAACUGUGAUGCCACCCAUGUUUUGUUGAAGCUGUUCUUUGGUUAUUGUGCUGGUAUUAUCACCGUAGAGUUGCCUAUCUAGCUUGCUCUUUGGUGGAAAUUCCUACAUUAAAUAUAUCAAGCAAUAAUAAGGUUAACAAUUACAAAACUACGAUGAAAAAUGGAUACAAAAUUCUUAUUUUAGUUUAUGUGUUUGCAUAACAAUUAUUAAACUAUUAAGUUUACCUGAAUUCUUUUGAUGAUGUGUGGAUUUACACCAGCAAUCAUCUCUCUUGUAAAUUCUUCGUCAGUCAUCCAUCCAGAUUGAUUCACUUUUCAAAGUAAGAGAAAUAUAAAAGUUUUAUGAAAUUAAUUUCUUUCCAAAUUUUGCAUGACUAAAUAUGUGUUUCUAAUGGAUACCUUUAAUGACUUUAGGUGGUGGAAACUUUAGGGCCGAUUCACCAUCAGUUCGGAAGAGUUCCUUGAAAAAUGGUAUAGGGCUAAGUUUGCUAAGUGUACUAGUAGGUAAUUUAAUCCCACCAUCAUAAAAUGAUCGCACAUCAUCAAAGCUGUUAAAUUCUGGCUUAUUGAAUUGUAAUGUAAUUGCAGAUUGUAAUUGAGGUAUGACAUUUUGAGAUACUGAUUUGAGUAUGUAAACAAGAAAAUCUGAAGACUUCAAGUGACCAAAUGAUUCAUCUCUUGGAAGAUAAAUAUACUCGCUCCGUCUCUCACUUUUAGGAUCUGCACAAAUACAAAAAUAGCAAAAUAUGCAUUAGCAAGAGGAAUGUCUUAGAAUCAUAAACAAAUGAAAAUUUGGAUCAACAUACUUAAGAUAUAACAUACAUAAAGUGUUUAAAUAAAAUAUAAAAGCAUAUAACCUUUCUUAGCUGGUUUCCUGCCGGUUCUCCCUCUUCGAGGGUAAGGCAAGGUGUUGGAUCCUCCAAUAACGGGACGAGCCAAGCUUGCUUUCUUGUCAGGAUCACCCACAUCAUUGUAGACAUCGUAGUCAUAGAUCCUUUCCCAUUCUUUACGCUCUCCUGUUCCAUCUCCUCUUAAAGUGUUCAACUCUUCUUGUCUAUAGUAGACUAAUGGAGGUGGUGUUUCACUUGGAAGAUAUGUCUAUAUUUAUAUUUUAGUUAAUAGUGUCAAAUUUUGGAAAAUGUAAGAUAUUUAAGAUGUAAGAUAAAUUUGAUAUUUUUUGAUAAUUACCUUGUUGGCAAAGAAAAUGCGUUCAGUUUUGUACUUUCGACAAUUGUAAAUCCAUGAGUUGCAAACAAAGUUGAUGGUUCCAUGGUUAGGAAUAUCUUCAAGUGUUAAACUUACAAGAAAGAAUUCUCCUAGCAUGAAAUUCUCAAUAUAAAAUGCUCCUGGAAUUCCCAUCUCACUAUCCCAUUCAAAAUGAACUUUGUAUGCAGACUGUCCAGCUCCUAGAAUUGGUGCAGAGGUAACAAAACCUUCAAGAAACGAUCUCUUUCCCACUUUACCUUUUCCACUUUCUACAAAUAUGUCACAAGUUUGUUUUUCAAUUUCAGUACAGAUUUAUAUAAAAAAAAAUAAAAUCAGUUAUGAUAAUUCUCAAAAGAAAUAUUAUAGCAAUUCAAAAUCUAAUACUUUUUUGCAGCGUUCAAUAUCUUUUUAGCUGGAAAAAAAUCACCAUUGAACUUAAAGAUUAUAGUAUCAUAUUAGUUAUGUCUGUAAAAUUUUAAGUAAAUUUAAAUUAAUUGAUAAAUAAUGGAGGUAUGUGAAGAUUAACUAUAUUUUUAUUAAACAACAUUAAUAUUAAAUUUCGUAUACGUCUCAAUAACAUAUAGAAAAAACUUUUGUUUUUUUUCUAAUCUACUUAGGGUGUUGCAGAUCCGUAUGCGCGCCAUUUGCCUAAAAAUAAUAACAUAUAAAAUAAUUCUAAAUUUCUAUAAAUUUUUUACACAGAAGAUCUAAAUAAUAUAACACUAAAGUUUAUCUAUCUCUAAAAAAAGUCCAAGGAUAGACCAUACUAAUUUUAGUAAACAAUAAAUUUUAUAAGGAAAAAUUAACAAAUACUCUUAAAAAAUUAUUUAUAGAAAUUAUAAUAAUUAUAAAAAAUGAAGAACAUGUGUAAUAUUUUAUCAAAGUUUAGUAAAGAAAAAUAGUAAAAUCUAUCUUUGAACCACAUGGUUAGAUUUGACGUAUAGAAAUCAAUUGUGAAUUUAAAAUAUGAAAAUUUUUACUGUAUACUUGCAAAUUGAAGUAUAUCGGUAUUUUUGUAUUGAAAAAAGAAAAAGAGAUUUUAUAACAAUGAGUUAUGAGUAUACAUCCAUUUAGUGAGCAUUAUGUUUGUAGACAGUAGUGUGAGAGAUUAAGUAAUUAUAAGAAGAAAAAAAAAAAAAAAGUAAUUACCAUCAGCACUAGUAGCACUAAUCAACCUGAGAGCCACGGAAGAGCACAAGAUUGAAGCGUAGGUGUCAAUUAUAGAGCAAGUGAGAUUACCAAGAACCUUGAAUCCACCUGUGACAUUUAAACCAGCGGUGAGGGCGUUGAUAUCCAACACAUUCCUAUGCAUCAAUAUCACUGUCCCCUUCACCUUUUGGCUUCUGUGAAAUGGAUUUGUAAACAUCUUUGCAACUUCUCCAGCAAAUUUGUUGUGCACUUUCUGGCAAAUGAAAGAAAACUUUGUGGCUUGCAAGUCACUAUUCUAAUUUUGUUUACACUGCUCUCAUUAUAUACUGUAAGUCUUGCAGCCUAGGUCAACCAUCAAUGUAACUAAAGGGGGUGGUAAUUUAGUAGAUUUAGUAAUAGUAGAUAGAUAGAUAGAUUUGUUUUUCAUUUGGAGGUCUAGAGGGGGUGGUAAUUUAGAUUAAAAAAAUGUAAAAAUAUUGGAGCCCUAAAGUAAGAGUUUAGUCUAUAUAUCUUAUGUUUCGGUUCAACGAAAGAGCUUAUUGUUUAGGGUUUAGAAAAUUUUGAUAGAAUUAUACAACUAGAAGAAUUAGGUUUUAUCAAAAAAAAAAUAGUAGAAUUAGGUAAAUUUUAUCUAUCUAAGAGUUUGGUUGGAUAUAUACUUUUUAGGCAAAAUUUGUUUAACAUUUAUAUUUAUUUUAAAAAUAUGACAUGAUAUUGAUUGAUUGGAUGAAGGGUACAUACACAAUAAAACUACGUAGGUAUCAUUGUGUUCCGGGUAGAUUUAUUAGAAUAAUAUAGUGGUCAUUUGAACAUUAAUUAAUGGUGAUAGAGUUGUUGAGAAUGAAUAAACUAACGAUAGCAUAAGUAAAUAAAAAGCAAAUAGAUAAAUUGCGAGUAAAAUAAUAAUUUGAUCGAUUGUGUAUGUAUAAAUCAAAAUUUACAAUUUGUAAAAAAACAAAUCAAAAUUUACAAGUGGUAUUUAUAGACAAAAUAACAUAACAGGUAAUUCUGUUGUCCUAUAACAUCCUGACUUACAAAAUUAAUCCACAUGUUUAUUUAGAUGUGCCAUUUUUCCUAACAAAUCCACAUGUUUGUAUUCAAGAUCAAAGUUAAUGUAUUAAAAACAAAAUAUAAUUAUUAUUGUUGGUACUACGAAGGUUUAAUGUCAGUAACUUACAGUGUUAGAAACCACACUGGAAACCCAUUGUUUUGGAACAUGCUUAGAAGUUGGAACAUGAGAAAGUGUGGUCCAACUCAUAUCUAAAUAAUAUAUUAGUAUCGAACCAGAGACAUUGGAAAGGAGUAUACUUUGCCAAUAUUACCAGAUCAACUCAAAUGGUUUACUUACAUCUUAACUUAAAACUUUAAAGCAUUAAAUAUAUGAAUUCUCUUGCUUAUAAUGUUGAACUUAUUUUUUUUCCUUCAUGGAAUGUAGAACUCUUAACAAGUAAGUCUAAACCCUAUUUUCGCUCACACGACAACACAUUAUCAACCUUCCCUAUCAUCUUUCCCAAACCUCAUGUGUGUAAAGAGUAUUGUCACUAUCACACGAAAUGUUUGUUGUUUUGAAGGAGUAUUUUGCAUACAUAAUAUUGGAGAGUGUAUUUAUUACAAUUUAAAACUUAUGACAUGGUAGCUACUAGCUUAAAUGCAAUACGUGUAAGGGAAGACGAAGACCCAUAGAAGUCUACUCUUUUGUACUCUUCCAUCAUCUUAACAAAGACAUGCGCCUAUAUCUGUUUAUUUGGCCGUACACAAUAGUAAUAAAGAUAUUGUUAUAUUAUUAUUGAAAUUUAUAACUUAGGAUAAGAUAUAGGUUUGAUCAGACAGAUGCAAUAAUUUUUCUACCCUUUAAAAGCUAUAUUAUUCAAUGUGUAUAUCCACCACUAUAGUCCUUGUAUGGAAAUGCAUUUUCCCAUAGUGUGAAUGGGGAGACCUGGAGAUCAUCAUGAAGCAUCGACUCAAACACACAGCUUGCACUGUUGGAGAAAGAUGCUACUAUUAUCUCAAUUAUUGUUAGUAAUUAUUCAUAUUACGCAGAUUGAGAUCCAAUUCCUCAACUUCAUUAUCACUAAUAAACUACUUUAGUAACCAAACUAAAUAUAUAUAUGCACCAAGAUUAGGCGUGUUGCGGUGUCCGACACGCGUGCUGAGUCAUUAAUUAGUUAUUUUAAUAUAAUAUUUAGUUCCGUUUUAAUUAGAUUUAAGUUUAUUUUAUUUUAAUAUUAUUUCCUUUUAGAGCUAUUUUACUUCAGUUGCAUAUUAUUAUAUUUCAGGAAUGAAUAUUUGAUGGAUUGAGUCUUGGAGCAAAAGAAAAGGGGUUUGGAGCUGAUUCGGAACGAAAAUACGAAGAUUUGGAGACAAAAAUAUGUCUCCCCCAAGCCAGAAGCUUGGCACGACCCGUGCUCCCACUGGCACGGUCGUGCCACCUCCCAGGAUCUCCUUUUGCUGCUUUUGCUUAGAUUUUAAGCUACUCUAUUUAGUUUUGACCGAAAAGCCCGCAGUUUCUUGUGGAACAUUCUAGUGAUGUAUUGCUUAGGUUUUAAGUCGAAUGUAAACUAUAAAUAGAGUAGCUAGCUAUCACAACAAUUCAUCUUUUGCUCUCUGAAAUAAUAAGUGACAAUUGUUUCUUUGAAUAAAAGUUCUCCUUUAUUUUAUGUUCUUCUUCUUCUUCUUCUUCUUCUUCUUCUUCUUCUUCUUCUUCUUCUCUUCUAUGUUUACAAUGAACGUGAGUGAGUAGACUCUUCUGCCUUGGGAUUGUUGGGUAAGUCUAAAUGACAUAACCCUAAUCAAACCAAGCCUUGAACCCUAAUUUUAUAUAAAUUUACUUUCUAAUCUAAAUUCACCGUUUUAACAUGAAUUAACAAUUACCAAACUAUAGAAGCGAAAGUGGAGGGUUAGUAAUUGUUAAUUCAUCAUCUCAAAUAUCAAUUUAUAAAGCGAAAGUGGAGUUUUGAUAUUUGAACAAGUGAAUUUAGACAAGGAUUGCGAAACAUGAAAAUAGUCUAGCAAACCUUGAGACAUAUAAAGUUUCGAACUUCAAGGAUUCUAAUAGCAACCAACCAUGAAAAUAGGCGUGGUUGCUAGGGGAACACACUCACUGAGACUGAAAGGAGAUGUGAUAAGCUAAAGAGAAACUUGUCUUUAGAAAGUAAAUCAAAUAUAAAAUUAUGGUUUAGGGUUUGUUUGUGAAGGGCUUGUUAUUUAGAUGAACCAAUAAUCCCAAGGCGUUUUUUAUUUUUAUUAUUUUCUUUCAAUUAAAAAUCCAAACUUUUCAACUAAAACUCUUUUCUAAUCAUUGUUGAAAGUUAAGUAAAUUCAUAACUCCAUCCCCGUGAGCUUAGCUCAGUUGGUAGGGAUAUUGAAUAUUAUAUGCAGGAGCCGGGGUUCGAACCCCGGACACUCCACUUCUCCACAGUUUAAUUGUGUGAGCUCUGGCCACUAGGCUACUUGACAAAAAAAAAAAAAAUUCAUAACUCCCUGUCGGAACGAUACUUUUGUUUACUACAUCUGUAAACCGUGCACUUGUGGUUUUAUCCCAUCAAAGCGUUGGUGUUUGACAUUCUUAUGACACUUAUACGACAUAUGUUGGACCAACUAAGUCUGGUGUCCCAAAAAUUUAUUAUUUUUAUUUACUUCAACACUCCAUGGAUCGGUGUCUGACAUCUGUAUGACACUCAUAUAACGCAUGUGUCGAAAAACUCAGACAAGUAUCCGAAGUUUUUUUCUUUGCUUCGAGACACCUUAGACAUAUCUAAGACGUAUCUACAAGAUUAAAGAUGUGUGAAAACAAUGUUGAUCAAUGAAGCCGUUAAAGAAAUUAAUCUUUUUAACAAAAUUUUAAUAUUUUUUGUUAAAGAAAUACAUUGCUCAAUUUACAUGUAUAUAUUUUGAUUCUCGCUUUUUGUCAAUGUCAAGAUCCUUCUUCAUAUCAGAUUUGCCGUGUUUUAGUUUUAGUUACUUCUUAGUUAAGUUUACUUGUAUGAGUCAUAAGUUUAAUUUUUUUUUAGGGAUGACUCAUAAGUUUAUUUAGUUUGUUGAGGUAUGAGUUAUAUGUUGGUAUAUCAAGUAUGAGUAAGAGUUCUAUAUUAAAAUGUGGAUGAUGAACACGUUAUAAUUGAGAUGAUAUAUAAUUUUAAUGUCUUAAUGUUUUGGGUUAAAGUGUGUGUCAACCACACAUGUAUUGUUGAUUUGAGCUUAAUGUGAAUGAUCUUUAGACUUCCCUAAUCAGCAAAAACAUUAUGCAACGUAAUUUUUCACUCCAAUAUUCUAUGAUAAAUGCUCAUCUUUCAAAAUUGACCAAUAUUCAUUGAUUUUUUUUUGAAGGAAACCAAUAUUCAUUCAUGUUAACUGUAUAUGCCAUCAUUCACUUUAUAAAUUUCCACUCAACGACUCCGUACCUUGCCAGCCAACACCUCUUCCAUGUCAGCAACGCAACCCAUCAAUAGCAGUUACACACCUAUAGAUAAGAUCCAAUCAACCAAUGAACCAAUCCAUAACAUUUAUACAGACUUAUUAAUUAAGAUUUAAGACCAUUCCAUUAUAGCAAUAGACAUAAGUCAGCAAUUCAAAUAAAGUUUAUAACCAACAUAAGUGUAUGCUUGAUAAAUAUUUCGUCUCUAACACGUAGCGACAAAAUUAUAUAGAGAUAUAUUUCCUUCUCAAAAUGUCCCCAACUGUUUCACCUUUUUUUAGUAGUGAGUCUAGUGACCAUCCUCAAUCUACAUUCUGCAUCAAAAUAUAUAUUGUUCAUGUUUAAUUAAACUAUAUAAAUCUUAUACACUGCAAGGCCCACAUGGUACUUAAGAAGCAAUUGCCAAGUCUUUGAUACAUUAAAUGCAUGCUUGUAUUUUAAUUUUUUCCCUUAAUAGCAAAGCAAAGUUAUAAAUUAAUUGUCACCAUGCAAAGUUUGAAAGCUCUUGACAUACAAUUAUGUUGGGUUCAUGACUUUUGGUGGAACAGGAGGAGUGCAUGACUUAGCAACUGUGAAGGCGUUAGUAUAACUUUUAGGUGGCCUAGUAACAUAAAAAAUUAAUAAGAAAUAUUAAACUUUAUCAUAAGCAAACACUUUCACAAUAAUUUUUACUUUCCUAAAUAAAGGUUUGAACAACCUGUGAAUCAAUGAAUUCUAAGAUGUGAAUCGAUGCCUAUUAUUCGUUUGAAGGAACCAACCUUGAUGAGUGAGCAGGUGUGGCUGAGUGAUAAAAAAUAUCAAAUUUUAUGAUCAUAAGCAAACACACGUUCACAAUAAGUUUUACUUCUCCUUCCAAAAAAAUAAUAAUUAAUUUUUUUACUUUUUCAUAUAAAGCCUUUGUUAGAGUUGUUAUACGUAAACCAACUAAUGUGGACAAACACCCUUCUACCACUCUUAUAGGUGGCCAAUUUUAUAAUAAAAAAUUCUUAUUAUCCAUAUCAUUUGUACAAGAAAAAAAUAAAAAAUAAAAAAUAAAAAUUGUUGUUUUCUCAGUUAUUCACUCUAGUGGCUCUCUUUUUCUCCACCGCCGCUGCCCCGUCCUGGCCUCUCUCACCACUACCAUCAUAUCCUUGUCAUCGUACCUCCGCCCCACCCCCUCUGCAACACAACACUCCACCAACACCACAACUGUCGUGGCCUUCACAGUUCACACCAUCCAGAAGUCUUCCCGUUCACCGCCCUCAAAUCGCACCACCACCACCAUCAUUAUGUAAGAUCUAGCCAUUACCAUCAUAGUUGCCGCCGUUCUCACCACACUCCGUCAACAUCCUCGUCCUCGUCACUACUCAGGCGAGGGAGAAGAGAAAAAGAGAGAUAGAUAAAAUUACAAUUACAGAAGGAGAGAGAAGGAGUAGAGAGAAAAAAGACACGCAGAUAAGAUUUGAGGGGAGGAAGAGAGUUCAUAGAGGGUGAGGAAGGGAACAUGAAAUCUCAUUUUUACCCCUUGUUUUUAAAUAAAACUACAGAAUUGUCAUCCACAUCAGCAAGUGGUACAAAGUGUGUACAAAAGGGAGUGGUCCAUCUAUCAUUUUCCCUUAAAGUUAAGUACCACGUGGGCCCUACAUAGUACUAGAGUGAUGAAUGUGGUGUAAAAAGUUUGGGUGGCGGAAGAUUCUAAGGGAGGAGUGCCGCUUGAGGAGGUGCCAUGGCGGAGCUAAAAAUAAUUUUUUGAUUGGAGCAAUUCUUUUAAUGUGUGUAAAUUUAUAUUUUCUUAUUAAUUAAAUCAAGUGAUUAAACCGGUGUUUUAAAGAUAUUUUAACAUAAAUAUUAUAUAAUUUUUUAUUAUAUUACACAUAUACUUUUAAUUGAAAAAAGAAUUGUGUUUUAUUCGCACAAAAUGUUGGUGAGAGAAAAAUAAUGUUGGUGAUAGAUAUACAACUUAGUGGUUCGGUACUCUUUUAGUGGCCAACUGGUUUGAACCCCUUGAUGGUUUUUUUUAAUAAAUUUAUUAAAAAUAGGCAUAAGAAAUUAAAAAAGAAUGGCAGAUAUGAUUUGAACUUUUAACAUGAAGGCAUAGGAUCUCUCAACUUAAACGUUAGAACACACUUAUUUCUGACGCAACAUAUUAUAUAUAAUAUAACUUCAUACUAUAAUAUGUGAAUAUAUACCUAUUAAAAUGAUUUUUUUAGUGUUUGGGUAAGUGAGUGGCUCCGCCACCGAGGAGGAGGGUGAAGGUAGUGAGGAGGCGACAACGGUGGCUUCAAAGGAGGGUUGUAGAGUGUGAGCAGAGAAGGAUAGGUUUUUCCAAUAACACCGCCAUUAAUUAUAGAUAGAGGAAGGGGGUACGAUAGUUCUGGAAACACCUGGAGGAAAUGUGGAGGGAGAGUAGGUAGGAAAUAGUUGGAUGCAGUAGGGAUUUUUCGCUUACAAAGGAAUGACAAAAUUUAUUUUAAUAUAGAGGAUGAAACAAUACUUAAGAAGUCGGUAGAACUUGAAGAAGUUGAUGAGUUGAAUAAAGGAAGAAAGGAGAAAGCAAGCAGUGGUCAAUGAUUGUAUUGAUUUAUAAUGUGAGAAGCUUGGGGAAGAUCGAAAAGGAAAAUGAUUAACUAGUUGGUGCGCCAACAAAAGGUUGAUAUCUUUCGCGUGGGAGGGUUUUGUCGGGGUGUGCUUGGAGUGAGGAUUCUUUUAAAAAUGUUCUUUUGCCAUUAUAUCUAUUCCAAAUAUGAUAUAAUUGCAAAGAGGAGAUUCUGUGAGAAUCUUUUGAUGGUUACAGAUACUUUGAGAGAAGGAGCUUGGUGUUCGGUGGGUGAUUUUAAUGCGUGUGUAGUUUGAAAGAGAGAAGGGGGAUAAAUUUUGAAGCUUCUUCGGGACAACCAUUGAAAAUGAACUCUUUUUAAUAAUUUCUUGAGGGAGGUGGACAUGCUGGAUGUGACCGCUACUGGUCGUAGAUUUACUUGGUAUAAUUCAAAUGGGAGUGCGAUGAGUCAUAUUGAUAGAGCUCUAAUUAUCAAGAAAAAAUGGUCUAACAAUUAGGGUUAUGUGGCUUGGUGGGUCUUAUCGAGGGAUAUAUCAGAUCAUUACCUCUUGGUUUUUAAAGUUGGAGAUAGGGGUUGGGGUCCAAACCCAUUUUGCUUCAAUAAUUUUUGGCUGGAAGACAUGAAGUUUAAACAAGUAGUGGAGGAUGUACAAGAAAAUCAAAAUGUUAGGUUUGAUGAGAGUGGUGUUGAAAACAAAACCUAAAGCUUUGAAUAUUGAACUGAGAGCUUGGAAUAAUUAAUGAAGUGAGGUUGGGUAUGGAGAUAUAGAAGUUGGUUGUCAAAAUUGGUGGAUAAUAUUAUGGAUCUAGAUGUUAGAGGCAAAAUCUGUUCUUUGAGUCGAAGAGGUGGAGAUUAGAGAAAGAAAGUUAACGAGUUAUUAACGAGAUUAGGGUUUAAAGAUCUAAGUGAAAAUGACUUUGGGAGGGGGAUGCCAAUUGAAAGUACUUCCAUAAAUGUGUGAAAGCAAGAUCAAACCAGAACAUAAUAAAAGUUCUUAAAUCUAAUUAAGUCGAUUAAAAAAGACACUUUUUAAGUAGGACGUUCCAUCCAAUGGCACCCACGCAAAAGUAGGAUGCUGCCACAUAUUUUGUUCAACUUGCUUUUUGAAAUUCUCUACCACCUCUGUUUUCUGAGUGCAGAUCUGCUCCAGUACAAAAUUGCUCCAGUUCCCAGUUAAUGUAACUGAUGCGUGACAUGUGGCAGGGUCAGAUUUCAACGGAUCAGAUUUUAAAAACAAAAUCAGUUUUUUACUUUGACACAAAAAAAGAGCUCUGUGAGAGUAAUAGCACGCUUACGCCCUUCUCCGUCACUCCUCUCCGCCCCUCUCCCUCUUCUUCGUUAGUACGUCGUCGUCCCUCUUCUUCGUUAGUACGCCGCCGUCCCUCUUCUGCAUUUCAAUUGGAGGAAUACAGUGUUAUUCGUUGUUGUAAACAUUCUGUUGGCACAUAGUGUGAUGUUUGUUAUUGCAAAUAAAAGAUAUCGUUGUUGUUAUUGAUUGAAAGCUUGUAACAGCGUGACGGCGGCAGCGGCGGACAGUUACAGCAGCGCGGCGGCGGAGUAGGGCUGAAUAGUGGUAAAUUAAGUUUGAACGUGUUUUGUUUCGACGGAGAAGAGAAGAGAAAUCAUUUCUAUUUUUUUAAUUAAAAAUAACUUACUUUGCAAAUUUAAAAUCUGAACCAUUGAUGUUGUUUUUGCCACGUGUCGUCAAUUUGUUCAAAGUACAGGACAGUUAAUGGAUUUUAUAAACUGGAGCUGAUCUGCACUCCUGUUUUCUAGUACAGAAAAUACUUUUUAUGUUUUGUAAAAAUGACUUCUUAAGUCGGUUUCGAGGCCGACUUAAUAGUAGACGACAUAAGAAGUAUUGACUUCUUAAGAUAGAUAUGACCCAACUUAAGAGAAUGACUUCCUCAGUCGCGUAAACUCUGACCGACUUGGCAAAGUAUUAUUUUAAUAUGAAAAAAUUGCCACGGGUAAACCAUGACCCAAAAUUGUUCAAGAAAAAACCGUGGCCAAAUUUUUUUUGGAAAAAAAUUAAAUUUGUUCGACAUAAGUCGGUUUCGAGUCCGACAUAAUAGUAGCCUGAUUUGCUCGAUUUCUUCAUGAAUUACUUCAAGAACACUGCUAUGUUUCGGGAAUAAUAGAAUUACAGACUCAAAUAUAAAAAAGAUUACAAAUGUCCCGAAAUCAUAGAUUAAUCUAAUACUUCUCUACUUUAUUGGUAAAACCUACUAAAAUUGAUAGAAAGACAUGCUAAGAAUAACGUAAGAUGACCUGUCAUCACUACCGCAUUAAGUCUAAGGAAGUUGGGAUCACCUUUUGUAUGUGGUAACCUGGUUAAAUUAGCUUGGUGAUUUCAAACUAUGAACUCUGAGUACCAGUUUAGUUAAAAGAGAUCUAUGAUGUUGGAAGAAUGUUGGAAGGCUAGCUUAGAUGAAAAGAGUUGGAUGACUAUAGAUAUACGUUAUGUAUUAAGCCAUCAGUUGUACUACCUUGUCUAUUGUAUACUCGUUAGUCGGUGCACUAUUACUCAGAUAUGAAUUAUAUUUAAUGUAAUCGCCAGUUAGUACAUUUUGUAUUUAGAUACGACUUAUGGAUUGUACUCAACAAUUAGGACUUUCAUCAGAUUUAUGAGGUAGUAUAAUGUUAUGGUUCAUUACAUAGAGAAAGUUGAAUUAUUUCUUACUUUCCAAGGAUGUAAGCUUAAAGUCCAAUAUUGUUCCGUGUAGGGACGAUCUUAUACGAAGUAUGGUAAAUUUUACUUCAAAUAACCACCCAAAUUACGGAGUAGUUUUUACUUCUUUCACCUAUUAUAUUCCUUGGUGAUUAAUUAUUUUUCAUAUUUUUAUUUCAUUAAGGUUCUAGAGCAGGUUGAGCAAUUGAGCUAUCAACGGAUCCCAACUUAUUCUUGUCAGAAAGUGUCACUGUCACCACUCAACGGGUGUGAAAGGAUUGUUACCAUUCAUGGAAGCCAUGUGAGGUAGGAAAAACUAAACUGAUACCAUAUUUGAACCAUAUAUAUGAGACAACUGGUUUCUGAAAUAAGGUACAAAAAGACACAAUAGUUCUUAUUGAUUUUAAGUAAAACAUUAACAAUAAAACAACCAUAGGUAGGAGGUGAGGGAAUAGAAUUCCGUCUCGUCUGUUAUUCAAAGCAGCAACACAAUAACCAUGACCCAAUUUAGAUGGAGAUACUAUUGGGAAUGCCUCUGCAAGUCAAUCCUUCCUCACUAGAAGGAUAAAGCAAAGUAUAUGGCAUCUUCACUGGUCCAUAACGAUUCCUCAGUGUCUCAUCGUUGUUCCUUUGAGUGAGUUUUUUCUCAAUUUCAGCCAGCUUCUUUCCAAACCUCUUGAAAGCCUCUUUUGGUUGUGAAUCAGAAGUCCAAUUAUCACCUUCAAUUCUCUGUCCAAGGUAUUGUUCAUCAGAAGCAUGUCUUGACAAGACUUCUAUAACAGUCAAGUUAGUUAGGAUGUCUUUCUUCGGUGGGAUUGUUCUCAAAAACGCCUUUUGAUAGUUCUUAGAAAGCUCAGCAUACUCAGCAGAUCCUUUCUUAGGCAUUAAUCUUCUGCUUUUUGUUGGUCGGUUAAGAAUGUAACCACCGUACGGAUAUUGUCCAAAAUUAACAGCCGCAUGAAGUGCCGAAGCAAUCCAUAUGAGGAUGGUGCAAGCCUCAAUCAACUCCUUACGGGUUUGCAUCUUAAACCACCAUUUAGCAUCUUUCAAGUCACCGUGACCUACCUCUACAAGUUCUUUCCAGAAUGCUUGGAGUUCAGAAUCUUGUGCAAUAUUUGCAUCUGACUUGUAGUAGAAAUACACAUAUUCUUCAACCCAUGACUUAAUUGCUGUCCAUAUCUCUAAUCCAUCAGCAGCAUAAGGGUAAUCUUUUAUCAGAAGGCGAAGGCCGUGUGGGGAAGUUGGAUCCUCAACAGCCACUCCUCUAGGUAACAAGAAAGGAAAAAAUCAUUAAUAUCAAAAUAAAAACUUUUGAUAUCAAUAUAUUAUUAACUGAAGUUUAAAAUUGCGGCAAAAUACAGUUGAUGCAGCUACAACCACUGACAAUUCACAUGAAAUUUUUUGAUGUCUCAUCUUAGAUCGUGGUUGUGAACACUUUUUCAAUCCUCGUUUCAACUACUGAAUAUAUUUCCAGGAUCUAAUGUUUUGUAAGGUUACCUUUUAAGUAGAUCAUUAGGCAAACCUUGAUCGGUGAAAACCCAGUCUUUAUAUAUUACCGCAGACAAUUCUAAAGAAUAACUUCCCAUCAAGAACGUCUUCUCAAUAACACCCUUUGCAUUGACCAAAACAUUCCUUGCAAGUGCAUUAAUGUUCAUUGUGUCACGAUAGUGCGGAAGUAAAAGCUUAUGAAUAGGAUGAACCACACUAAGAUGCCUAUUUGUUGCUAUGAUGAAUGGCUCAACAACUGCAUGAGUAUUCAACCUGUCACACAUGUCGAUAAUAAUGAAUAACUCAGACAUUUAAACUAUGUUUGGCUCUCUAAUCUUGGGAAUAGAAUUUGUACCAGUGGCUGAUAAGUUGGUGAUAGCAUGAGUCAUUUACAAUCACAUAAUUCUUGGCAAGUAGCCAAAUAGAAGAUUCAACACCUUCACUUGCAGGCAAGUAGAUAUCACUGAUAGGAUCAAAGCGAUCACCUUUUGGAUUCGGGCUACUUAGCUCGAUGGCUAAUGGCUUAAAAGUUCCAUCAUUUUGUAAGAAAAUGAUGGUUCUAGUAGCAUAUCCCAUUGUAUGAUCAUUGACUUCAUUUAUUUUGCUCAAAUAUGGAAAUAUUGAGUCUUGGUAAUCAAGUAUGUAAAGUCUCUUGUUAUGGAUAGCCUGUUCAAAAAACAUUUGAUUUAGUCAUUACAAUUGUUUGAAUUAAAAUGAACCUUUUUCGCAAAAUACUUCCUCCGUCUCAUUUUAAUCGUCAUUUUUGCAUUUUUUUUAUCUAUCUCAAAAUAAUUUUUAUUUUAAAAUAUUAAUACAAUAUUUAUCAAUUUUUUUAACUUUAAUAUACUCUUUUUUAUUGAAUUUUACUUCAUUUAACUAUUUUACUAACUACCAUUGAUAAAGGUGUUUUAGUAAAUGACACUAUUUACAAUUGAAAUCAAUCAACUAACCGCACACGACUCAAAUACUAUAAUUAAAAUGAGACGGAAGGAGUAGAAGUAACAAAAUCAUUUAGUCAUUACUUCUUCUACAGUGACCCCAUCCAUAUUUAGCUGCAACUGUUCUUUGGUUAUUGUGCUCGUAUUAUCACCGUAGUCUUGGCUAUUUAGCUUGCUCUUUGGUGGGAACUCCUACAUUAUAUAUAACAUGUAAUACUGAGAUUAACAAUUGAAAAUAUAGUAUGUAAAAUGGACAAAAUAGAGUUUAAUUUUCUGUUUGUAUAGAAAUCGUUAAACUAUGAAGUUUACCUGAAGUCUUUUGAUAAUGUGUGGAUUCACACCAGCAAUCAUCUCUCUUGUAAAUUCUUCAUCAGUCAUCCAUCCAGACUGAUUAACUGCUCAAAAUAAGAGCAUUGCAAAUGAUCCAUGAGAUUUCUUUCCAUAUUUUGUAUGAAUAUAAAUUACUAGGACUAAAAUCGUAGUAGUUCUAAUUCCCUGGGUACCUUGAAUCACUUCAGGCCGUGGAAACGUAAGUCCAGGUACUUCCUCAUCAUAGAAGGCAUGCACAUCAUUAAAGGUAUCAAACUCUGGCUUAUAAUUGCAUUCUAUUUCUAUCUCAGAUAUGAAAUCUUGAGAUGCUGAUUUCAGUAGGUUAUCAAGAAAUUCUGAAGACUUCUUGUGAUCAAAUGAUUCAUCUCUUGGAAUGUAAACAAAGCCGUUCCGACUCUCACUUUUAGGAUCUGUUCAUGUACAAAAUAGCAAAUAUGUAUUAGCUAGAAGAAUGACUUUAGAAUCAUUUUCAACACAAAAAAUAAUGCCAGCAUUAUUAAGAAAGUAAAAGAGAGUAUUUGAGAGAAGACAUAAAGAGAAAAAUGAAGUAAAAAUUGUGUUAUUCAAUUCAGUUUGUUACAAUGGAGAUGAACUCUAUUUAUAAGCUAAUUUCUAACAUAGCAUCUCUAACAAACUUAACAGCUGUACAAGCUUAUGUGGCAAGUUAGUUAGAGUUAGAAGUGGUUGCUUGCUCCUCAAGUAAUCUUCCUUCUUCUUCCAUUCUUAACAAUCAUAACAUACACUAUACUUUUAUAAAUAUCAAGGCGACAUUAAUUAAGUCUUAUUGAAAUACACCAGGGAUCACUUUCGUUUGUGAAGUAAUACCUUAAAAAAUAAUAUACCCAAGUGUUUAAAAAGAGUAUAAAAGUUUAUAACCUUUCUUAGCUGGUUCCCUGCCGGUUCUUCCCCUUCGAGGGUAAGGGAAAUUGCUCGAUCCCCCAAGAAUUUGACGCGCCAAUUGAGGUUUCGAGUCAGGCUCACCUAAAUCAUUGUAGACAUCGUAAUCAUAUAUUCUUUCCCAUUCCUUGCGCUCUCCUGUUCCAUCUCCUCUUAAAGUCUUCAAUUCUUCUUGUCUAUAGUACACUAAUGGAGCUGGUGUUUCACUUGGAAGGUAUGUCUAUAUUUUAAAUCAUAUGAAGGUGUCAGAUUUUGGGAACUAUAGUUUAUAUUUAACAUGCAAGAUAAAUAUGGUAUAUUCAUUACCUUGUUGGCAAAGAAGAUGCGUUCAGUUUUGUAGUUUUGAGCAUUGUAAAUCCAUGAGUUGCAAACAAAGUUGAUGGUUCCAUGGUUGGGAACAUCUUCAAGGGUCAAACUUACAAGAAAGAAUUCUCUUUGCUUGCGAUUCUUAAUAUAAAAUGCUCCUGGAAUUCCCAUGUCACUAUCCCAUUUAAAAUGAACAUCAAAUUCAGAUUGCCCUGCUACAUUCAAAGACGUUUCUUUUCCGACUUUACCUUUUCCACUUUCUACAAAUAAAAUAUGUCACAAUUUUGUUUUUCAAUUUCAGUAAAGGUUUAUAAAAAAAAAAAAUCAGUUAUGAUAAUUCUCAAAUGAAAAAUUAUAGCUAUUAAAAAUCUAAUUCUUUUUAUAAAAAAUUAACAAAUACUUGUAAGACAAUUUUUUAAAGAAAUUAUAAUAAUAAAAAAUGAAGAACAUGUGUAAUAUUUUAUCAAAAUUUUGUAAAAAAAAUAGUAAAAUCUAUCUUUGAAACACAUGUUUAUAUUUGACGUUCUCUAAACAUAGAAACCAAUUGUGAGUUUAAAAUAUGAGAACUUUUACUGUAUACUUGCAAAUUAUGUUUGUAGACAGUAGUGUGAGAGACUAAGUAAUUAUAAGCAAAAAAAAAUAAGUAAUUACCAUCAGCACUAGUAGAACUAAUCAACCUGAGAUCCACGGAACUGGCCAUAAUAUAGGUGUCAAUUAUAUAGCUAAUGAUACCAUGAACAAGAUUGAUAACACCUUUGAUUAAACCAGCGGGACUUGUAGCUGAAGUGAGGGAGUCUAUAUCAAACACAUUCUUUUGCAUCAAUAUCACUGUCCCCUUCACCAUUUGGCUUCUGUGAAAUGGAUUUGGAAACAUCUUUGCAACUUUGUGCACUUUCUGCUUUUCUGACAAAUGAAAGAAAACCUAGUGGCUUGCAAGUUUCUAUUCUAAUUUUGUUUACACUCUCACUCUUACUAUAUAUAUAUAUAUAUAUAUAUAUAUAUAUAGUAAGUCUUGCAAAUCAUGGGGGCUGCAUCCAGCACGUCAACGACCUAGGUCAAUACAGCAAGGUAAUUAAAAUCAAACCAGUCGGUUGAAACGGUACCUUUGAGUUUGGUUGGAUAUUGCUUUUCCUCUAGUUAAUAAUACUAGUUUGGUUCCUCUAGUUAACAUCUGUACCAAAAAAAAAAAUAUUUGUUUAACAUUUAAAUUAUUUUAAAAUAAAUUAAUAUAAAAAUAUUACAUGACAUUGAUUGAUUGGAUGAUGAGUAUAUAUCUAUUAAAAAUUGUAUAGGUGAUAGAGUGUUGAGUAGUUGAGAAUUAAUGAAGUAACGAUAUCAUAAGUAUAAAAGGCAAAAGGAUAAAAAUUGCGAGUAAAAUAAUAGUUUGGUUUAUUGUGUGUCAAUCAAAAUUUACACGUGAACUUAUAGAUAAGGUGACAUAACAUGUAAUUCUAUGUCAUGUUAAAAUUGAGAUUUUGCUUUAGAUCGAAAGAGAUCAGCAAAAUCGACAAUCGUUAAAUCGCAAUUAAAAUUGAUGGAUUUUAUCAAAAAUAUAAUAUUAAAUAUAUUUUAUAAAUGGUAUAUAGUGAUAAAUGACUUAGAUUAUAAUAAAUUGUAAGACCGCAAUCAAAAUCGUUGAAUUUUUCUUAUUUUAGAAUUAUACUAUGGGUUUGAGUCGUUAAAGAUGAAAAAAGUCACAAAAUCUUAAAUUUUAAGAUUUAAGUCGGUAUUUUAACAAGUCUUAACAUCAUGGCUUGCAAAUUCAACAUUGAUUGUUGUUAGAGUAAAUUACACUCCCCUCCCCUCAAAGAUGCUUGAAUUACAUUCCCCUCCCCUCUUAAGUUAAAAUAUACAAUCCCCUCCCCUCUUAUUCAAAACAUAUUAGAGAAAAUUUCACUCCCCUCCCCUAAGAGAAGCUUGAAUUACAUCCCCCUCCCCUCUUAUGUUAAAAUCUACACUUUACCCCCUCAAUAUUCUUUUUUAUUAUUUCUAAUAAUCUAGCAAAAAAUAAUAAUUUAACACACUUAAAAAAAUAGUAUUGCGAGUCUGUUUUAAUAUAAUAAAAAGUUGAAUACAUAUUUUUCGCUAUUUUUUAUUCACAAUUUCAUUAACAUGUAGUUUUAAACCCUAUUAUAAAAUAUUAAACAACCCAAAACAAAAUUAAAAUAUGUGAAAAAUUACUAAAAUCAUUAAGGCAUGAUUAUUUAGAAGUUAAUUUUAUACUCAGAUUUAUAAAAUCAAUAGCAAUAUAUUUAAAUUUAAUUAUCAUUGACAUUUAAACUAUAAAGAAAUGAAUUAAUUUUUCUUAAAUGGUGAUUCAAAAUUAAUAUAUAUUAUAAGAAUAUUUAAUUAUGUUCAAAUAGAUUAAAGUGUAGUGCAUAUUUAAUUAUUAAGGGAAUGGUUUGUAAUUCAAGCAUCUUAUAAGGGAGGGGAGUAUAAAUUUUAACAUUAGAAAAAAAUAUUGAGGGAGUAAAAUGUAUAUUUUAACUUAAGAGGGGAGGGGAGUGUAAUUCAAGCAUCUUUGAGGGGAGGGGAGUGUAAUUUUUUAUUGUUUUGUAUUGAUCCACAUGUUUAUUUAGAUGUAUCAUUUUUCCUAACAAAUCCAAAUGUUUAUAUUCAAGAUCAAAGCUAAUGUAUUAAAAACAAAAAAUAUCAAUUAUUGCUGGUCCUACCACGGUUUAAUGUCAAUAACUUAGUUUAGAAAUCACACUUGAAACCCAUUCAAUGUUAUCCACCACUAUAGUCCUUGUAUGAAAAUGCAUUUUCACAUCUACAUUUUCCCAUGGUAUGAAUGGGGAGACUUGGAGAUCAUCAUCAAGCAUUGACUCAAACACAAGGCUUGCACUGUUGGAGAAAAAUGCUAUUAUUAUCCUAAAUUAUUGUUAGUAAUUAUUCAUAUUACGCAGAUUGAUAUCCAAUCCCUCAACUUCAUUCACACACACACACAUAUAUAUAUAUAUGCACCAUGAAGUACACACCUCUCUAAGUGUGUCACGGUGUCCGACACCAGUGCCGGAGCCAGAAAAAAAUGUUUGGGUGGGCCGCUAAAAUAAACUAUAAACAAUAAUAUGUAAACAUAAAAUUAAAGUACUAAUAAGCAUUAAGCUUGAAGUUGAAAUUGCAAAGUUUGACUAAAAAGCUCGGGUGAAUGCUUUAAAAAAACAAAUUACAUAUUACUAAUGCUAUAAAUUAUGAUUUUUUUAUUUAUUUUAUAAUACAACUCUUAAUUGGAGGAAUUUUUUACAAAACAAUAUAAAAGAGAUUUGAAACCACCAAAAAUUAAAAGGUCUGUAAACCUCCGUUAACUAGCCAAGUAUAAGCAUAAAAAAAAAAAUCACAUAUGUCACUUUUGGAACCACCGAAAAUCUAAACGGUUGAAAAAUUGUUUAAAAUCUCGCAAAGCUGACUUAUGAUCGUCGAUUUUUUACUUUUUCCGGGUGGGCUGUGGCCUACCCCGGCCCUUAAAGGGCUCCGCCUCUAUCCGACACACGUCGAUAUUUGACAUUCAUAUGACACUCAUAUACAACACAUGUUGAACCAACUCAGUCUAGUGUCCCAAAAAUUAAUCAUUAUUUUAUUUUCUUCGACACACCUUGAACAUAUUUCUAAGGGUAUCUACAAGAUUAAAGAUGUGUGAAAUCAAUAUUGAUCAAUGAGGUGGUUAAAGAAAUUAAUAUUUUUAACAAAAUUUUAAUAUUUUUUGUUAAAGAAAUACAUUGCUCAAUUUACAUGUAUAUAUUUUGAUUCUCGCUUUAGCUAUUUUAUAAAUAAUACUAAUAUAUGAUUUGAUUAUAAGAAAUUAAUAAAUAUAUAUGUUGCGAUGCCAAAGUCUUAUGUUUUUUAAUUUUUACAUUGACGAUAUUAAUAUAUCCGUGUCAAUGUCAUGUGUCAAGUGUUCAUGUCGGAAUACAUGUCAUAAAGAGUGUGUGUAUAUAUAAUUCAAGAUCUUUAUUCAUAUAAGAUUUGCCGCGUUGUAGUUUUAGUUACUUCUUAGUUAAGUUUACUUGUUUGACUCAUAAGUUUAUUAUUAGUUGUUGAGGUAUGAAUUAUAUGUUAGUAUAUCAACUGUGAGUAAGAGUUCCAUAUUAAAAAGUGUAUGAUGAACGUAUUAUAAUUGAGAUGAUCUCUAAUUUUAAUGUCUUCAAAUUUUGGGUUAAAGUAUGUUGUCAACCACACAUGUAUCGAAAAUUUGCACUCCAAUUCUAUGAUAAAUGCUCAUCUUUCAUAAUCGACCAAUAUUCAUUCAUGUUAACUGUAUAUGUCAUCAUUCACAUUAUAAAUUUUCACUCAACUACUCCUUAGCUUGCCAGCGAACAUCUCUUCCAUGUCAGAAACCCAUCAAUAGCAGUUACACACCUAUAGAUAAGAUCCAUUAACCAAUAUCCAUGACAUUCAUACAUACUUAGUAAUUAAGAUUUAAGACCAUUGCAUUAUAGCAAUAGACAUAAGUCAGCAAUUCAAAUAAAGGUUAUAACCACAUUAUUGUACGUAAGUAACAUAACUAAGUGCAUGCUUGAUAUGCAGUGAAAUUGAAAGCAGACAAGAAAAUGCAGCAAUGAUAGGUUGACACUCUUAGGGUGUGUUUGGUUGUGGAGAGAGAGAAAGUGAUAAGAGAGAAGUAGGUGAGAGAGUUUGAGAAGAGAGAAAGAUGUGAGAAAUAAAGAUAGUGUUUGGUAUAAAAGAAAGAGAUAAGAAAUUGAGAAGAGAGAAGUGUUGAUUAUUUUUAAAAGUACAAAAAUACCCCUUAAAAUAAAAAUCUUUUCCUAAAACUACUCUAUUUUAUAUUUAAUUAAAUUUAUGAAUUGAUUAGUUUAAUUAGUUAUCUGGGUUAUUUUACUAAUAAUAAUAACAAGGUAAGUUAAUUAAUUUAAUUAUUAUUUAAAUAAGCCUAUUGUGAAAAAGAAAGAAAGAAUCACGUGACAACAUUGCAUAAAAGACAAAAAAAAUGUGUUGUUCUCUUAAAUUAAAGGGCAUAAAAGACAAAAUUAAAGCAACAAAAGAGUAACUUCUCUUCCGUUUCUUCGCUAAUUAGGGGAGAACAAAAAAUGCAUGGGACCCACCAAUUUUGUCCCUCUUCUCUCUUUCUCACCUUUGUCAAACUAGAGAAAUGCCACACUUCUCUCCUCUUUCUCUCCUUAGUCUCUCUCUUCUACAUUUCUCCACUACUAAAGAGAGUUUUAAUGUAUACACUCUUUUGCAUUACUUUAAAAAAAUUAAAGUUAACCAAAUAUAUAGUUUAUGUGACCACGUUUUUUUAGUUACGUGGCCACUAUUUUUAUGACAUACAUGCUCAUAAUAUAUUACUCAUGUUUAAUUAAACUAAAUAGAUCUUUUUUGGGACUAAAUAGAUCUUAUAUCUUAUAUCAUAAGCAAACACUUGGAUUUUUCCACUGUAGGGCCCACAUGGUACUUAAGCAAUUGCCAAGUCAAAAUAUAUAUGUUUACUUAAACUAAAUAAAUCUUAUCUCUUACCACUAUCGGGCCCACAUGGUACUUAACGCAAUUGCCAAGUCUUUGAUGCAUCCCCUCAAAAACAAUCUUGAUGCAUUAAAUGGAUGCUUGUAUUUUUUCCUUUUAUAGAAAAACAAAGUCUUAAAUUAAUUGGCACCACGCAGAAAGUUUGGAAAGCUCUUGACACACAAUCAUUUUGGGUUCUUGACGUUUGGUAGAAUAGGAGUGCAUGACAUAGCAACUGUGAAAUCAUUGGUAUAACUUUUAGGUGGCCAGAUAAUAUAAAAAACUAAACUUGAUCAUAAGCAAACACUUUCACAAUAAUUUUUACUUCCAUAAAAAAAGGUUUGAACAGCCUUUGAAUCAAUGACUUCUAAGAUGUAAAUCGAUGCCUAUUAUUCGUUGAACUUUGAAGGAACCAACGGGUAGCACUUGGAUGACAUAGAGUUGGGUGACAUUGACCAAUCACAAUGUCAUAAUGCUUGUGUUUCUCUCUCUUUCACAAGUAUUGUGACAUUAUAAUUGACUAAUGUCACUAAUGUCAUCCAACUCUAUAUCACCCAAAUACUAUCCUGAAACCAACCUUGUGAGUGAAGCUGAGUGAAAAAAAUAUUAAACUUUAUGAUAAGCAAACACACGUUCAAAAUAUAUUUUUUACCUCUCCUUCCAAUUUAUUUACUUUUUUUUACUUUAUCAUAUGGAGCUUUUGUUAAGUACAAGGUGGGUCCUAUAUAUUAUUCGAGUGAUGGGAGUGGUGUAAAAUUGGUCUUCUAUCAACUAGAUCACUCCCAUACAAACUGACGAAAAUAUCUCUAACGUAACUUAAAUCAAUCUGAAAGGGAGCGUGAGUUAACUCACACUGGGCUUGCGUUCAGGACCAGAACAUCAUAAACAUCUUUUUCAAUAAUUUUCUUCAUUCCUUCAUUCAUACAUACAUCCAUUUCUGUCAAAAAUACAUGUUUUCAUCAUUCAUUUAAUGAUUCAUUCAUUCACUCAUAAUUUAAAUAAAAAAAAUAAACGAAAAUUAACAAAAAUGUCAUAAAAAAACGCAAACGCGCAAAUGUAAAUAUAUAUUGCAUCCAUAUCUACCAAAGUGUAAAAAAUACAUCUAAAUAUACACAAAUGUUAGGAAAACACUAUAUAUAAAAAAAAAAUCUACUCCUAUGGACUAUGGCUCCUAGUCCUCCGCGGAACCGGCUCCUCCUGAAGCAUGCGAUACUCCGACCAGAUUCCCUCCAUAAUUUCAUCAUUAAAAAUGCUAAAAACAAACAUAUUUUCAUGUGUUAAAUAUGUCUUUAGUCCUUACAUUUUGCGCCCCUUUGAAGAAUAGUUCCUACAUUUCAUUAAAUGUUUUUAAAAUCCUCACAUUUUCUCUCUGUUAUCAAAAUUAGUCCUUGCUGUUAAUUCUCCAACGGAAUGCUGAUGUGGCAGUUAGUGGGUCCCAAUUAUUUUAAGGUUAAAUAUGUUUUUUGUCUGUACAUUUUGCGUGACUUUGAAAAUUAGUUUUUACAUUUCAAUAAAUGUUUUUAAAAUCCCUAAAAUAAUAAGGACUAUUCUUCAAAGUCACGCAAAAUGUAGGGACCAAAAACAUAAUUAACCUUAAAAUAAUUGGGACCCAGUAACUACCACAUCAACAUUCUAUUAGAGAAUCAACAACAAGGACUAAUUUUGAUAACGGAGAUAAAAUGUGAGGAUUUUAAAAACAUUUAAUGAAAUGUAAGGACUAUUCUUCAAAGUCACGCAAAAUGUAGGGACGAAAAACAUAAUUAUCCCUAAAAUAAUUGGGACCCAUUAACUGCCACAUCAGCAUUCCGUUAGAGAAUUAACAAUAGGGACUAAUUUUGAUAACGGAAAUAAAAUGUGAGGAUUUUAAAAACAUUUAAUGAAAUGUAAGGACUAUUCUUCAAAGGGAAGCAAAAUGUAAGCACUAAAAACACAUUUAACCCUAUUUUGAUUGAGACAUUUUAUCAAACACCUAGAGUUCAACAUAAUUUCUAACAAUUCCUAACUCUAACCUAACUCUAACGUACCAUAUUUCAAUCAAACCUACUCUAAUCAACUUCUAAAAAACAAUUUAUAACUUAAUUUAUCAUUAACAAUAAAAAUAUCAAACAUGCAAAUCAACUCUAAAACUUAAAAUUUCACAAUUUCAUCCAAAAAAAAAAAAACUAACAUUUAAACCCAAAAAACCCAAUGCAAAAGGUUAGAUAGCACUUGUGAUGGAAGUAGAAUUUGAUAUUGAUUUGAUUGAGUUCGGUGAAAAUCGCACAAAGUGGGAGAAAUUUCAUAAAAAAUGAGUUUGAAACACAAUGGUUAUAUUUUUGUCUGUUGUCGUUCUAUAAUAACACGCAAUGUGAGUUAAGUCACGCUGGGUUACAACGUAUGUGAGUUAAUUCAUGUUGAAUGUACCGGGCGUGACUUAUGUCACGAACGUGGGGGUACUUUCGUCCAUUCAGUUGGGAGCGAGUAUUUAUUGAUGGGAGAAGAGCAAUUUUCUAAAAACUUUGGGUGUGGUGGAAGAUUCUAAGUGAGGGUUGUAUGUUCUGUUAUGUUAAAAUAACGGAUAACUGAUAAGUUUGCUGAUAGCUGAUAGUUUAUAGCUGAUAGAUGUUGGUUGAUGGCUGAUAACUUAUAGUUUAUAGUUAAUGACUAUUGACUGAUGUUGAUAAGCUAGUUAAAGUGUGCUAAAAUUAACGGUUCAAUUAACUGAUAAAUAUAAAUUGACAUAAAAUGAAUUUUUUUUAUUCAUAAUACUUUUUUGAGAGGACCAAAGCCCAAUUUAAUUGAAAAAUUUAAUAAUUAGAAUUUAUAAAAAAAAAAAUCUGAAAAUAAAAUGUUUACUAGACUUUCCACCCGUGCUGCCGCACGGGUCAUAUACAUUGUAGAUAUAGUAGACAAAAACAAAUCUCAAUGCAUAUCAAAGAGAAUGAAAUAUGUGGUCCCAAAUAUAUGCAGAUGUUGGAAUUCGAACCUCAGACACCACGCUUAUUCACCAAAAAAAUAUUAAUUUUUAUCAAUCGUGUGUUACUUCAUUCCUUUGUUAAAAUUAUAUGUCAAUAUUAUAUUAUUGGUAUGUUACUUCAUAUUUUUCUUUUUUUUUUUGAAAAAAUGUUACUUCAUUCUUUUGUAAAAAUUAUAUGUUAAUGUUAUAUUAUGUACCUAAAAAUAGUUCAUUCUUAACCUCAACAUGUAAAAUGUUUUAUUUAAAUAAUUUUCCUUUUAUCGAAUAUUUGGCCUUUACCGUAAAUGAUACCCUUUAACUGUUUGUUGAAAUGUUUCUUCCACCUGUUUAUAUAGAUUGCAAAAUUCAGGUGCAUUUUGUGGUAAAUAUUUAACAAAGAGAGUUCAAUUCUAAUUUGGAUGAAAAGUGUAAUAUUAACAAAAAAAAAUGUUGCUAUAAUCUUUCAAAACCCUUUUAUUCCAAUAGGGCGAUUUGUUUUGUUGAAGAAAUAGGGCGAUUUGUGUUUUGAAGAAAUAGGGGAAAUAAAGCGAUGCCGAUUUGCUUUGUUCAUGAAAAUAGGAGAUUAGGUGUGAGCAUUAGCGUUGUUCAUGAAAAUAGAAGAUUAGGUGUGAGCAUUAGGGUUAAAACGGUAAAAUUAUGCAACAGGGUUUAGGUUAAAAUUAGGGCUCAUGAAAAUAUGAGAUUAGGUGUGAGCAUUAGGGUUGUUCAUGAAAAUAUAAGAUUAGGUGUGAGCAUUAGGGUUAAAACGGUAAAAUUAUGCAACAGGGUUUAGGUUAAAAUUAGGGCGCAUGAAAAUAUGAGAUUAGGUGUGAGCAUUAGGGUUGUUCAUGAAAAUAUAAGAUUAGGUGUGAGCAUUAGGGUUAAAACGGUAAAAUUAUGAAAUAUGAUUUAGGUUAAAAUUAGGGCUUACGGGUUACCUUUAAUAUAUAAGAAGAUUAGGUGAGAGCAAUAGGAUUGUUCAUGAAAAUAGGAGAUUAGGUGUGAACAUUAGAGUUAAAACAGUAAAAUUAUGCAAUAGAGUUUAGGUUAAAAUUAGGGCUUACUUGUUAACUUUAAUAUAUAACUUUAAUAUAUAAGAAGAUAAGCCCUUAACUUUGCCAAAUCCCCAAAUUGAUUCAACCAAAUUCUUCCUCCCCAAAUUGAAUCAUCAUGCAUCAUUCCUUCAUUAUAUGUCAAUUAACCGGUUGGUAUGAAGUAGAAAAUCGAGCGAUGUUGCAUUAUUUCAUUUACCGAUACAUGCUUAAGCAAAGACCAAGAAAAGAGAACAUGGCAAUAGAGAUGGAAUGGUUCAUUACCUUUUUAGAUUGAAGAAUGGAUUGGGGAGUUACGAUUUUUUUAAAGAGAAAACUAGUUACAAACCCGUGCUUCGCACGGGUUCAAUAACGUUUUUGAUAAAAAAAAAUCGAAAGAAGAUAUGUUAAAACGACGGAACAUUAUGAUUCAUCAUAAAAUAUGUAUGGACUGGUUCCAAAGCAUUAUAAAGAUCUGCUGUAGAAAAAGGGCAUGUUCUAUUUUGUUCAAAAGAUUAUGAAAACAACAUUAUAAUUAACAUGAUACUAAUUUGAACCAAUGAAGAAACCAACAAUGUGCAGAUUAACGUUACAUAAUAGUUAGGUUUAUAAAAGAGACUCCAAGUGUCAAAGACUAACUAAAAAGAGAUUUUUGCCAAUAUUUACUUCAGACAAAAUGAAAAGAACAAAUGACAUCCCAAAGUCAAAAUAGUUUACGAUUACAGACCAAAGCGAUACGUCAAAAUAGUAGAAGUUCAAAUAGUUCAGCAGCAAAUAUCUACUUUAGAACAACUCGAACGUGCAAGUUCUUCGGUGACUUUUCGAGACCAAAUAUGAGCUUACCACCUUCUAUCAUCACACGUUCUCUGCAGAAAUUGAUCCAUAGCCCACCCAAGUAUUUUUCAUAGCUUGCUCUUUCGGCGGUAAUGAGGCGACACUUAUACUUUCUCUGUAUGCGAAUAUAGUUACAUAUAAUUUAUAAAAUAAAGGUAGCUUAACUGAUUUAAGCUAAAGAAAAUGUAUCAUGACUUCUAAUUUAUCUUCCUAUAAAGUCUAGAUAAAUACAUGUAUGUGCAUUAUAUGAACCCCGUUGACCAAUUAACAUUGUUGAAACAAAUGGAAAUUAAGCAUCACUCCCGCAUGUGCAUCUAUAGCUAGCACCAUUUGACAUUGAUGUCUUCGAACAUUUGGUGCAACUCUUAUAAUACCAUCCAAACUGGUUAGGAUUGAAUUUAGUUGUUUUCCAAAUAGUGAUGAAGUAUGUAUCCUAACCCAAAUUAUGCACAUGAAAUAAAGAAUAAUGCAAUAUGUAUUUUUAACUUGUGCAUCAAAAAACUCAAAGCAUGUUCGUGCAUAAAAAAAGCAGACCAUGACUAAGUUUAUAAAUUCAGUAAUUGGCCUAACCUGAGGCAGAUUGAAAAAAUCGUUGUACAAAGUACGUUGAGAAGAAGCCGAACUCUAACUUAAGUUAUGACUGAUACUUUGACUCUGAGCUUGAGAAGUGUUAAGGUCACGACAACAAUUCAAGAAACAUGGUCAAAAAACAAUCAAAUCAAAUUGUGAAAUAAUAAGUUACUCUAAUACUAUAUUUUGAAAUCAUAAUGCAAACUUACUAAGUCUUAAACUUCUCAACAACCGGAUAAUGUAGGUUGAUGAGCAGCCUCGAACCUGACCAAUUGUUACAUAUAUUUGGGUUGCCAAUGACUACAAAAUGGAAGAACUCAAGGUAAAUAGAUGGUAAAUGAUCAAGCUACAGAGUAUUUUUCCCAUAGUGUUACAUCAACUAUAUUCCCACUGCAUAAGGAAAGACAUCUUUCAGGUCAUUAUCAAACUUAUACAAAAUUCUAUCAUCUGACGUUGACAAAUUAGAAAAUAAUACCUUUUAUCUUUCAACACAAUGUUCGUACACGGUUUCUUUCUAGUCCCAAUUGGUGUUGUCUUGACAAUCUCAUGAAGAAGCCCGAUGAUUUCUUAAAAAAAAAUUACAUCUAUAAUAAUAUUAUAAUCGGAGAAAACAAAGAAAUAAAUUAAAGCACAUAACUAUAUCAUAUAAAAUGUCAGAUUUGAAUUUUCCAUCUUGAAUUUCCUUAAAUGACUUAAAACGAAAUUCAUGAGUAAGAACGUUAGUUAACUUGUCAUACUUCUGCACCUUUGUAUCAGAACCAAAAACAACCCUAAAGAGAUUAAAUACAAUGUCCUUAUCAAACACAUGACAAUUAUACAAAGUAUAAGUCUUGUUUUCCUCGAUCAAAGCCUUUCAAUGCUCCAAUUCUCUAUACCGAGUUAUUACAUGAACUCGAUCACCCUAAAUUCGAGAAAGAAACCAAAAAAUGUAAAUAAAUCAAAAUGUACACUAAUAAGUAACAUUGAUAAAUCAUAAAGGAAAUUACAACAAAUCUUAACUAACUCAUCUAAUCUUUGCAUCACAAAUAAUGAGCUUCAUAUGUUGAUUCUCAUUACUACCAUUUACAAUCCAAGAAUCCAGCACUCCAAAUCCUAUUUUCCAAAUGUCCAAAUCAUUUUUUAGAUCCUUAAUGUAGUCAUAAUCCCUUGACAUCGAAAGUCCUAUAUAAAGAUACAAUAAUACAUCAUUUAAUUUUAUUCCCUUUGUUCAUUCUGAUAUCGAAAGAAGCUAACAUAUCCUAUGUGAUCAAUUUUUGUAUCAUCAAAUCAACCUGAUCUUAAAUGCACAAAUUUCUGAAUCAUCAACUUUUUGGACGUCAAUGAUAUGACCAAAACAAAUUUCACCAAUCAACUUUUGUACGGCUCAAUCAUAUAGGAAAGAAUAAACCAAAUAUGAAAAUUGUUAUGGCUUUAUGAUUACUCACAAAAACUAAAAUAACCCACAUACAUCAAUUUUUUUUCAACCACAGUACCAGAAGCUAAAAUAACAAUUGUGUCAAAACCUUAUCAUGAGCUAAAAUUCAAUCAUCAUGAUUUAUCAAUGUUACUUAUUAGUGUACAUUUUGGUGUCUUUCAAAAAGAUAAGAAUUUAUAUUAUAUGAUAUUAUAUUUGUUACAUUGUUGGUGCCAUGGAAACAUAUAUGUUUAGUUUUUUCGAAUAAGAAGAAGAUAUGCAUAGUUUGUUAUAAUAUAAGGGUGCAAAAUAUAUAUAUAAGUAUAAUUUUUCUAGGCAUCUAGACCUUUUUUGAAGAUAAGAAUAAAAAUAAUCAUACGCAUUAUGCAACGUCAAAAAAAAUUAUACGCAGUAGCGUAACAAAAAAACAGACACAUAUAAAGUAUUACUCUAAGCGCUAAUAUGUGUGUUCGUAUAUAUUUGCGAGGUUGAAGAAAGAAAAUAAAAAUAUUUGGUAUCAUUAAAUGACAGCGUGAAUAAAAAUAUUUGUAAGGUUGUGAUGAUUAAACAAUAUUGAAUUUAAAUGUAUAAGUGAUAAAAAGAUAAUAAAAUUCCUUUGAAAAAAAAGGUAAUAAAAUUAAAUGGGACCUCCUUAAAAAAAAUUAAAUGGAACGAUUCCAAAAAAAAUUAAAUGGAAGAAAAAAUCAUAUUGAAAUAUAAUAUUAAAAAAUAAAAGAAAAGGUUCCCAGUGUGAGUUGAAAAGAUGUGCUUUUGAAAUAAAUUGUCGAGAAGUAGUUUUUUAAAGUAACAUUCAACAACUUUUGGCCAAAGCUCAUUCCAUUCAAUUUUAUGCAUUAAAAAAAAAUUACUUUUUGUAGUAAGUACUUAAUUGAUAUUGUGUUUGUGUUUGACCUAACUUCUCCUUAAAAAUGUAGAAAAGUUGGAAAAAAAGCCGGGUCAAACGAUACCUUAUUCUCCUACAACGGCAAUGUAGAAGCAACUUAAUUUUGGACAAAAAAUUGAAAAAUAGUUAAAAACAUAAAAAUUGGAAAUAAAAUAUUUGGUAUCAUUUAAUGACAGCGUGAAUAAAAAUAUUUGUGGAGUUGUGAUGAUUAAACAAUAUUGAAAUUAAAUAUAUAUGCGAUAAAAAGAUAAUAAAAUUAAAUGGAACAUUCUUAAAAAAUUAAAUGGAACGGUUCAAAAAAAAAAGUUAAAUGGAAGGAAAAAAACAUAUUGAAAUAUAAUAUUAAACAAUAAAAGAAAAGGUUCCCAGCGUGAGUUAAAAAGAGGUGCUUGUGAAAUAAAUUGUCGAGAAGUAGUUUUUUUAAAGUAACAUUGAACAAAUUUUGGCCAAAGCUCAUUCCAUUCAAUUUUAUGCAUUCAAAAAAAUACAUUUUUUUAGUAAGUAAAUAGCGUGAGUUAAAAAGAGGUGCUUGUGAAAUAAAUUAUCGAGAAGUAGUUUUUAAAGUAACAUUCAAUAAUUUUUGGCCAAAGCUCAUUCCAUUCAAUUUUAUAUUCAAAAAAAUUUCUUUUUUUUAGUAAGUAAUUAAUUGAUACUAUGUUUGACCUAACUUCUCCUUAAAAAUGUAGAAAAGUUGAAAAAAUAAAAACCGGGUCAAGCGAUACCUUAAUCUUCUACAACGACAAUGUAGAAGCAACUGAAUUUGGGAUAAAAAAUUAAAAAAUAGUUAAAGUUAUCAAAAAUAUAAAAAUUAUAAAAUAAUUAAAAAAAUUGUGAGGGGCAAAAUGGGAAAUGCACCCAUAUAAUGGUGAGGUGGCAACAACACAAUUCCACCAAUUAGAAAAUUACAAAAAUACCCCUCCUAGGGGCAAAAUGGGAAAUUUAUAGAGCAUCAACUUUAAUAGUAGUAAGUAUAUAGAUAAGAAGAUGAAUGUGCAUCAUCAUCUUAGAAUGACAAAACAAUUAUUCUUUUUCUUUUUAUGGAGGAACGAUGGAUGCUUCAAUUUGGGGAGGAAGAAGGAGGAAGGAUUUUGUGUGAAUCAAUUUGGGGAUUUUGCAAAGGUAGGGUUCUUCAAUUAUAAACAUUUUAUUUUCAGAUUUUUUUUUUUUUAUAAAUUCUAAUUAUUAAAAUUUUUAAUUUAAUUUUACUAUUAAUGAUGUGGAAAUGAUGUGUCUAAUAAUGGUAUCAUGUUAGCAAUGUAAUAUAAUGUCAUUAAUGAACGCGCUACAUCAUUCAAAAAAAAAAGGAGGACAAUAAAUUUUUGUUGACAUUUUAAAUAGGAGAUCAAAAUGUUGGUUUUAGAAAAUGGAGUAUAAAAAAUUAACAAAAUUGAGAAAUGGAACAAAAGAUAAUAAACUAUAAGUUCAAAUGUUAUUUAAAAUAGCGUCUGAAAAAUAAGUUAUAUUAGUUCGUUAUGAAAAGAGACAGAUGUCAAACAGGACUUUUUGAUCAAACGACUUAUAAGCUAUAAACUCUUCUCUAUAAGCUACCUCUUUGCCCAUAGCAAACAGACCCGUGAGUGUGGGGGGAGGAGGAUGGUUUUGUCCAAUAACACCACCAAUAGGCUUGCGGAUAAUUAUAGAUGGAGGAAGGGGGUAUGAGUAUGAUAGUUCCGGAAACACUUGGAGGGAGUAGGUAGGAAAUAGUUGGAUGCAGUAGGGAUUAGUAGAACAUGAAGAAGCAGAUGUGUUGAAUAAAGGAAGAAGGGAGAAAGCAACUAGUGAUCAAUGAUUGUGUUGAUUUAUAAUGAGAGGCUUGGAGAGAUCGAAAAGGAAAAUGAUUAACUAGUUGGUGCGCCAAAAAAAGGUAGAUGUCAGGGUGUGCUUGGAGUGGAGAUUCUUAAAAAAUGUUGCUUUGACAAUAAUAUAUAUUCUAAAUGUGAUAUAAUGGCAAAGACGAGGUUGUGCGGGAAUCUUUUGAUGGUUAGAAAUACUUUGUGAGAAGGAGAAUGGUGUUCGAUGGAUGAUUUAAUACGCGUGUAGUUCGGAAAGGGGGAAGGGGAAUAAAUUUGGAAGCUUCUUUGGGACAACAGUUAGAAAUGAAUAUUUUCAAUAAGGGAGGUGGACUUGGUGGAUGUGACCCCUCUAGAUCGUAGAUUUACUUGGUAUAAUUUAAAUGGGAGUGCGAUGAGUCAUAUUGAUAAAGGUCAAAUUAAAAGAAAAAAUGUUACAAUAAAACACAGUAUUUAUUUAAGGGGAAAAUAUUUUUUUUAUAAUGUCGAAGUUACAUGCUAACAUGAUACGACACUGUUUUAAUUCGAAGGUGUGUUAAAACCUAGCAGCAGAUCAAAGGUACAGUACAACCACAAACCCAAGGUUACUUGCUUUCCAAGGCCACAAAAGGGACCUUUAACUCUGCUAUACUCUAUUUUGUGUAAAAUAGAGUGCACAUCGAUCUUCCCCUCAGAUAUACACUAUUUUGUGCUUCAAUAAAAAUUGAAGUGUUUCAAUUAUAAAAAUUUGUGAAGCGAAAACAAAGUAUUAACCGUUAAAAUUGUGAAGCGAAAACAAUGUAUUAACCGUUAACUAUGUGAAAUGAAAACAGAGAGAAUUGAUAUAAAUCUCGUAUUCAUAUCGCAUAUUCUGUGAUUUAACUAUGUGUACAAGAAGGUUUAAUAUUAACUAACUGUGAUAGAUUCUAGAUGACUCCUACAUUUCUAAUAUUAACUUCACUUGUUCUGUACAUUCUACAUUGUUACAGAAUUUGCCAAAUUUUCAGAAAAUUACAGAAUCUGUCCAUUAUACCUUGUUACUGAUGUAAAAGCUUGUCAAGUGUUGAUUCAUCAAUUUUUAUCUCUUAAGAAACAGAGCUUUAAGUGUGAGUGGAUGCACCUCACUUAAGAGCUUUUGAACAAGCAUUUGUUCACCAUUUCUCUGAGAAUUGUAUAUAUGUCGCUUGUUGCUCUAGGGCCUGUUUGAGUAAGAGUCAGAGGCAUAUAGCAGUAAAGAUAUUAUCAGAAGGCAUCAUCAGAUCCUAUUUUACAGCACUUGAUAUGUUUUUCAUCUCUUAAUCAUUUGAGAGUGAAAUAUCAUUUAUGGACUAAUCUUUGAACCAGCAGGCAGGAUUUCGGAAGCAAGUAUUUGAGGCUUUUGUGAGCAAUUGUUUGGUGCCUAAAGAGUAACCUUCGAAUAUCACUCCUUCCACAUUUUUUUCUCCUUUUCAGCUGUUGCUUUUGCCUUCUGUCGAACCAAGCAAAGUGUUCAUGUGCUCUCCACCAAAUCCAAUAUGCAUAAGCUCUUCAAGUAAAGACCUACUCAUAAACCAAAUUAUUUUGCAGUACCAUAAAAUGGAACAGAGUCAAUAAACUAAAUUUAUUCCCUAAGUUAUCGGUAUAAUGAGUGCGAGGAAGAUUAUGUACCUCAUAUCAUAUGUUUCAUCUAAUUCGAAGUUUGAUGGCAGAGUUCCAAAGAUGUCUAGCUUUAAUUUGUUUGAUGGAGGAAUUGUUUCUUCUAGAUCAUCUGAUUCAAAAUUUGUUGGAGGAAUUGUUUCUUCUCGAUGAUUGGAUUGAAAAUUUGAUGAAGAUGCAGAUGCAGUUUCUUCUUGAUCAUGAGAUUCAAAAAUUGUUGAAGGAAUAGUUUCUUCCUUAUAUAUCCAGUGAAAUCCACACUCUUUUAUCGAUACUUCAUCAUAUAGAUCUUCUUCAAUAAAGAAUCUAAAUGUAAGCUUUGGAUUGCAACUAGUGCUGUUCACAUCAUUAAUGGAUUUUAUUUCUUCAACUGCUGCCAUUAUCUGCUUGCAACUUGCUUGAUCAUACCAAGAAACCAAAUGAUCCGAUAUCAUGUGGAUUGAUGGAUCGAAACGCAAUAACCAACUGAAGAAAUUUGCUCUUGUGAAACUUGUUAUAUAGAUUCUUUCACCUGAACUAUUGUCCAAAUAGCACUCACAUCCAAAAUCCACAUCAUAUCCCAUAUGGCCUUGAGAAAGAACCAAGUAGUACGAAAAUCCCUGUAAAUUAGACGGAAGCUCAAGAGUGACACAAACUUGUGUAGAAGAGUAAUGGAACCAAUUUUCCAUGCCAGGCAUAGCAGGUAAAAAGUACCAAAUAAUUUCAUCAUCAUCAUAUAAAGAUGGUCCAGUUUCAAUUCUAUCCAUAGCAUCUUUCAAAACUGUUUGGUAUGAAUGUGGUUCCAAAUUUUUGCAGUUAAGGAGAUAAAUAAAACAAGGAUUGGGUUCCUCAUAUGGUUCAAUCGUUGAACUCAACACUUUCUCAAGAGAUUCACAAUUCGAGACAACCAAAACUGGAAUGAACUGUGAAAGUGCCGGAAUAGAUUGAAUCAUUUUACAAUCGUAAACAUCAACACGUUCAAGUCGGGGAAGAUACUUAAUGGUUUCAGGCAAGCUUCUAAUGUCCAUACCAUCCAGUGUUAAAGACUUUAACGACGAUAGUAAGGAGAUACUAUCUGGGAAUUCAGACAAUAUAGGAAUAUAAAUAAAGGUUAAUUCUUUUACACUCUGGAAGGCAGGACUAGAAAAUAAUUUAUCUAAGGUGAUAAAAGGGUCAUCUUCACGAUUCUGUGGACUCGAAAGCGAAAUAUGAUCGGCAAAGUUUUCUGGAAGAUCCACAAGACAAUCACUGAUUGGAAAGACAAACCGUUUAAGGUUUUGUUUAUGCAAUAUUGACGAUGGAAGUUCAUUCCGAUCCCACUCUGAUAAACACAAAUCCAAACCAUCAACGGAUGAAAAUGUGACUGAGAACUCUUUGAGAUUGAUGCAAUCCCUAGCUUCCAAUUUCCGGAGCGCUGGUGAACAAGUGUUACUCGAAAGGCUCUUAAGCGAUGUACACUCGAAUACAUUUAAAACUUCAAGCUUUUGGAGAAGGAAAAUUGAUGAAUCAACUUCAGGCAUGCUUUCACAAUAACGAAGUAUUACAUGUUUUAGAUUUGGGGAACCCGACACAUUUGGACACUCUAUCAGCUUUUUGGAGCCACCGAGGUCAAGUAUCUCUAAAUUUGGCAAAUCCUAUAACAAUAUACAAUUGGUCAAACAAGUUAGUGCAUUUUCUUAAAUUCUAUAGAUUUCACAACCAAGAAGGGGGAAUAAGUAUAAAGGCUCACAUGCAUUUUUUGUUUUCCUAUUUUGAUAAAACCACAAUUUUGGUCAGCCAUUUCUAAUUAUGCAAUUUUGAUCACCUAUUUUCUAAUUACGCAAUUUUGGUCCCUAAUUUUUAGAAAUUGGGAGUAUAUAUGUAAAAGAGUCUUGCUAAUGAAUGCUCACCAUCAUUUUCCAUUAUAAAAUACUUAAAACUUUUAACAAAACCAAAAAAAAUACAAGGAUCAUACUUACCAGUACUCCAUUCCAAAGUUUUUCCACAUGGCUUCCUUUCAAUGAAAGCUCCACAAGCAUUUCAGGACAAAAGGUGGAAGGCAAAGAUUGCAAUGGAUAGCCAUCCCAUUGAAAAUAUCUUAAAUUUUCUGGCAAUAAAUCAAGACCAUGUGGAAGGUUUAUAGAUUUAAUUCCCUUGUUGUCUUGAAAAGCAAGUAACCUUAGAUUUACCAUCUUUUCAAAUGAUUCAGGUCUUAAAUUAAUAUGUGUGAAUUCAGUAGCAUCUAAAAAUAUGGAUUCAACAUUCUCAGAUCCCUGUAAAAAAGUAAAUCUCAACGUUAGUAUUUCCGUAGGAAGUUGCAUUUUGUAUAUAAAGAUCAUAUGAAUAGGAAGGCAAGUGAGGGCAUCUCUUACUCUAUUAUUUUUCAAUACAUUACAAACUUCCUUAGGAUCACAUAAUCUACUGCGUUGUCCGGGAUUCUUAAGUGAUUCUUCACGAACAAUUUGUUUUCCUGUUUCUUGUAUCAAGUCAUGCAUUUGUAUGCAAUUUUCAAAGUCAACGCUUAUAAGAGCCUUGUCUAAAAGAUUACUUAUCCCUAUAUCAGCAAAGAAACCACACUCAUUUAAUAUUUUUGUUAUUCUAUUCCUUUCAUGUCCUUUGAAAAAGCACGCAAUGUCUAAAAAUAUAUCUUUCUCUUUAUCAUCCAAUUCAUUAUAACUCAAUCUGAAUAUAAAAUCAAUUUCAGUGUUUGGAAUUUCUUUCAGUUUAGCCAGUGCACAAUCCCAUUCAAUUUCACUUUUACAACGAAGUAAUGAUCCCAAUACUUUCAAAGCUAAAGGAUUUCCUUUGGCAUAAUCAACUGCUCUUUUUGAGAGCUCCACAUAUCCAUCCUUAGGUGAGACUUUUCCAAAAGCAUUCAAGCUGAAAAGCUGGAGGGAAUUUUGGGAAUUCAUCUUCUUAACUUCAUAAAUUUUUUCAAUCCCUCCACUUAUCAAGACAUGCUUAUCCCUAGUCGUCACAAUGACUGUGCUACCAGAUCCUAGCCAACCAUGUCCUACUCCAAUCAAGUUUUGCAGAAGUUCUGAAUUAUGUACAUCAUCUAUUACAAUGAAAGAUUUCAUGCGUUUGAGUCUUCUCAUGAUCAUUGAUGGUAUUAAUUUGGAAGUAUCAAUAUCAAGAUCUUCCCUGAGUAACUUGGAAAGAAGUUUGUUGCAUGUGUAAUUGAUCCCAUGUCUCUUUGAUACUUCUGUUACCUUUUCUAAGAAGCAACUGCCUUCAUAUUUAAAAGAGACCCUUUGAAACAUAGCAGCAGCAAGGGUUGUCUUACCUGUGCCUCCCAUACCCCAAAGUCCAAUGAUUUGAACUUCUGUUAGAUCAGAUUUUAUUAAAGAUUGAAUGCUCCAAUAGUUUUCAUCAAGUAUGAAAUUACAUGGAAGAUCAUUUGUAUACUGUUGAUUUAAUUUUCCUAAUACAGCUCUAGUAAUGGCUUCAAUCAUUUCAGAUUCAGUCCUAACAUGUGCAAAAAAAAAAAAAAAAAGUUAAUACAUAUCAUAUGAAUGCCAACCAAAGGUAAAAUCCAAUUCUUCAUCUGAAUCUUAGAAUUAAAAUAUUAGGAAAAACUAACAAAAUACUCAAACAUUCACACAAUUCAUUUUCAUUUAUAUGCAUUUACAGAACAUACAUGUAUUGAAUUGGGCUUGAUCCUUAAGUGUACUUAAAUUAACAUUUUUGUUGAUCAAAGAUAAUUUUCAACCAAAUAGUAUGUCAGGAAAGGCUGUUACCAGACCAAAAUUAUAAUCGACGUAAUUCUCAAUAUAAAAAUAUCAUCAACAUUAAUGAUUAAAAAUAUAAAGCACAUGGGAAUAAACAUGUAUUUACAAAUGAUUAUUUUACUUUAUUAGAUCCUACAUAGUCUCUUUAGUUUCUGUUGUGAAUCCGGUUGAAACUCACACCAAUGAAAUAAACAAUGAUGUGUGGAGCAAGUGAUAGUGGUAAUCAAUGAGAACAAAUGGUUUCCAAGCAAACAACAACAAAGCAGCCCUAGACUAGUGUAUAGCAAAACCACACUAAGAGAUAACAAAGCAUAAACAAGAUAAGCAAGAAAGGAAGAACAAAACACCGAGAAGAUUGUUGACCCAGUUCAGCCAAUAUGGCCUAAUCUGGGGGAGAGAGCAGCUCUCCAAUCCAAUAUGAGAAAGUGUUACAAAAGGUUACAAGAAACUCUAGCCUUCAAGCUUUACACAAGACAAACCCUAGAUUCUACCCUUUGGUGUUUCCCCACUCUCACAAGAUGAACCCUAAAAAAGAGAAGUCACUAGAGGAAGCUUUUGAUCCUUCCAACUAAUGAACUCCUCACUACCCAAGGUGAUUACAAUGUUUUUCCCAACCCAAGAGACACUCUCAACAAAGACACUCAACCCUUUGGUUCCCUCCUUUGCUAUCCAAGUUCUAUCUCUAAGCUCUUCCAAGCUCUCUCUCAAAAAAGCACAAGAACACAAUAUAUACUAGUCUUCCUCUGAAGAAAUUGUGCCACGAUUUCCCACAAUCGUGUCACGAUUUGCAUCUGACCCAAGGUUGACAAGUCCUUAUUAGUGAUACUUAACGAGCAAGUUUCUGAAUCGUGUCACGAUUUCCCAAGAUCGUGCCACGAUUUGGCGUCCUGCAAACUAGCUCACGGCACCUUGAAAUCGUGUCACGAUGCCAAAAUCGUGUCAUGAUUUCUCUGUUCUUCCAGACCACAAAUUUGAAGCCAAUAACAACAGUUUCUUUAGUUUGUUAGUCUCUUAGUCUUAACUUGUUGUUGUCGUCGUUGUCUAUUAUGAUCAUGUUGAGUUUAUUGUCUUUCUAGUUCCUACCCACCGUGUAUUUUUUCGUGUGAACUAAGUAGGUAUCAUAUACGCACAAUUGCAAAGAAUAAUCUUUCAAGUUGCAUAUGAUUAUAAUAGAUGGUAAAACUGUCCUUCAAAAAAUUUAUUUAAUGAUGUUGCAUUUCAUGAUUUAAGAUAUUCGGUGAUUCUUUCCUUUUCAUAUUAGUAACAUAUUUUACUAAAAAUACAAGGGAAUCUAGUUACCCAAGAGUAACAUAUUCUGUCCUUCAAAAUUGAUUUAAGUUGUUAUUUUCUAGUUUGCACUCAACUUGAAUAUGCUUCUAAACCUUAUGAUUUUUUAGCGAUUUAUUUUUUUUGCGUUUUCAUCAUAGUCAAUAGAUCAUAUAGCGUCAAUCUUCACUCAAUUGCGAUCAAUUAGCAAAUUUGAUAGGUUUUGAUGAUGAUGGAUAAUUGAAAGGUGGGGAUUCCGCAUUCAGAUGGAUGAGUGGGUUGAGAUUGGUGGUUCGGUUAGGUAAUCAGGGUUAUGUAAAACAAAAUGUUAAAUGAGCAAUAAUUCGGUAGUUAUCUAACGGAGGUAGAAAAUCGAAAUUUUUAAAAUGAACAUCCGAUAGUUAUCUACCGGAUGUACAAAAUAGAUUUUUUUUUUCUUUUUAAAAUGAACAUCCGGUAGUUAUCUACCGGCUGUACAAAAUGAUAUUUUUUUAUAUGAACAUCUGAUAGUUAUCUACUUGACGUGUUAUUAAGGACAAUUUCAUAAUUUUAAGAGGUCUAAAGAGAUAUGAGAGGGGGGGCCUAAAAAGAACCUUCCUUGUUAGUUUACCUAGAAGCAAUAUAAUUAAUGCAAAAUUACCAUAGGGUUCAUUCUCAAGACACCAAAAACACAUUACCUCGUGCAUUUUUAUACGUUAGAUUUUUUUUUUGUUAAACCUUUGUUUCUAAGGGAAGGUGCCUCUUUUUUUUUUUUUUUUUUUUAUAUUUUUUAUAAUUUCUUUUAACCCUAUUGUUGAAAUAAAUAAAUAAUUUUUCAUCUCCCUUUCUUUCUCUGGCCCUCCAUCAUAUACUUUCUUUCUUUCAUCUUUGUGUUCUCUUUACCUGCUUUGGUUGUUUUUUUUCCAUAUCAUUUUUUUUUUGUGCUUUAUAUAUAUAGGAAUAGUACUAUAUUAUUAGAGUUUUGCGUCGGGGGUUUACUAGUAUAAAUUCCAUACUGAAGUUUUAUUGCAUAAGAUUUUCUAUGAUAUAAUAGGAAUUUUUUUACUGAAAUAUUCUUAUUUCUUUCAUUGUAUUCUUAUGUGAUUAGGUGCUUUUAGAUGUGAACAAUGAAUUGUAACAAUUUCCUUUAAAAAAUAAAGAAUUGUAACAAUCUUUUAGAUAUUUAUUAAUUAAUUAUCGAUUUUAAUCACAGAACCAUGAUUUAGAGGUUUCUUCGGUUCGAUCUCCGAUCUGAUUUUUACAACAUUGAUAUUAAUUUGACGGGCAGACCGAUAAAAUUUAAUUUUAAUGUAUGCAAAAACAGAAAAACCUGUAUGUGGUGGAAUGAAAACCAGACAAAUUAGCUGCUUGAAAAAGAGCAUUCUUCCAAUUUUGCAUCAUCUUAUCAUCAUUUUUGCCUUGUUUCUUGUGUUUAAUCAACGCAGUGCCAUAACUACCAGUCUGCUUCCGCACGUGUGAAGGGUCAACAUGGUAGAACACUGGAAUAACAACAACCUUGUCAUCUUCAUUUUUGUUACAACACUCCAUUAUUUCAACAAGUUCGUUCAAACACCAUGUUGAAGAGGCAUAGUUUUCCGAGAACACCACAAGAAAUAUAGUGGAUUGUUUGAUUGCUUUCACUAGUUCUACCCAAACUUCAUCUCCUUUCUCGAUCCUGUAGUCUAUGUAGGUAUAAAUCUUGCUUCGGCACAAAUCAGCGUAAAGAUGGCUUGUGAAUCCAGCGCGAGUGUCAUCACCUCUAAAGCUGAUGAAAACAUCAUAUUUCUUCAUAGGCAUAGUAGCAGCAUGAGAAGAAGAAGAAGAAGAAGAAGAAGAAGAAGAAGAAGAAGAAGAAGCCAUAUAAUCUAUGAGUUAUUGUCCUUAGAAUGUGGGAAUACCCACAUGUAUAAAAGCACAUUUUCAUAAUGUGUGUGGACCCUUCUUUAAGCACUUUGCAGAAAAAUGGGAUGAUAAAGUGGAACACCAUGAGUGAUGCCUUUACUUUUUCUUUUGAUUUAUAGCAUAUGAUUUAUUCCUUUUUUUUUGGCAGUAUUUUUUUUAUAGUAAGGUUAGCAGUUACCGGAUGGAAUAUGGGAUUUCUUAGAAUUCCUUCUUUUUUUAGUGGUGGCCGGGGUUCGAAUUUCGGACCUUGCAUAUUUUAUGCAUUGUCCUUAUCAACUGAGCUAAGCUCACGAGGACUUAGAAUUCCUUCGAUGUUUCUUUAAAAGUAUUUAUUUUUGUUGAAUGAAAUUUUAUGUUUGUUUUGAUCCGAUAAAAGUGAAUAUCCAGUAAAAAUUGCAUUUAUCUAGUAUGUUUUACUGUUUUUAUGUUAUGUGAUCUAUUUGUUUCUUCUAUUUAUGUAGUGAUAAUUUUAAUUUUUUUUUUUUUUUUUUUGUGCUUUAGUUAGGAAAGAGGAAUGGGUUCUGAUGGAAUCAAAGCUAAUUUGAGAUUUUGACAUUUGAGGAUUAGAAUUUUAUUCUCUUAUAUUUAGGAAUCAAAGCCAAUUUGUCUUGAAGAAUUUUAUCUUGAAGAAUAAAUGUGUGAAAAAUUUGAGAAUUUUAUUCUUUUAUCGUGUGAAGAAUAAUUCUAAUAUGGAAUUGAAGAUAAUAUUUUGGCCAUCUCAACAAACAAGAACAUUAAUGUGAAAAAAUCCGAAUUUAAAAAAUAUGUAGGUUGUAGGAAUUACAUUUUAGUUCAUAAUCAAUCCAAAAAGAGACUCUGUAUCCGAUGUAAUCUAUCAAUUUGAAUGAAUGAAUAUCAUUUAUUUUUGUCAAAAAAAAGAACAUUAAUGUGAUUAAUAACGGCAGACCUUGGUAGAUGAUGGAUAUAGAACACGAGGAUAAUGAUAAUUUAUCUCAUGUGCAUAAAACACUAAGGGUGUGUUUGGAUUGAGGGUUUAGGAGGCGAAGGAGGGAGGAAUUUACAUUUUUUUUAAUUACGGACUAUAUAACAUGUUUUUCUAAAAUAAAUUAAGUGUGAUUGAAGUAUUAUACGAUCGUUUAUCAAGUUAAUAUGUUAAUUUUUUUAAAAACAUUUCAUAGUGUCCGUAUUUUAAAAAUGAAAAACCACCAAAUUAAGUGGUCGAGUUUAUUAUGACGUUGGUAGUCUGUUACGGCUAACCUUAAUGGUUUUGGGUCUUUUAGCAACACUUAUGAAGUGUUACAAAUUUAUUUCUUGCCUGUGAUUCAUCGAAGAGGCAUUCCACAAAGUUCAUUUAAUUAUCUUACCAUCAUUUAAUCUCUUCAUGAAUUACAUGUUCCCCGCAGAUUCAUUGUCUUUUACCCCAUUUCUCUUAAUAUAUUAUCUAUUUAGUGAGAAAUAAAAAAAAAAUUGUGAUACUACUCCUAAUUAAAAGUUAAUAUACUAAUUUGUUUAAUGAAAUAGACGAAUAACCAUGUUAUCAUGGAACAUGUUCCUUCCUUAAAAAUAAAACCUUGUUAUGAUGGUGUUGCAAGAAUUUUCUCUACUUUUGGCACAUCCGUUAUAUAGAUUCGAAGAUAACCCGUAAUCAAUAUAUAGGAGGCAAUGCUAGAACAUCAAUCAUUCAUACCAUGAGCCCUACAUGCAUGGAGUUAUGUUGAACAAACCAAAAACACCCUCCCAUUUGAAAGGUGUGCUAAAGAAGUGGCAACUAGUUCUAGAACGGUUGUAUUUGACUUUAAUGAUUAUUUAAUCAGUGAUACAAGAUAGACCUAAAUGAGAAAAGCACUAUUCACAGUUUCUUAAAUUUGUCUAUUUAAACCCAUGUUUAAUCGUCGACAAUUAAGUACCUUCAAAAUAUGUUUUAGGUGAAUAGUUUUUACAAUCAUGCCUAAUCAGUUUUGAUAAGAAAGGCUCAUUAUAAUUAUAAAAAUAAAAAAAAAAAUUAAAUAGCUUGGAUAUAACAGCGAAAUUGCUAGGAAUUUUAGCUAGAGUUUUACUGCAAAAUUGUUGUGACGAUAUAUCCUAGCGAUAUAGUUACGACACAUAAACUUUUGAACAAUAUUUUACUAUAAUUUAAUUGGUAAUUAGCUACAAUUUUUUCAUAUAUUAUUUUCAUUUUAGCUAGUAAAUAUUUUGCCAGAUCAUUUUCCGUUCAAUGCAUGCUAUGACAGCUAAUUCAUAAUUAUUCUCUAGCUAAAUGUAUUUGCGCUAGAGAUUAGCUACAAAUUUGCUUAGAUUUCAAUCUUGCAGCUAAUGGCAGAUUUUCUUGUAGUGCACGCAUAAUGAUUUUGAUUUAUUAUAUUGCCUAACUAUAAUUUAUCAUGUCAUUUUUUGUGCCGAUCAAGAUUCACUUCAAUCAAUAUUUUACCACAUUCACACAUUCGAAAUAUCUACAGUAGUUGGAUCAAGAUCAAAAGAUCAUGAUCUAACGACCGCUGAUAUGCCAAAGAUGAAUGUAGAAAAAAUAUUAAAUACUGAGGCUGAAUUAAAAUAUUAGGAAGAACAAGAACAAGACAAAUACAAUCUAUGUAUAGUAUACCAUAUAUUUUGCAAAUUAAACAGUGAGAUUUGUGGUCACAACUACAAACUAAAUAGGAAAUAAUUUGAAAUGAACCUAAAAAUAAGUGGUUUCCCUAGAGAAAGUCGAAGAUUUAAAAUCAAGGCCGCAAAGGAAACCUGUAAUUUCAAACCAUGAAGGCACUAAAUGUAGGUGGCAAUGACACGAAAUCUAACCAUUUUGAAGUUCUAACUCCCUUCUUAGUAGUGGCGGAGCCUUUCAUGGGCUGGGGUGGGCCACGGCCCACCCGAAAAAAUUAAAAAAUCAACAAUUAUAGGUCUAUUUUGUGAGAUUUUAUGCAAUUUUGUGUCGAUUUUAUGUUUUGGUUGAUCCAAAUUCUUGCAAAGUGGUGUAGUGGCCCACCCGAAAAUUUAAAUAAUUCAAUUAUAGUUUUAUUUUGCGAGAAUUUAUACAAUUUUAUGUCGAUUUUAGGUUUCGGAUGAUCCAAAUUCCCGCAAAUUGGUGUAGUGGCCCACCCGAAAAAUUUAAAUAAUUCAAUUAAAGGUCUAAUUUGCGAGACUUUAAACAAUUUUUCAAUAGUUACUUUUAGUGGCCCACCCUGACAUUUUUUUUCUGGCUCCGCCACUGCUUCUUAGCCAUUAUUUCAUUAGUUAAAUUUACUUUGAAAUCCAGAAGUCCUAGCUCAACUGGCAAAAUGCCGAAAUUGUUAGGCCGGAUGUCAUGACCGGGGUUCGAACCCCGGUACCUCCACUUGUGUGUGUGAGUUUAUAAUGGCUUUGCCAUUUCGUCUAUCUACCAAAAAAAAAAAUUACUUUGAAAAUUGAGAUUCACUUUGUAGCCAUGAAACGGUUUUAUAACAGAGUGAAUUUGAGAUUCACUUUGAUAUAUAUAUAUAUAUAUAUAUAUAUAUAUAUAUAUAUAUAUAUAUGUAGUUUCUUUGGAAACAAAUAGGUCAUGGAAGGAAAUGGGAGAUGCAGAGAAGAGCCGGUCGAUAGAAAAAGACUAUUGUUUUUUGGUAUUGUCGAUCUUACUAACAUCUUGUUUUAAUUUUUUUUUACUCUUUCAAUUAUUUAAAUAUUUAGUAUGUAUAUUUUUAUCAUUGAAUUAGAUUUUAUCCUUUAUUUAGUAGAAAAUUAAUUUCAGUAUAAAUAUCAUAAAUUAAUUUUUAUUCGAAUUUGUAGUGGUAAAUAAAAAUAAACGAAUUAAAUUUAAUAAAUAGUAUUAGGUUCUAGUGAAAAACACAAAACUGUUGGUAAAAGGCAUGUUUUUUUUGCUACUUUUAUUCAUGACGUUUACGCACCGGAUAAACCGUAGGUAGAACUUAAAACUUUUGGUGACAGUCACUUGAACUUUUCCUCUCAGACACAACCCUUGAAAUUGGGCGUACGUAAUUGACGCCUUUUUCUAGUAUUGAAGGACUUCUAUGGACAAAUAUUAUCUUUCUGUUGAUGUCAAAUUUCUUGAAGUGAUAUGUUGGGGGUAUAAGUGUGAAUAGUUUGUUGGAACAAAAUGUGUUUCACAAUGAACCUUAAUGAGUUUUGAUGAUAACAUGGUAUUAAAAAUUGUCAAUUGGUUAUUACUAAUUAUUGUUCAAGUGUACAGGACCAAAGGCUAGUCAAGUAAUUUCAACAGGUCUUGGAAGAACAAUGAAAAGCAAAAGAAUUCCAAGCAUCUGAAGAAAACUGCUCCUGAAGUUGAAGUGCUUCUGAAGUGAUGACGUCAUCAGAAGCAAGGUUUUCAUCAGAAGCUAUAUCUUCACCAGAAGCUACAUUUGAUCCUUUAAUCAAUCUGAAGAUUCAAAGUAGCUGGUUCUCAAUUCAAUCUUAUCUAAGAAGAACGAAGAAUUGAAAGGGAUGUACCAACGGUCAUAUGGAUAGCACUGAGCAUUUGUCCCUCGUUAACAGAGUUGACAAAGUACAAGUGUACAACCACUACCUCCACUACUCUGUUUUUGUCCACGCUACAAGACAAGACAACAGCUAUGCCUGCAUAAUUUGUGUCCUCAAGAUGGGAAUGAAUUUGAAGCUUAUUCUUCAAAGGAGUACACUCAAAUCAGGCAAAGGAUUACUGGUGGAUGAUCAAAGGAUUUCAAACGACUCUUUAGACGUUCUGAUUAUCUCAACGUCUCUUUCACGCCUCUAUAUAAAGGAGUGAAGACUUGAAGAUUAAAGAUAGAGAUAUACAAGUUCAAAAGCGCCAAAACUCUGUCAAAUUGAUUCUACAAAGCACACUGAAUUUCUGCACUGAUUUGAUACAUCUUAGAAAUUCAAAGUCUAGAGUCUUUAUUGUAUUGUAUUGAGAACACCACUGAUUGUAUAUCAAGUGUUCAAGUCAAACUCAAUUCUCUGUAUUUUUGUUUGAUCAGAAGUCUCUUGCCUGCGUGCUUGAGCAUUAGAAGUCUCUUGCUUAGUGCUUGAGCAUUGGAAGACUCUUGCGUGUGUGCUUGAGCAUUUUUGUGAAGUCUCAUACUUAGAAAGUAUUGAGCAUUUGUAAUCUUUGUGAUUAUAGUGAAAUCUCCUUGGAAGUGCAAGGGGGACUGGACUACUUCCGUGUUGUGGAAGGAACCAGGAUAACUGCUUGUGUCUUUGUCUUUCUUUUCUCUGCUCUGCUCUGUUCUUUUCCGCUGCAUAUCUAAUUCUGAUCAUUUCAUCAGAAGCACUCACAAACUGCUUCUGAAGGUUUAUCAGAAGAAGAUUUUUAGAGAGAAAAAGAAAACACAAUUCAACCCCCCCUUCUUGUGUUUUUCUCACCUUCAUAGUUUAGUCUCACAUCGACUAUAAAUUAAUUAAAUGUAGGAUAUAUAACUUAUAAGAGUGGCGACUCAUGCCUAAUGUCUUAAGGUUUUGGGGUGGAGAAGUUGUGUCCAAUCUCUUGAUGGUCCUGAUCAUUUACCAAUUGUUUCUCUUAGCGCUCUCCCGGACUCUGCAACAAUAUCUUGAAAAACCAAAUGGUUAUAAAAUCGUUAACUUGCAUUGCUUUUUCAGCACUGUCUUGUUUUUGCCAUGCCAUAUUGCAAAUUUACACUACUAGAUUUGCACAAACCUUGGUGUUAUUAAUUAACUUUUUCCAAACAUAAACUCUUGUAUUUCAUAUCACAUGUCUAACACAUACAAGAGGUACACACAUCAUGAGUAUUUCUUAUUGAUGUAAAGUAAACCAUAAAUACCAACAAACAAACAAACAAACAAACAAACAUAACAACAUGACCAUGAUGAGGUAAUUUGACUACUUCACACAUUUUAUUUAAAGCAACAGAACAAACAAUGAAACUCAUUAAAUGGAGAUACUAUUAGGAAUGCCUCUGCCAGUCAAUCCUUCCUCACUAGAAGGAUAAAGCAGAGUGUAUGGCAUCUUCACAGGCCCGUAUCGGUUUCUCAAUGACUCAUCAUUGUUCCUUUUGAUGAGCUUUGCCUCAAUUUCAGCCAACUUCCUUCCAAACCUCUUGAAAGCUUCUAAUGGCUGUGAAUCAAAAGUCCAAGCCUCACCUUCAUUUCUCUGUCCAAGGUAUUGCUCAUCAGAAGCAUGCCUUGACAAGACCUCUAUGAUUGUAAGGUCAGUUAGGGUAUCAUUUUUUGGUGUGAUUGUCCUCAGAUACGCCUUCUGAAAGUUCUUAGAAAGCUCGUCAUACUCAGCAGACCCUUUCUUAGGCAUGUGUCUCCGGCUCUUAGUUGGUCGGUUAAGUAUAUAUCCUCCAUAUGGGUAUUGACCAAAAUUAACAGCUGCAUGAUGUGCUGAAGCAAUCCAUAUGAGGAUAGUGCAAGCUUCAAUCAACUCUGUACAAGUUUGCAUCUUAAACCACCAUGUAGCAUUCUUCAAAUCACCAUGACCCACCUCUACAACUUCUCUCCAAAAUGCUUGCAGUUCAGAAUCUUGCGCAACAGCAACAUCUGACUUGUAGUAGAAAUUCACAUAUUCUUCAACCCAUGACUUGAUAGCAUCCCAUAUCUCUAGUCCAUCAGCAGCAUAAGGGUAGUCCUCUAUCAGAAGGCGAAUUCCAUGUGGGGAAGUUGGAUCCUCAACAGCCACUCCUCUAGAUAUAGCAUGCAAGGAAGAUAUCAUUAACAUAAAAAAUACUUUUGACAUCAAUAUCUUUUUUACCAAGAUUAUUAAAUUUCUAUUGUAGUCACAAUCCUAGCCAUUAUAGAGAAUUGCGGUAAAAUAUAGUUGAUGCCUUAUCUUAGAUCAUGGUUACUAGCAUUAUUUCAAUCCUUUUUUAACUAAUGAAUGAGUAGUAACUAAUUUUUUUUUGAAGGUUACCUUUUAAGUAGAUCAUUAGGUAGUCCUUGAUCUGGGAAAACCCAAUCCUUAUAUAAUACAGAAGACAGUUCUAUAGAAUGACUUCCCAAUAAGAAUGUUGAUUCUAUAAUACCCUCUGCAUUUACCAAGACACUCCUUGCAAGUGCAUUAAUGUUCAUUGUGUCACGAUAAUGUGGAAGCAGAAGUUUGUGAAUAGGGUGAACCACACUAAGAUGCCUAUUAGUUGCUAUGAUGAAUGGCUCAACAACAGCGUGCGUGUUCAACCUGUUACACAUGUAGAUAUUCAUGAAUCAAUCUUAGAUAUAUAAAAUUAAAUAUGUUUGAUUCUAUAAAAAUUCAUCAACAUAAUUGUACCAGUGGCUGACAAGUUGGUGAACAGAAGAGUCAUUUACAAUAACAUAAGCCUUGGCAAGGAGCCAAAUAGAAGAUUCAACACCUUCCUUUGCAGGCAAGUAAACAUCACUAACAGGACCAAAGCUAUCAGCCUGAGGAUGUGGGCUACUUAGCUCAAUGGCUAAUGGCUUCAAAGUUCCAUCAUUUUGUAAGAAAAUGAUAGUUCUAGUAGCAUAUGCCUUUGUUGUAUCAGCUGCAUUUAUUUUCCUCAGAUAUGGAUAUAUUGAGUCAUGGUGAUCAAGUAUGUAAAGCCUGUUGUUUUGGAUAGCCUAUUGAACAAAAUAUAAUUUAGUCAUUGCAAUUAUUUGAAUAAUAAAUAACCACAAAAUAACAUUGUCAAAGUUAAAUUAUAUGCAUAGUAUUAAUGUUAAACUAUGUCAUUACUUCUUCUACAGUGACCCCAUCCAUGUUUAGCUCUAACUGUUCUUCGGUUAUUGUGCUCGUAUUAUCACCAUAAUCGGUAUUUAGCUUGCUCUUUGGUGGGAACUCCUACAUUAUAUAUAACAAGUAAUACUGAAAUUAAGAUUGAAAAUAUAGUAUGUAAAGUGGACAAAAUAGAGUUUAAUUUUGUGUUUGUAAAGAAAUCGUUAAACUAUUAAGUUUACCUGAAUUCUUUUUAUAAUGUGUGGAUUCACACCAGCAAUCAUCUCCCUUGCAAAUUCUUCAUCAGUCAUCCACGCAGACUGAUUAACUGCUCAAAAUAAGAGCAUUGCAAAUGAUCUGUAAUAUUUUUAUUUAUUCUAUGAAAAUAUAUUGCUAGGACUAACUAAUAGAUACCUUGAAUCACUUUAGGCGGUGGAAACUUUAGGGCCGAUUCACCAUCAGUUCGGAAGAGUUCCUUGAAAAAUGGUAUGGGGCUAAGUUUGCUAAGUAUACUAGUAGGUAAUUUAAUCCCACCAUCAUAAAAUGAUCGCACAUCAUCAAAGCUAUUAAAUUCUGGCUUAUUGAGUUGUAAUGUAAUUGCAGAUUGUAAUUGAGGUAUGAAACUUUGAGAAGCUGAUUUGAGUAUGUAAACAAGAAAAUCUGAAGACUUCAAGUGACCAAAUGCUUCAUCUCUUGGAACGUAAACAAAGUCGUCCCGUCUCUCACUUUUAGGAUCUGUUCACAUACAAAAUUGAAGACACGCAUUAGCAAGUACUAGCAAAAAGAUCGAUAACUUUAAAGUCAUAAUAGAGAAAAUGUUUUGAUCACAGCACCAUUAAUUUAAUAUGGAACUUUAAAAUUAUAACCUUUUUUAGCUGGUUUCCUGCCGGUUCUGCCCCUUCGAGGGUAAGGCAAGGUGUCGGAUCCUCCAAUAACGGGACGAGCCAAGUGUGCGUACUUGUCAGGAUCACCCAAGUCAUUGUAAACAUCGUAGUCAUAGAUUCUAUCGUGUUCCUUGCGCUGACCCGUUCCAUCUCCUCUUAAAGUCUUCAAUUCUUCUUCUCUAUAGUAGACUAAUGGAGCUGGUGUUUCACUUGGAAGGUAUGUCUAUAUUUUUAUUUAUUUGAUGGUGUAAGAUUUCAGGAAAUAUAGUUCAUAUUUAAAGGUCUUGCUAACAAGUGCCCUAAUGUUAAGAUUAAAAUAUUGAAACCAGUUGAUAGCUUUCAUGUAGAAAAAAUUGUUUUUUGAUGUUCCAAUGUGUUAACAUUUCACUAUAUUUAACAUGCACGAUAAAUAUGGUAUAUUCAUUACCUUGUUGGCGAAGAAGAUGCGUUUCGUUUUAUACUUGUCAGCACUGUAAAUCCAUGAGUUGCAUACAAAGUUGAUGGUUCCAUGGUUUGGAAUAUCUUCAAGUGUCAAACUUACAAGGAAGAAUUCUCGUGUCAUGUUACUCUCAAUAUAAAAUGCUCCUGGAACUCCCAUGUCACUAUUCCAUUCAAAAUGAAUAUCAUAUGCAGACUGUCCUGCUCCCAAAAUUGGCAUGGAAGUAACAAAACCUUCAAUAAAUGUUUUCUCUCCGACUUUCCCUUUUCCGCUUCCUACAAAUAUGUUACAAGUUUGAUUUACAAUUUCAGCAAUGAUAAUACUCCCUCCGUCUCACAUCAGGUGUCACAUUUGAGUUUUACACAAUUAUUAAAAAAAUGAUUAAUAAUUUUGAUUUUAAUGAUAAAUAUGUAUCAUUUACUAACAUACUUUUAUUAAUUAUAAUUAGUGGAAUAUUUUUAAAUGAUUCAAAUACAAUAGAUACAGAUAUGUUAAAAGAAAAUAAUAAUAAAUAUUGUAUUAUUAGUGUUAUAAAAGGGACAAAUAAAUUAAGAAAAAAAACAUAUAAUUUAAGACGGAGGGGAAAAAACAUCUAAUUUGAAACGGGGGAGUAACAUUCAAGAUUAAUUUAUGUCAAAGUAACAAAUUACUCUUUUUGUGCCAAAAAAAUAUUAAUUCUUUCCACCUGAAUAAAGUGUUUUAUAUAGGAGUUGAUAGUUGAUUAUAUCUUUCAUGCUAUAAAUAAGUUUUUGGUCCCUUUAAAUAUCUCAAAUUUCAGUUUUUAUAGUUCAAAAUAUUUUCAGCAAAAUUUGGGUUUGCUAAAAAUAACUUAGAAGGAAAAACUUGCCAAAUUGUUUUAGAGAGACUAUAUAUAAAAUUUUAGAUAUUUAUACAGUAUCCCUAAAAAAAAAAAGAAAUUUAUACGGUAGAAUUAUUUUUUUUAACCCAUUUUGUAAUGAUAAAACAAAAGGGAAACUGAAUUGAAUCUUAUGGACUAAGGGUCAAAUAAUAGAGGAAAAAAAAAAUCAAAUUAUUGAUAAGUAUUAAUAAAAAAAUUAAACCUCACAAAGAUUAAUUUAAUGUAUCAAACUAAUAACUGAAGACUAACAUAUCAUAUGAUUUUCUAUGUAAAAUGUUACCAGAUCGAAAAUCAUAUGAUAUGUUAAUGAGGUAAAUCAAGACUAACUUCUGAUGUGUGUGUAUAAACUUCAAUUCAUUUGUAAACUUUAUUAAUGUUUACUCGUUAAAGCGUUAUUGAGCAGCGCAACACUGUCCAAAUACUAUAUGUGUUCAGUGUUGUAAAUUUAUGACGAGCAUUAUGUAGUCUUAGAAUGAGAAAUGAAUAAGUUUAUUACCAUCGGCAGUGGUAGCACUGAUCAACCUGAGAGCCACAGAACGGCCGACAAAGGCCCCGGCGGUGUCAAUUAGAGUGCCGGCGACACCACCAACAGCCUUGAUUCCAGUUUUGACCAAAUUAGUGGUGUUUUUAGUUGCACCAUUGAUGGCAUUGAUGUCGAAAACAUUUGUUUGCAUCAACACAACUGUGCCCUUCACCUUUUGGCCUCUCUUAAGCAUACUUUUGAACCCUGAAUACAUCUUAAUUUGCUGCUUAAAUUUUUUUUUUUGCAAAUUAAUGAGAGAAAAGUUUGUGGCUGGCAAGAUGCAACCAUCUCAUUAUUUAUAGGGCCAAAAUUAAGCUUCUGAUUAAGAACAAAUAAUUUUUUUUUAAUUGAUUAAUUGAUCAUUGACAUCGUGCAAAAACUAUUAGUAAUAGGCUAAUCGUGGAAUAUAAAAUAAUGAUGUAUUUUAUUAUAGAAAGAAGAUAACAAUAUGUGUUACACAAUCAUAUUAUGACAAAUGGAUUUUUGAACUAUAGUUAAUUAGAUUCUAACGCGUACACCAAUAGUAAUAGGCUAAUCGUGCAAAAAUUAUUUCCUGAUACGAGGUCGUCUUUCUUUCCAUUGUUAAUAAUAUCCCUUCUCACAACUCACAUUCACAUACCGUAACCAUGGUUCAAUUUAAUAAUAUUAAUAAUAAGAGGAUGUACAAGAGUUAAUUAAACUAUGCAAGUGCAACUCCUAUAUGAUUUUAAGAUGAACAUAACUCAACUCUUACAAAUAUGAUUUGUAAGGUGAGGGGUUUCCCACUUAUAAUAAACUCAUUUUAUCUUCAUUUAAUAUAGAACUUUUACACUGCUCAUAUAUGUUUAAGAAUGGACGACAGGAGUGUGACUCGAGUUGUAUGAAAAUAGAUGAUCAAAUAGAUUUUAUUACGACUAUAAUACAUAAUGAAGGUUGUCCCCGUGAGCAUACUCAGUUGAUAGGGACAUACAUAAUUAUAUGCAGGGGUUGGGGUUUGAACCCAGACACCCCACUCAUUCACCUUGAAAAAGGUGAAUUCUAGCCACUAGAUUAAAAAAAAAAAAAUUAAGAAUUCAUUUUCAGGUAUAGUUUUAUCAUCAAGUGUGAAACUAUUAAUAUAUGCAAUGUUAAAAUAUAAAAUAAAUUUGUUUUUAUUUUUUAUCGCAAGAUUUAUCAUUAAACUUUAUUUAGUUGUUUUGACUCAUUCCUUUUUCUAUAUUUUAGCUGUUUUAGUUGAAUGUAGUUCCGUUAGAACUAAAAUUUAAGUUUUUUUUUUUUUUUUUUUUUGGAAAGUUCCAUGAAAAAGAAAUUAGUUUUUUUUUUUUCUUUUUUUCUAGUACUGCAAACUUUAAAAAUAUAAUUUUUCUGAAUGCUUUUGUAUGAAUGAAUUUUGAGGAGUGUUAGAAACACUCUCUUUUUAACACCUACAUUGAUAUUUAAUUUACUCUUUUAUUGAAUGAAUUCAUUGAUAUUUACUAUUUUAUUGAAUAAAUUAAAUGUGUAUUAUACAUUUUAAAAUGAGUUUCACAUAAAAUGGUGGAUUCCAUAGAUUUCGUCAAAUAAAAUAGUGGAUGUUAGAAAGAAUGUUCAACUCUAUGGUCUAUUCACUAAUAUUUUCACACCCCACAAAAUAUUUCUAAUACAAAAUAUUUUGUCAAGAUUGAAUAAACUUUCAAAAAAACUUGAGCUAAAUUUUCCAGAAGAAAAAACUGUUGAUUGGAAUACACGGGGAAUUUUUUUUUGGAAUUUUAGUCACGCUUCAAAUGUGGUUAAACUGCCGAAUUUGUAAAACGUAAUACUUGGAAAAAGAUUUCCAAAAUUUUAUCCAUAGUUGCUAAAAAUCCUGAGGAAAAUUCAAUGAAUCUGCCGUUUAGUAUCAUUUCAAGAAACUUUUAAUCAAUUGUAAAAAACUUUUACUUACCAGAAAUAUUUUGUCCGAGUUAAAGUCAAAUGACAAAAAGAUAAAAUUAACAAUAGAAUUUUUUAUAGUUUGUAGGGAGGAGAUGUAUGAAUGCAGGGGUAAAGAUUAAAGUGAAUUUUUAUUUAAACUAUAGAGCAAAAGCAAAAGCCCGCGACAUGUGCAAUGAGGCUAAGGCUUUGUAGAGCAAGAGUGAUUUUUUAUUUUUUCACAAGAGUUGUUAGGGCAAUGAGGACUACCCUACUCUUCCUACCCCACAAAGUAUAUAACAUGUCUAAUUUAUUUCCAACGACUUUAAAUUAUUGAGGAAUAGGAGUUUAGUCCUUUCAUCAUUUCAGUUUUUGGGAUCGAAAAAUUGAAAAAGUCAAAAUUUGAAUUUUUUUUUUAAUGUACUAGUUUUUCUAGUCCAUACGAAGAGAUACAUAUCAUGUGAAAUUCACACAUAAGACUGUAAGAUUAUAAGUUUGAAGCGGACAAAGAUGUUCAAACUAAAAAUAUUGAUAUUAGUCAUUGAAAUAGACCAUGCAGACAAGAAAAUAUUAGUUUUUGAAAGAAAGAAAAAACAAUGUUACGAGGAACUCAAAUUUUGAGUUUUUGAUAAAUUAAAAAAUUUGAAAAAAUGGGAGUAUUUGUUAACAUUUCCCUAUAAAUGAAAACGAUAAAACCAAACAUUUUAAAAGAAUAUAGUAGUAUGAUUUUGAGGGGUAGGUAGAAUAAUUCUUCUGGAGCGAUAAUGCUAUGAGAAGAGCAACCAAUUGCAUAUACUUGGAUAUGGUUUGGAAGGAGCACAUUUUCCAACUCAUUAAUUAUUUUAGAGAGUGACUAAUUUUUUUUUUUGUUAGACAUGGUUACACGUAAGUACAAGUUUAGUUAGGGGUGCCCUACUUUCGUGUGGUGAAUUCGAUGAUUUUUGACUUUGGAUCGCGUGUUCAAUUUCAUCAUUCUUGGAGAGAAUGAGACUUUUUAUCUUGCACAACUCUCGAGUCUCCUUCUAAUUAACUUUAUAAACUUAUUUUUGAUCAUAUCUUUGGGGCUUGCAUACUUAGAAGUGUUUGUUUUGAUUUGUAGUUUUUCUUUGGGCUUCGACCAUCUUUUGUACCAAAACAAGAGAUUACUUUUUGCGUCCAAUGAGUUUCUCACGCACCAUAUUUUUUUUUUAAUACCCUUUAGAUUCUAUAAUUCAAACAGCACUUCAGCUUAUAUAAUCUGAAAACUUGUAUUUCCAAUAUUUACUUAACAUCGCUGAUUUACAAAACAUCAUUGACAUAUACUAUUAAGAAAACAUAAUUGAAAAUGACCAAAAAUUGAAACAAAAAUGUAGAGACAUAAAAACGAAUUCAAAUUCUCAUUAUAUUAAUAGAUCAUAUCUUGAAAGUACAUUUACAUUAACAUCAAAGCAUAUUACGCAAAAUUAUUAAACAUCUAAUAUUAAACAUAUGGUGCAAGAAGAUCAUGUAGGGGUAAAAAGAAUAUGAUGGAGGGGGAAGGAGGUUGGAGUAAGGUUUUUUUUUUUUUUUUUUAGGAUGAAGGAUACUUUGAUGGUCAACCUUACACCUAAACAUAUCAAAUUUACAUCCAAACAUAUGGUACAAAUUUGCAUAGUGGCACCAUCUUCGUUGAUCGCUCAUACGAUCGCUAAAAUAAAAGAGUAACCUUUUUGUAUAAAAGGUCAACGAUGGAAGCAUAUUAAUUGUGGAAGAAAACAGAAGGAGAAAAUGUGAAGAAUGAGAAUUUGUGAAGGAUUGGUGGGUAUUUACAGGAGGAACUUGUGAAGGAUGAUGCAUAGAGUGUAUAAGACCAUUGAUUACGGUCAAAAAACGUGGUAAACCUGGUUCGACCGGUCAAUGAAACUGAUAUGACCAAAGAAAAACUUGUUCAAUGAGUUAGUCUUGCUGAGCUGAUUCGAACUCUGAACUAGUUCAUAUUAGGUAAUUUGAACUCAUCCCAGGAAUGUUAUUAUAUAAUCCGAACUAAUUUAAGAUUGUGUUAAAAUUCAUACCUUAUAGGGUGAGGGAGAGUUUAAAUUAUAAAUUAUAUAAUUCAAACCAGUUCAAUACAUGUUCUUUUUGUGAUCUACAUUGCACCAACAGUUUCCUUUUAUGUUUUUUUUCUUUUUCUGUGUUCUGGUGUUGUGCCUUAUUGGCCUUUUUUUCCAAAACUGUGACACCAAUUUUUUAGGGCGAGAAUAGAAUUUGAUUGAUUCUCUUCAUUAAAUUCAAUGGAUUUCAUAAAUUUCUAAUUUUAAGGUCACACGGCUAAUACAUAUAUAACACAAAGUGUCGUCAGAGUCUUUUGGCAUUGGUGUCAUACUAAUCUUGUUUGAAUUCUCUACUCCGAUUAUUUUCUAUUACUUUGAGAAUUCAUGAAGUCAUUCAUAGACCUAUUUAACACAUAAUUGAUGCCUGUGUUUUAUAUUUACACUUUAUUAAAACUGUUGUAAAAGAAAAAAAAAACAGACAUAAUCAUAUUUUCGUUUUAUAGUUACGGUUUGCAAGCAUGAAUUCUCACCUCCGUUGAUCUCUUUAAAUUAAUUCGAAGCUUCAAUUCAAAGUGGGUAGAAGAAAUUGUAAACAGAGCAAGAGGUUUAGCUUGGAAUUCAGAAAAAAGUCUUGAAGCUUCACCCUUUCAUCAAUUCUUGAUUUUUUCUUCAAUUUGAUUAAGGGGGAUUACCACUAAAUGACUGUUUUAUCUUUAUCUAUUUUAUGAGCAUGUUGUUGCUUUAUGAAAUUUUUAGAGAUUCUUAGUUUAUGCAAUCUAUUUUAUGUGUUUCUGUCAAUCGCACUUUUGCUGCUGCGUAUUUAUCUGGUUUUGUGUUUGUGUCAGUUUCUGCAUAAUAUCUGCAUUCGUUUAGGUUUCCUUGUAGUUUCUUGUUUAAUGCAAUUACUACAUAAUUGCAUUUCUAUUUUUCAUGUUUCAUUAGUUAAUGUUAUUGCUCUUUUUAGAUUUUAUUUCUGCAUAAUACAUUCUUUAAUGAUUUCUACUUGGCUACUGGUUAGAACUAACAAUUAAAAAUAAAAGAUCUUAAAUAAGGGCAGGUCUUUAAAAAAUACCAUUAUAAUUUUCAACGUAACAUGCUUCUCUAUUUUACAUCUCUUUGUUAUAUAUAUUCAAAUUGGUGAGGUAUUUGAGAUUCUAGAGGGUGAUAAAUGCCUUCCUGAAGAACAAUUGCAAAGCUUAUAAAUGCCUUCCUGAAGAACAAUUACAUCUCCAAAUGUGGUCUUCCUGGAAACUCAGGUGGCAGACAAAUUAAAUCUUGUUCUGGUUUUGCUUGCAUGCAAUGUAAAUUUGAAUCCCUCUAAUAUCUCUUUUGUUUAGAACCUUCUCCUUAUGUCUAUGGUUUUUUUUUUUUUUUAAAUUUAUAAAGAUGAGCAUAUUUCUUAUUCAAAUUUACUAAUUUAGAGAAGGGUUCAUUGGAUUUGAAACUUGUUAUCAUACUUAUGCAUAUGUCAUCUUCAUUUAUUUGUGUGGAUUUACAGGGUUGUAUAUGGAUUUGUUAUGUUUGCAACUUAUUUUCUUUUAUUUUCAAUAGGCUACAUAUGCUUCUUGUACAGUUUCUUUGGAAACAAAUAGGUGAUGGAAAGAAAUGGGAGCUGCAGAGAAGAACCGAUCGAUGGCGGAAUUUUCAUGGAAAUAUAUGUGCUCUACCUAAUGGUCAGUGUAACAACUUGAAGGCACCAUGAUUUCUAGUCAUAGUUUAAAAUUGUUUGAUGUAAAAGGUCGAAACUAAAGCAUUAAGGUAAAAUAUAAUUCACUUUAACUGUUAUUACUUUUUGGGUAUUAACAGCAUUGCAACUGUUAUAUAAUCUUAGGAAAUCAAUAUUGUACAUUACUUUUUCAGCACUAUCAUCUUUUUAUCAUGCCAUAUCGCACUACUAGGUUUGCACAAACCUUGGGGUCAUUAAUUCAUUUUUUCCAAACUUAAACUAAUGCAUUUCAUUAUCAUAUCACAUGUAUUACACAUACAAGAGGUAAACACAUCUUAAGAACUUCUUAUUGAUGUAUAGUAAAACAUAAAAGCAAGCAAACAAACAAACAUACAUAAUAACAAGACCAUGACGAUGAGGGAAUUUGACAACUUCACACAUUUUAUUCAGAGCAAAGCAACAUACCAUCAAAUUCUUUAGAUGGAGAUACUAUUAGGAAUGCCUCUGCAAGUCAAUCCUUUCUCACUAGAAGGAUAAAGCAGAGUGUAUGGCAUAUUCACAGGCCCGUAUCGGUUUCUCAAUGACUCAUCAUUGUUCCUUUCAAUGAGCUUUACCUCAAUUUCAGCCAACUUCCUUCCAAACCUCUUGAAAGCUUCUAAUGGCUGUGAAUCUGAAGUCCAAACCUCGCCUUCAUUUCUCUGUCCAAGGUAUUGCUCAUCAGAAGCAUGCCUUGAUAAGACCUCUAAGAUCGUAAGGUCAGUGAGGGUAUCAUUUUUUGGUGUGAUUGUCCUUAGAUACACCUUUUGAAAGUUCUUAGAAAGCUCGGCAUACUCAGCAGACCCUUUCUCAGGCAUGUGUCUCCGGCUUUUAGUUGGUCGGUUAAGUAUAUAUCCUCCAUAUGGAUAUUGACCAAAAUUAACAGCUGCAUGAUGUGCUGAAGCAAUCCAUAUGAGGAUAGUGCAAGCUUCAAUCAACUCUGUACAAGUUUGCAUCUUAAACCACCAUGUAGCAUUCUUCAAAUCACCAUGACCCACCUCUACAACUUCUCUCCAAAAUGCUUGCAGUUCAGAAUCUUGCGCAACAGCAGCAUCUGACGUGUAGUAGAAACUCACAUAUUCUUCAACCCAUGACUUGAUAGCAUCCCAUAUCUCUAGUCCAUCAGCAGCAUAAGGGUAGUCCUCUAUCAGAAGGCGAAUUCCAUGUGGGGAAGUUGGAUCCUCAACAGCCACUCCUCUAGAUAACAAGCAAGGAAGAUAUCAUUAAUAUAAAAAAUUAAAAAGCUUGAGAUCAGUAUCUAUUUAACCAAGAUUUUAAAUUGGUUGUAGUAUGAUCUUAGUUAUUCUAGCGAAACGCGGUAAAAUACAGUUGAUGUGGCCUCAACCAACGGUGUUUGGACAUAAAAAAACCUUGAUUUCUCGUCUUACAUUGUGGUUACUAACAUUUUUUCCAAUCCUUUUUUUUUACUAAUUAAUUUAUGUGCAGGAUCUAAUAUUUUGUAAGGUUACCUUUUCAGUAAAUCAUUAGGAAGACCGUGCUCUAUGAAAACCCAAUCCUUAUAUAAUAGAGCAGACAAUUCUAAAGAAUAACGUCCCAUCAAGAAUGUCGAUUCUAUAAUACCCUCUGCAUUAACCAAGACAUUCCUUGCAAGUGCAUUAAUGUUCAUUGUGUCACGAUAAUGUGGAAGUAGAAGUUUGUGAAUAGGGUGAACCACACUAAGAUGCCUAUUUGUUGCUAUGAUGAAUGGCUCAACAACAGCAUGAGUGUUCAACCUGUUACACAUGUAGAUAUUAAUGAAUUACUCAUAGAUUGAUGAAAUUAAAUACGUUUGAUUCUAGAAAAACUCAUCAACAUAAUUCGUACCAGUGGCUGACAAGUUGAUGAAAACAGGAGUCAUUUACAACAACGUAAGCUUUGGCAAGUAGCCAAAUAGAAGCUUCAACACCUUCACUUGCAGGCAAGUAAACAUUACUAACAGGACCAUAACUAUCUUCUUGAGGAUGUGGCUUACUUAGCUCAAUGGCCAAUGGCUUCAAAGUUCCAUCAUUUUGUAAGAAAAUGAAGGUUCUCGUAGCAUAUGCCUUUGUAUCAGUUGAGUUUAUUUUCCUCAAAUAUGGAAAUAUUGGGUCAUGGUGAUCAAGUAUGUAAAGCCUGUUGUUUUGGAUAGCCUAUUCAAAAAAAUAUAAUUUAGUCAUUGUAAUUAUUUGAAUCAUAAAUAACCACAAAAUAACAUUGGCAAAGAUGUAUAUUCAUGGUAUUAAUGUUAAACUAUGUCAUUACUUCUUCUACAGUGACCCCAUCCAUGUUUAGCUGUAACUGUUCUUCGGUUAUUGUGCUCGUAUUAUCACCGUAGAGUUGGGUAUCUAGCUUGCUCUUUGGUGGGAACUCCUACAAUAAAUAUAGAAAGUAAUAAUGAAGUUAACAAUUAAAAAUAGGAAAAUGUUAUUUCUAGCGAAGGAAAUAUGGCUGCUCCUAAUUCUUGAAGAUUUCGUGAUGCUAUCUUUCGGGAAAUAUGGUCAAAAUAAAAAUUAAAUUUUCUGUUCGCAAAGAAAUCGUUAAACUAUCAAGUUUACCUGAAGUCUUUUGAUUAUGUGUGGAUUCACACCAGCAAUCAUCUCCCUUGCAAAUUCUCCAUCAGUCAUCCAUGCAGACUGAUUAACUGCUCAAAAUAAGAGCAUUUCAAAUGAUCCGUGAUAUUUUUAUUUAUUCUAUGAAAAUAUAUUGCUAGGACUGAACAUGUGUUUCUAAUAGAUACCUUCAACCACUUUAGGUCGUGGAAACUUUAGGGCCGAUUCACCAUCAGUUCUGAGGAGUUCCUGGAACACUGGUAUGGGGCUAAUUUUGCUAAGUGCAUUAGUAGGUAAUUCAAUUCCACCAUGAUAUAAUGAACGGACAUCUUCAAAAGUGUUAAACUCUGGCUGAUUGAAUUGUAAUGUAAGUGCAGAUCGUAAUUGAGGUAUAACAUUUUGAGAUGCUGAUUUCAGUAUAUAAACAAGAAAGUCUGAAGACUUCAAGUGGCCAAAUGAUUCAUCUCUUGGAAUGUAAACAAAGUCGCUCCGACUCUCACUUUUAUCAUCUGUAACAUACAAAUAGAAGACAUUAGCAACAAGAUCAAUAUCUUUAAAAUCAUAUAGAGGAAAUGUUUUGAUCAUAGGACCUUUAACUUAAGAUAGAGCAUAAAGUUUAUCACCUUUUUUAGCAUGUUUCCUGCCGGUUCUCCCCCUUCGAGGGUAAGGCAAGUUAUUGGAUCCUCCAACAACGGGACGAGCCAAGCUUUCUUUCUUGUCAGGAUCACCCAAGUCAUUGUAAACAUCGUAGUCAUAGAUCCUAUCCGAUUCUUUGCGCUCACCCGUUCCAUCUCCUCUUAAAGUCUUCAAUUCUUCUUGUCUGUAGUAGACUAAUGGAGCUGGUGUUUCGCUUGGAAGGUACGUCUAUAUUUAUAUUUAUUUAUCGGUGUCAAAUUUUGAGAAAUAUAAUUUGUAUUAGCAUGUUAAAGAAAUAUGAUUUUUUUUCAUUACCUUGUUCGUAAAGAAGAUGCGUUUCGUUUUAUACUUUUUAGCAUUGUAAAUCCAUGAGUUGCAAACAAAGUUGAUGGUUCCAUGGAUGGGAAUAUCUUCAAGCGUCAAACUUACAAGGAAGAAUUCUCCUAGCAUGAAAUUUUCAAUAUAAAAUGCUCCUGGAAUUCCCAUCUCACUGUCCCAUUCAAAAUGAACAUCAAAUGCAGAUUGCCCUGCUCCCAAAAUUGGUAUGGAGGUAACAAGACCUUCUAAAUAUGUUUUUUUUCCCACUUUACCUUUUCCACUUCCUACAAAUAUGUCAUAAUGCUUAAUUUAUGUCAAUAUAAACAACUUAAUCUUUUCUUAUGCUAAGUGCUAAAUUUAUGUUCACCCAAGUUGCUUAGAUUAUAUCAAAGUGAAAUAAUUCCUAAUUUCCUACAUAUAUUUUAGUAAUAGUUGAUUUAUUAUUUAAAAUAAGUUACGUCAAAGUGAUAAUCACAAAAAUAAAAAUAAAAAUUUAUAAUAAAACAAAAGGGAAAAUAAAUUGAAUCUUAAUGGACUCAGGAUCAAAUUCUUGUAAAAAUUAAAAUAUAAAGACAAUUUUCAUUUGGAUCCUUUGUAAAGCCAUUCAUUUAAAAACGAUAAACUUUGAAACUUAUAUCACCUGCAGAUUUAAAAAAUGGUGAGGCCUAGGUUGCCUUUGAAAACUCAUGGGCAAUUUACCUAAACCAAUCAAAAGUUUUCAUGUGUACUCCAUUAGAAUAAUAACAUUUAUUAUUUUAUUUUGCAAAAAUUUAGCAAGUAUUUUAUUAUUUGCAUAUUCACCCCAUCUUAAAUUAAUGAUUUUUUACAAUUUAAACCAUCACAAUAAUUAAAUUUCACCUCUAAUUCAAUCACUCUCCAAACCUCUUUUUUAGCUUGGCAAAAAUCAUUAAAAAUUAAAAUUAUCACCCCUGAGAAUCAAACCUGGAUGCUCCCACCUAUUUAAAAUGUACUCUGGAACCACUUGAUCAAUACAUUUUUUAUGAAAUAAUUUGGAAUUCAAAAUUAUGUUAUUAGUGAGCAAAUUAUUUUAUUUUUAUUUGCAGUGCCUUUAUAACCUAGCUUUAGUGAGAAAAAAAAAUCAUUUUAUGUGUGUAUAAUUAUGAAGUAGUAAAUUUUUCUUAAGAAAAAUGAAUUCAUUCAAUUGAUUUUUUAUAUUUUAAAUUUCAUUCUUUUUUAUAAAUUCAUACUUUUAUAUAGAUUCGAUGACCUACGACAAUGUUUCAUUUGUGAUCCACCGAAUUAUGAUUUAUUUUAGGUACUAUUUUUCAUUUGGAUCAGAUAAAUUGUUUAAAGGUAAUAAUUUUUUUUUUUGCAAGGUCUUAUAAGUUAUAACCUAGCUUUAGUAAAAAAAAUCAUUUUAUAUGUGUAUAUUUAUGAAAUAGUAAAUCUUUCUUAAAAAAAAUAAUUCAUUCAAUUGAUUUUUUAUAUUUUAAAUAUCAUUCUUUUAUAUAAAUUUAUAAUUUUAUAUAGAUUCGAUGAACUACAACAUUGUUUCAUUUGUGAUCAAACGAAUUAUGAUUUAUUUUAGGUACUAUCUUUCAUUUUGAUCAGAUAAAUUGUUCAAAGGUAUUAUUAUUAUUAUUUUUUUUGCAGUGUCUUAUAAGUUAUAACCCAGCUUUAGUAUAAAAAAAAUAAAUCAUUUUAUAUGUGUAUAUUUAUGAAAUAGUAAAUAUUUCUUAAAAAAAAAAAAAUGAAUUCAUUCAAUUGAUUUUUUUUAUAUUUUAAAUAUCAUCCUUUUAUAUAAAUUCAUACUUUUAUAUAGAUUCGAUGACUGAUGGGAUAAAACCGCAAGUGCACGAUUCUACCAGAAUUCAGGGCAUUACAAACGCAACAUGUGGCAUAAAAACAUUACUUUAUAUGUAUAUACUAUUGAUUUUCCUGUUCAUUUAAAAUAUUUUAUUUGCUUAAUUGCACUUUUGGACCCCUAUCUUUUCAAAAGUUGCGGUUAUGGAUCCCUAACUAAUUUAAAUACAAAACAGUCCCCUAUGUUUUGAUUCUUUAGCAGUUUUGGACCCCCAAGGCAAAAAAAAAAAAAUUUGACAAGUGGCACCUCACUUAGGGUGCCACGUCAGCGUUGACCGAGUCAACAAUGAAUUGGGGUCCAAAAUUGGCAAAAAAUCAGAACAUAGGGGGCUGUUUUGUAUUUAAAUUAGUUAGGGGUCCAUAAUCGCAACUUUUGAAAAGAUAGGGGUCCAAAAGUGCAAUUAAGCCUAUUUUAUUUACUAUUUUAUCCUUUAAUAAUAUUAUAUUAAAUUUGAAUUAGAAAAAUGAAAUCUCAUUAAAAUAGGAAAUAUACCACUACAACAGGAACAAUACUAUAUAUACUUUUUUUUUUUUUUUUUACAAAAUACUAUAUAUACUAUAUAUGAAGGGAAUAGAGACUUUGGGCUGAAUUUUUUAUAAUUUCAAUUAUACCCUUUAAACAAAUUUUCCUAUAUUAAUGUUCCAUUCUUGGUGGUAUUAAAAAAAGAUAAGAAUUUAUAUUAUAUUUGUUAAACUACUGUGUUGUUGUGGUAAAAGAUAAACAUGAUUUUUUUGGGUUUGUUACAAUUUUAAUUUCACAAAUAUUUGUACUUAUAAUUUUAAUCAAAAUCAAAAUUUCAUAUAAAAUACCGUUCAUAAUUUACACAUGUCACGUGCCCGUUUUUUCGCUAGUUAUAUAUAGUAUUUAUACUAUAUAUAAAGAAAACUAUCUCUUUCAGCACUUUUGGACAGGAUUUUUCUUUCCAAAAAUACCCUUAAUUUUUAAUACAAACAACACAUGUAACAAAUAAAUAAGAAUAAAUUUAAAUAUUAAAACAAAUGUAACAAACACGAUAUGUGUGUUUGGUUUUUUUCCUUUAUCAUUUAAAAAGUGUAACAAACUAUAUGAGUAUAUUUAAUAUUUGCUUUUUUUAUUAUCCCAAUUAUACCAUUAAAACAAAAUCCAUAAUCAUCAAUCAACAACAAGAAGAUCCAACAUUUUAAAAAAUAAAUAGAUAAAUUUAAAGGAAUUUUUUUAAGAUUCUUAUGUUGUUACAUAAUAUUUGGACAAGAUUCUAAUUCUCAUUAAUCUUUUCUCCCACGUCAAGAAUAUCUCUUUGCUUCUUCUGAUUCAUAUUCAUUCAUUCCUUAUUAUUCUAAUUUUUAACUCAAUUCAUCUUCCUAUAGAUUUGCAUCGUUUUUGCUGAACCAAGAAGGACUGUUAAGUAGAAGAAUUCCAGAAUCAUAGAUGUAAUCACAAUAGUUCUCAAUGACAAUGCUUAAAAAAAAUUGAUUUUUUUCCCAAUCUAUCUCUCUCAAUCCCGAUCUACUCUCUAUCCCCUUAAACCCUUUUUUCCUAAACUAUUCCUUACCUCUCAUGCUCUCUCUUCUCCAUCGGAUACCAUUUCCCCUUCUAUCAUCUUCAUUGCAUUCUCCUCUUUCUCUUUCAUUUUUGACUUCUCAAUAAAAAAUCAAUCGCAGCUUCAAUUUUUUAUUGUCGAAUUCGAAUUCGAAUUUGGGGUGCGUGGGUUCGAUUGAGAGAGAUAGGGAUCGAGAUGAUGGAUAUAUAGACAACGGUGUUGAUGGUGGUUUUGAAAAAGAGGUUUUGAUGGUGGUUAUCUGGAUUUUCUCUGGAUUUUUUUUUAUGAAGGUGAUGAAUGAGGGAAAGAAAGAAGAUGAAGUAUGGGAUAUAAUGCUAGAUGUUGUUGGUUCACAGUAAGAUACAGUGGACAUGCAUGAUCUAACAAUCUUUCUUUAUUAAAAAAGAUCAAACGGUUUAUAUUAAAAAAAAUAAUAGGAUCUAUAGUGGACCAGGGGGUUCACCAUAGAUAUUUGAGGUUAAAGUUAAUUUAUUUGCAAACUGUGGGAAAAGUGAAGGACUAAAACGUGAGUUUUAUUAAUUGUGAGACCAAAAUAAAACCAAAGAAUUAAAUAAGCCUUUUUUUUUACUAAAGCUAAGUUAUAACUUAUAAGACAUUGCAAAAAAAAAAAAUUAAUACCUUUAAACAAUUUAUCUGAUCCAAAUGAAAAAUAUUAUCUAAAAUAAAUCAUAAUUUGGUUGAUCACAAAUGAAACAUUGUUGUAGUUCAUCGAAUCUAUAUAAAAGUAUGAAUUUAUAUAAAAGAAAGAUAUUUACAAUAUAAAAAAUCAAUUGAAUGAAUUUAUUAUUAUUUUUUAAGAAAGAUUUACUAUUUCAUAAAUAUACACACAUAAAAUGAUUAUUAUUAUUUUUACUAAAGUUAAAUUAUAAGUCACUGCAAAAAAAAAAAUAAAAAAAAUUGCUCACUAAUAACAUAUUUUUGCAUUCCAAUUUAAUUCAUAAAAAAUGUAUUGGUCAAGUGGUUUGGGAAAACAUUUCAAAUAAGUGGGUGCAUUUAAGUUCGAUUCCCACGAGUGAUAAUUUUAAUUUUUAAUGAUUUUUGCCAAAUUGUUCAACUAAAUUUGAAUGAAUGCAUGAUCUUUGGCAUUAAAUUCCAAAUUUGAUAAAAAAAAAAGAGAGUGAUUGGAUUAGAGGAGAAAUUUAAUUAUUGUGAUGGUUUAAAUUGUAAAAAAUCAUUAAUUUAAGAUGGGGUGAAUAUGCAAAUAAUAAAAUACAUGCUAAAUUUGUGCAAAAUAAAAUAAUAAAUAUUAUUAUUCUAAUGGAGUACAAAUGGAAAAUUUUGAUUGGUUUGGGUAAAUUGUCCAUGAGUUUUUAAAGGUAAUUUAGAAAAAACCUUAAAAAAUUGGUCUGUUACUUGUUUAGCGUACAAUUUAGCGACCGAUUUCAAAGUUUGGUAAAAUGCAAAGUUCACUAAAAUUGUGAAAAUGCUACCACGUUUUUUUCCCCCUCAUCUCAAUUAUCUACUGAUGUGAAAUGUUAUAUGUUAUUAGGAAUUCUCUCAGGUACUUAUGGGUCUGUUUGGUUAACCCCAAAAAAGAGCUUUUAGCUUCUAGCUUAUAGCUUAUAAGCUCGUUUGAUAAAAAAAACUCUGUUUGGUAACACUUUUUUACCAUGAGCUUAUAGCUUAUUUCACGAGCUUAUAAGCUAUUUUUCAGAAGCUAUUCCAAGUAGCGUUUGAGCUUAUAGCUUAUAGCUUCUCACUUUUUCUUCCAAUUUUACCCUUAUUAUUUCAUUUAAAUUGUAUUUUUAUCCAUUAUAAUUUUUAUAAUAAGCUACGUAAUAAAGACUACUAUCCCUUUAUUCCAAUUUUUGUAUAUAUAUCAGCUGGCCUUUUUUUUUUUUUUUGAAAAAAUAUAUACCUUCGUUUUUUUUUUACGAAACAAAAUAUUAUUAUUCUAUUAGUGUUACUUUUUUUUUUUUUUUGAGAUAAGUGUUAUUUUCUUUAUUCUCUGUUAUUAUUAUUACUCUAUUAGUGCUACUUUUUUUUUUUGUUUUUGAGGUAAAUGUUAUUUUUUUUAUAAAGUGGAAACACUUAAAUGAUAAUAAAUAUAAGAUAAAAUUUUAGUGAAUAAAAUUUAAUUUAAUUUAUAAUACAUAGGAUAUAUUAAAUUAAUAAAUUUAAAGUAUUUUUUUAAAGAAAAAUUAGUUUACAAAAUUACAAAUACUUAAAUUAAUGAUAUAAUUUUUAUUAUGAAUUAAGAAUACCCUUUAUGUCAUUUUACAUUUAUCAGCUAGUUGAACCGCUAUUUUUACCAAACACUUCAGUUAGCUUAUCAGCUAUAAGCUAUCAGCUAGCUUAUCAGCUAAAAGCUAUCAGCUAACUUAUCAAUUAUCCGCUAUUUUUACUAAACAGAGCCUAUGUCCACCGAUGUGAAAGGCAAACCAAAGUUUACUAAAAUUUCAAAAUUGUCACUGUGUGCAUCUUUCCCAUUAGGUAUUUUCUGUGCCGAUGUGAAAACCCCUGUUGUAAGAUGUAUAUUUUCUAGUAGUGGUUAUGCCAGCUUGUAGCCUUAGAUCUCUCCAAGGAAGAAAAAAGCUACUAAAAAAACUUGAAUUAGUAAGAAGAACUUUAGAGGAAAAAAAUCUCCCUAAAUUUAGUGACCAAAGUAUAGGGAAAAAAAAUAUUUUUCCAUCACUAAUUUUCGUCCCAAUUUUAUUUGUUUUAUUUUUAUAGUGAAAAUUCUACCUCAUAUAUUAACAAAAGAAUAAAGUUUAAAGGAUCAUCAAAUCAUCAGCACAUUAUAUCUUCACCUAAAAUCAUAAGACACUUACUAUAUGAAUCACUUUUUAUAUGGCAUUUGUUAAGAUAGACUCAUUUAAUUUUUAGAAGUACUACUUUAACAAGUUAAAACUAAAAUAAUAUAUAAAACAAGGGUUUAAGUUAGCAACUUUUGCAGGCAUUUGUUAGAAUAUAUUCACUCAUUUUUUUAAGGGACAUCCACUCAUUUUUUUUUUAGAAGGACUAUAUGUUAGAAGUGAUAAUGAAAAAUUUGUUAAUUAUACACACAGUAAGGUGCAUGUUGCUAAAAUACUCCAAAAAGCUUCCCCCAAACACAUAUUUCAAGGUGCAAAGUUCAAAUUCUUUUAGGAGAGUUGUAAAAUGAUCAUUAGUGUCGAGUAGUAGUAUGAAAGAUUAAGAAGUAAUUACCAUCAACAUUGGUAGCACUAAUCAACCUGAGAGCCACUGAACGGCCAAAGGAGGAAGUGUAGGUAUCAAUUAUAGAGCUAGUGAUAUCACCAACAACAUUGAAUCCACCUUUGAUUAAACCAGUGGCACUUUGAGCUGCAGUGAUUUCGUUGAUAUCCAAUACAUUCUUAUGCAUCAAUAUCACUGUCCCCUUCACCUUUUGGCCUCUGUUAAAGAUACUUUUCACCCCUGAAUACAUCUUAGUAAUUUACUGCUUUUAAUUUUGUAUUCUUUUGCAAAUUAAUGAAAGAAAAGUUUGUGGUUUGCAUGUUGCAACCAUCUCAUUAUUUAUAGGGCCAAAUUAAUGUUCUGAUUCAAAACUAUAUUAUUUUUUUAGAGACUGAUUCAAAUCAUAUGAGUCAAUGUUCUUUCCAUAUUUUAUCCUCAUCCAAAAUAAUUGAUCUACUUGUAAAAAAAAAACAUUUACCAAAAUAAUUUAUCUUUUUCAAUUUGCAUGCAACAUUAACGACUUCUUUUCUACUGUACAAUGGAAUUAAUAUCAUCAAUUUCAACUCAAUAUCUUCAAUUUUUUAUAUAUAUGGUAAAAGUUAAUACAUGAUAAAAGUACUUCAUUAAAAGCAAUCUUCUCUUUACUUUUAACAUAGGUGCAGUUUUUUUUUUUGAAUGAACAUAGGUGCAGUGUUAAAAAAAAAUGGAGUAUUCCUUAAACGAAUUAGUUGUCUUUUUUUAUGUGACUAAAAUGAAGUCGUCUUUGUUUAAACAUACUCUUCUCACAGAAGAUAACCAUGGUUCAGUGCAAUAAUAAUAAUAAUAAUAAUAAUAUUAGCAAGAGGACGUUGAGGACUAUAAUUUGAGAGGUAGGUAGGCGAAUUUACCGGGGCAAUAAUGCAAUGAGAAGAGCACCCAAUUGCAGUGCUUGGCCCCAAAGAUGUUCAAAACUAGACUAUUAGUGUGUGAAGAGAAAAACAAAAGAAGAAAAACAUGAUUUCUCAGUAUGUCCAGUUAUAUUCAAAUUUGUUAUAAUACAAUGUCAAUUGUUGAUUGAAACUAGAGAUUAGUUCAGGUAGCAGAUGAUGUCCUCGAUUAUGAUUCUCUUUCUUUGCACGAUUGACGUUGAGGAAAGAAUUUUCUCCCUCAGCUACGGGUUCCUGAAAUUAUUUAGUAAAAUGUUAAAUAGAGUUGUGUUUUUGGCCAAGAAGUGUAUGUAAACUAAGAUAAAGAGAUAAUGAUAAAUGGAUAAAUUAGCGAAAAAAAUAGCUUGUGUUUGAUUGUGUGUUGACUGUUAACUCGGUCUAAAGUCUUCAAGGUUGAUGUACUAGCCAAUAGACUCGAGAAAGAAUCGACCAACCCUCUUUCGGCUAAAAUAACACUUGCAUAACCUUCUAUCGGCUCGGAAAAUUCUCCCAACCAAAUGUCAUUUUGUGUUGCGUUAUCACUUGAAUUUCGAGUGAUGAGAUGACGCAACGUAAUUGAAAUGGUUACGAACAAUAUCAUCAUUACGUCAUAAAAGUAGAAAAGUAGUCGUUGGGAUGAAUCAAUUUGAGAUCUUUUGUGUAAAAGUAUUUCAUUACUCUCAUUUUUUUUUGGGUAUAAUUACUCUCAUUUUAACGUCUUCUACUUAUAUAUAUGAUUAAAUUUUGAUACAUUAAUAUGAGAAGAGUACUUUAUUAAAAAUAAUUUUAUCUCUCUUUCAUUUAUACAUUGUUCUUCAUCCAUGUGAAUUAGUUAACUAAAUCGGUUAUUUAUGAGGGAGAGAGUAUUUUUCUUUUGAACUAUAAUAUUUAUUUUGUGUAAACCUUCUGAUUUUGGGAAAAUAAACCGCUUUUUUUUUUUUAAAUAAAACUCUAAACUCCAGUUUUCAGUACGUAGGUAAGUUUGAAAUCAUCAAUUGAUCAUUGACAUGCAAAAACUAUUAGCAUGAGGCUAAGCGUGGCAGAUAAAAUAACAAUGAAUUUGUUUAAAAAACAGUAAUAAAGUACUGAAGGUAAAAUACUUUAUCAUAAAAAAAUAUAAUAAUAAUAUAUGUUGAUUGAUCAUAUUUUGACAAAUAGAUCUAUUGAGCUAUUGUUAAUUACAUUCUUACGUGUAUACAAAUAAAAAUAUUCCCUGUACGAGGUUGUCUUUUUUGUUUUUGAUUUUGAUGGUACGAGGUCGUCUUUCUUUCUUUUGUUUAAACAUACUACUUUUCUCACAUAAGGUAACCAUGGUUCAAUGUAAUAAUAUCAAUAAUUGUACAAGAGUUAAUUUAACCGUGCGAUUAUUGCACAUUACGAUGCUCUCCAUUUUCAAUUGUCACUAUUUACUUGUUAACAAAAUUAAAAAUAGUAGAAGUAGGACUAUACUAGAUUCAAUAAUAUUUUAACUUUUAAAAAAUUAAAUUCAUUAGUUUUGACCGUUUCCUAAUACAAUAUAUUGAUAAAUCCUUAAUCAAUGUCUUAAAUACACUUUUUAGUAUUUUUCUUAAAUUAAAUAGUAGGUCAUAUCAGAUUUUUAAAAUGUCACAUUCAAACCUAAAUAAUAAACCUACGACACGCCACAUGCUAGACAUUGAUCUUAAAAAUUUUGGUAGAUUAGACUUAGAUUUUGCAAAAUUUAGUUCGGCCUAACCUAUUAUAUUUUGAAGAUUGCUCUAAUCCAUGUCCUAAUUAUUCAUCCCAUUAAUUCAGCUGUUCAAUAUUUUUCAACGGCAAUUACUGCUACGGGCAUUUUUAAGACCAGUUCAUUUACUUUUUAAAUUGUUUUAAUAGCAAUUUUCAUUAUUAUAUGUACCCCAUAUACGCUUCCCAUGACGUCCAACGCUGACAGCAGCAUGCAAGUGCACUUCACGUGAUCUUGUUCCUUAUUGCAUAGUUAGUUUUUUAUUUUCUAAUUUUACUAUACCGAACUCUAACAUUUUCACACUCAAAGUUCUUGCCCUGUCUCCCGUUUUUUUCUUUUCUUUUUUUAACAAAAACAACUUAUAUAUUUUCAUUCAUCAAAUCAAAUUGAAAGUAAUACAAGAUGGAAUUAAAUAAAAGAUAUGAUGCCGAAUAUACAUAGAUGUGAUAUAAGAUAGAAUAACGAGCAUAUAAUUAUAACACUUAAUAAUAUAUGAGUGACAUAAUUUGUUUGUGUUCAAGCUAAACUCAUCUUAAAGUUUUGAAACUGUUCUACUAAUAAUUUAACUGUGCGAUUGCGCAUUACGAUGCCCUCCAUUUUCAAUUGUGACUAUUUCCUUCAUCGCUCAUAUGAAUUAGCUGUUAAAAGGUAGGUCGUAUCAGACUUUCAAAAUGUCAUAUUUAAACCUAAAAAAUAAAUUUAUGAUAGACCGCAUGCUAGAUACAGGCCUUAAAUUUUUUAACAGAUUAUCCUUAAGUCUUGCAAAAUUUAGUUCGACCUGCCUAUUUCAAAAAUUGCUCAAAUCUAUUUCAUAAUUGUUCAUUCGCUUAAUUCAUUGGAAGUUAACUGUUGCUCGAUAUUUUUCAGCGGCAGUUCAGAUCGGUUUAUUCAUUUUUUAAGUUGAUGUAAAUAGAAAUAUGUACCCCAUAUUCGCUUCCCAUGACGUCCAAUGCUGAUAGAAGCAGCAUGCAAGUGCAAGUGUAUUAUAUUACCGUAUAGUCGCUUGAAAUGAAACCACACACUUCACGUGAUCUUAUUCUUUAUUGCAUUCGUUUUUUCUUCACUAAUUUUACUAUCCCAAAACUCUAACCUUUUCACACUCAAAGUUCUUGCCCUCUCUCCCUCUUUUUUGUUUGACCAAAAGCAACUUAUAUUUUUUCAUUCAUCAAAUCAAAUUGAAAGUAAUAUAAGAUAAAAUUAAAUAAAAGAUAUGAUAACAAGCAUACGAUUUUAACACCCUUAAUAAUAUAUGAGUGACAUAAUUUGUUUGUGUUCUUGCCAAAUUUAUCUUAAAGUUUGGAAAUUGUUCUACUUAUAUCUACAAUUGGACAAAAUACCGUCAAACUUCGAUUGAUUGCUAGAAUUAUCCAUGAUGUCUUCUGCCACUAACUUACAAUCUAGUUCAAUUUUCACGGUUGAUAAUCCUAAUUCUCGAACAUUCAUAGUGAUAUGUCCGGUGAAGAUGAGAUAAAUAUGGGGGUGGUUCUCUCCGGGAACUGCAUUUGUUCUCCGGAAAUUUUUCUUUAAGUUGUAAAUAGAUCAUUUAAGUUGUAUAUUUAUCGCACUCUUAUCCUUUUAAAGAUUUGUUUGAAACUUAAAAACUUAAAAAACUUCAUAUAGGUGUAUUAAAUUAACAAUUUAAAAGAUCUAUUUGAAUUUUUUAAAAAAAAAAAAACAAAAAAACUUAAAGGACAUAUUUAAACCUUAAAAAACUUAACUGAUCAACCUAAUAUUUUUGUCAAACUCAUAAAAAAGCGUUCAUGGCAUACGGUGUUUUCCUUCCAUAAAAAUAAAAAAUAAAAAAUAUCUGAAUGUAUUUUUGUUUUACAAAACUCACAUGGCAUGUUGUAGGAGAUUUGAGAUGUGUGUGGGGGUGGGUGUAAAAUUCCAUAAACCUGAUAAAUCAAAAUUGUUAAAAGUGAGAGUAAAUUGGAAUGGAAAAUUUAAAAAUUGUGGAAGUGGGGAACCACGUAAAAAUAAACUUUUCCAACUUAAACCAUAUGAUAAUUUCUUAAUCUGUCCUCUCAUGUUAUCAGCAGUACGCUUUUAAUAGUGUUUUAUAUUUGAAAUAUACUGCCAGAAAUACAUUUAUGAUAAUAUAAAUUGAUAGAUUUAAGCAAUAUAAGAAGAUUCAUAAAUUAUCAAAACAUGCGCAAUGCUAAAGCCCACAACAUGCAGAUGCACAAAGGAGGAUUCGAUUUGUAGUGCAAAGUUGUUGGGGCAAUGAAAAUCGGAUUUAAUUUGUAUGUAUAGAUAGUAUAAAACUUGUUUACACAUGUAUCAAAUCAAAUUACGCCAUUAAAAUAUUUAUGGAGAUAUUUAAACAAUUCACUUAUAAAAACGACACUUUAUUCUAAUUUGAUUGGAUGGAUAUAUAAAAAGAAAUUACACUACUUGUUCAGAAAAAAAAAAAGAAAUUACACUAUCGGUGCAUAGAAAUGACACUCAUGAAAAUUACCCUUCCUACCAAACAGUAUAUAAAGUCUCUAUAUUAUUGCCAACAACCAUAAAUUAUUGAGGAGGUAGAGGUUAGCCAUUUUAGCACGUUUGUGUUAUUGAGAUAACAAAAUUGAAAAAAGUCAAAAAUUGAGUUAUUUAAAAUGUAGUAGAUUUUGAAAGAAAGAAAAAAAGUUCCAAUGAACUCAAAUUUUUGAGUUUUUGAGAUAACCAAUUAAAAUUGUUCUUGGGACGUAAAACACGCUGAGUAUUAGGGGUGUUCAAAUCCAUACCAAUCCAAAAUAAAACCGCAAACUGAUCCAAAAAAACCGAAAACCGCAAAAAACCAAAUAUUUUUGGAUGUGUUUGGAUGUUGUUUUGGAAAAACCGCUAUGAUCGGAUCGGAUUUCGGAUUGCGUUUUCAAAACCAAACCGAACCGCAAAAGUAAAUUUUUAUACUUAUUUAUUAUUUUAUUAGUAUUAUAUAUUGCACUAAUAUAUUGCUUAUUGAUAUUUAAUCUUAUAUAUUGCAUUAAUUUAAUCUAUAUUAUUACUACUUCAUCUAUUUCAAAUAUAAUCAAUCAUUUUUAUUGUGUAAUGUUAACUUUUUAAAUAAAUUUGUGUCAUAUUUUGUAUCAAACCUAUUAUUUUAUUGUGUAUGAGUAAUAUUAAUAUUUAAAAAAAAAAUUACAUGUUACACUUUGGAUAUCCAAAAACCGAUCCAAAUUAAACCGCAUAUAUUUGGAUCGGAUCGGUUCGGAUUUUUUUAACAUAAUCAUCCAAACCGAACCGAACCGCACGUGAUUUUUAUUUUGGAUCGGUUGAUUUUUAACCUCAAAACCGAUCCAAACCGGACCGCGAACACCCCUACUGAGUAUGUAAGCUUAAUAUUGUUUUUCUUUUACAAAAAGUAAAUUUAAGGGGGUGUUUCUAUCAAGUAUAAUAUUUACAUUUAUGGGAAUACAUAGGUACGGAAUGAGUAUAUCCAUAUUUUUUAUAAGAUUGAGAAAUCAUUAUUCUUAGGUAUCUAAGGUUCUUAGGAAUGAAAUAACUUUUCUUAACUUUAAACAAUCUUACGAAAUUAUUCCCAAGGUAAAGGAUGGAAAAGUAGGUUCCCAUCAAAUUUUGUACACUUUUUUUCUAAAAGAAUAUAACUUGCAAUUCCCCUAGGAGUGUUCAAGAGUGUGCCAAACAUUUUUUUUUUUUUUUAAAUACCCAUGAAUAGAACUCCCGUCAUGAUAUCUUUAACUGUGAUUCCCUUUCUUCAAGCGAUUAAUGGUGAGGAUGGAACUUUGUUUUUAGGUUUUUUUUGCUACUAGACUAGUUGGAAAUGCAUGUAAAAUAACAACGGCAGAAAAAUAAAAGUGAUAAAAUAGGGAAAAUAGUUUGUGAUUGAUUGAUUAUGUGUUAAAUACAUUGUAUAGAGUAUGUACUUAUAGGCAAAACUAUUUCUACUGGCCACAAGAUAUUACCUACAGUGUUUAACCUUGUUCGACUAUUUUCACGAGUAAGCAUCAGCUUUCCCACGCUCGACUGUCAGCUUCCCAAUUAAUGGCAUGACAUGUUGACAAGGUCCAUAAUGUUUAGUACCUCAUUGUCCAGAUCUGCUUGAGCUUUGACUCAAUAUGAUGUCUUCAAGACAAUCGACCUACCCUUGUUUGGCUAGAAUAACACUUGCAUAGAUUUCCAUCGCUUGUCUAUUGAUUUCAGCUAACAUGACAUAUAUAAUUACUUUUAGGUGUAAACAUAUGCUUCCUUGCGUUGCAUUUUCGAUUGGCUUCCAAGUGAUUGGGAUGAUGCAACAUAAUCGAACUGAUUGCGCGUGAACAAUGCGAUCUUUUAUGAAUGGAUAUGAACUAAUAACCCUGUCAAUCCAAUAACUCCAACGGUUACCGCAGUUUUCUCAAUUGGUAUGGUGAUAUCUUCGCCUAUUUGAAAGACGAUCUUUACGUAUAAAUAACUUUUUAUAGACCUGGAUUAUUCCCCAACUUUUCACCCUUUGUCGUUCUUUUUAUGUGGCUUCCUAUCCACUAAAUAAUUCAUGACUAUUACUUUUUCUACCCUGCUGCCUUCUCGCGCGCCCUGCAAAAUUUACUAAAAUACCCCUGGUCCGGAUUACAUAAUCCGGAGCAAAUUGUUAGUGAUAUCCGAAAAACGAAAUUCGGACCAGAUGUUAUGCGUUUUUUUGUGUCUUUCUUUGAUGUCAAGGGUUUCUGUUGACCGUUAUAUGAACCCCACACAAGUUGCAAUGUUAUUCCAGGGUUCAUACGAACAGUCAAUAAUGACCAUGACACCACUAACACCCCAAAAAAACUAAAAACAUUUGAAGAAAAUGGAAGAAAAGAGGUGAAAUGAAGAAUGAAGGUAUUUGUUGAAGAUGGAAGCAUGUUUAUAGCCUAAAACAAGUCCUAGGUCAUUAGUACAGUAAAUGAAAACGUGUUAGUGGUUGUAACCGUCCAAACCCACAUUAAUGGCUCUCUUUCAAAAGAAUCCAAUGCUGAAGCUUUCAAGAUUUUACAUUCCGGAAUAACCUUAGCCCUACAGAAAGUGCCAACUUUUCCCUUGUUCACCAUUAUCGCAUUAAUCCGGAAAAUAUAUUCCGGAAAACAAAGGUGCAUUUCAGAUUUUAUUUUCUGGAAUGCAACAAUGUCAUGGCCAGUGGUCUGCACCACACAUUUUUGUCGAUGGUCAGGUAAUAAAAAACGUGUUUUAUCACGUUUUUUGACUGCAUUUAUGGUCUCCCAACCGUUUUUGCCCCUCCCUAUAAAUAACCUUCCAAACCCCACAAUUUCUCACACCAUCCUCUCUCACCCUCUCCUCCUCUUCUUCCUUCUAAAACCAUCGUUUUUCAUCGUUGGCCUUUCAUAGAUAAGGGUCUCGUUGAAAACUUUCAAGGUUUGUAUGAACGGUCAAUGUGGAUGGAACAGUGCUGCAACGAAGUGCGGUUCAUCUGAGGGUCAUGUGGGUCAGUGUGGUUCUUAGCUUGGCCUAUCUGGGCGUAAGUUUCAGCACCCCCACCUCCCUCAGGGACAUUGUUUUCUUCUUCCUGCCUUCCUCUUCCCUCCUCCUCCUCCGGUUUUCCUCCAUUAGGGAACCUACUGCUAUGUCCUAUCGCAUAGUAGUGAUUAGGAUCUUAGGAGAUUAGAAUUAGGCUCUUAGGAUAUUAGAAAUAGAUUUAGGAUCUUAUAUAAUAAGCUUAAAAAGCUUGAAAAUUAUUGUAAUGUAUAGUUCAUAUAUUAAUAAAAUGAGUUAUUUUUAUGUUUGUGUCCUUUUAUUUCUGUUUUUUAUUUUAUUUUACGAAUUGUAAAGCUUAAAAUUGCAAAAGUUAUGGUAAAAUAUUAUUCCGGAUUUUCAAAUCCGAUUUAAAAAUACAUUCCGGAAAACGAAAUUCGGACCAAGGGUAAAAUUGAAAAAAAAAAAAAAAAAGGGUGUGCAAGGAAAGAUAUAGGGUGGAAUAGGUAAAACUCACAAUUCAUUUUGGUGCGUCCUUCAACCCUCAAACCCAAUAGUCAGAGAGCUUUGCCAAUGAUUAUUCUCUAGUUUUACACCCGAUAAUUUUCUUAAUCUUGUCAUUUUCAAGAUAAAAGACCACUAAUUCAGAAAACGAGAAUGAGAAGGGAAGUGGCAAACGAACUUUGACUCGUAAAGGCAAAUUAAAGCAUGACAAUGUCUAGAUAGGGGAAACUUAAAUUCCUAACAUUUCAUGGGAAGGUAAUAAUUGUCUCAAUCGAUUUCCAGAACUAACACUUCCUUCAUUUACUAAGUAAUUUCUUAUCCUUGUUUUUAAGAGUCUUUGUGCAAUUUUAUUUAAGGAUUUUUAGAAAAUUCUAAGGAGGUGCUGAUAGUUUAGUGAAGAGUCUAUGAUGUUUAGAGAAACCAUUUUAAGUCUUGUAUUUUCCUACCUAGACAACUCUAUAAAUGUCAUAAGUCUUUUUGUUAUAGACGCUAUGAGUUGAUUUUAUCACUAUGACUAGAAAAACUCAUUGGAUUAGUAUUGAAUGAUCAACUUCAAUGAUGUUGUUUGAACUAUAUGUAAUCGAUGAUGUCCUCUAUUAAUGCAAUCUGAAAUAUGCUUAUAAGGUAUACCUUGUGCUUAAUGAUUUUCAAUGCCUGAUAAACUCUGAAUUGAUUUUAAUUUAUAGUUCACAAUCAACACUUGUUUUUGUAACACGAACUAGGUAGUGUUCUUUAAUCAAUUUAUCUAGACAUAAGGUAUUAAUUAGUAUGGUCGGUAGUUUAACUGUCAAUGAAUCUUUUGAUAAAAUUAGUUUCACCUAAGAAAUUAGGGUUCUAUUUUAGAUAAAUGGGACGUCGAGGCAAGAAAUUGGUCGUGGUCUAUUUCUUUAAACUGUUGUGAACAUAGAAAUCAAAUUGUUAUUGUCUAGGAACUAGUAUUAUCAAAGAAAAUCUUUCUAUAAUUUAAUUUGCGAAACCAAAUCUUACGAAAACUCCCCCCAAUUUAACUUUUUAAUAAGUAUUGUUUAAUUGUCAAGUAUAAACAAUAAUAUUUGUGGAGAGGGAUCUUUAUAAACACUAUUACUUGAUCUGCCAAAGAGUCCAUCAAGCUUUUGGCGCCAUUGUUAGGGAAUCGUUGAUGAUCUCAACAAGGUAGCUACGCUCUACUUACAUGAUUUGUUUUUUUUUGUAAUUUAUUAUAAAAACAUAAAAAUAUUUACUUUUGGCUCUUUAAUCUUAGUGUGUGUUGUGCUAAAUAAAUAUUCUUGAGUGUUGUUAUGCGAGGUGGAAGCUCAGGUACCUUGUUAUUUGAUUCUGAGGUUGAGAAGAUUACAAGAGAAAACCAGAAAGAUUCUUUUUCUAUCUCAGUACCCCUCAAAUAAUCUAAAAAUACUAUCAGAGGGAGAACAUAGGCAUGGUUAGAGAUGGUUUAGCAAAGGAAACUCAAGUUUGAGUUUUCCCCCCAAAAUCCUAAAAUACUCUUUUUUUCCUUAUUCUUUUUUUUCUUCCAGAAUUAAUGAACGAUGGUGUGCAAGUCCUAUAUUUCACCACUUAUAUGUCACGCAGGUUCUAUUGUAACUUCUUUCAUUUAUUACUUUCGUUGUUCUUUUGCUUGAUCUAUUCUUUUUUCCAUGUCUAUUCUCUGUUCCGAUUUGUUUUGAUUUUGUGAUCGAUAUUAUCUCUACUGUUACUUCUUUCGGUUAUUGUAUCCCUUGGUGUUUGAUUAUGUUUCACAUUGAUAAACUUAAUAGUGUUUUUACUUUUUACUUGUUGAAGAGCUUACAUUUGUGUCUAUAGAGUUCUAUUGGAAGUAAAUUGUUUAUUUUUAUGUUUUCUUAUAUUUUUGUUUGUUUUUGUAUUCAACUUGGCUAUUGUAAUCACACCUCUGUUUCCGGUAGCUGAAUUAUUAUUGUCUAAAUUUGAUCAAAGGCAACCUAGCAAUUGAAUAAUCGAGCCUUGUCGGAAAGUGUCAUUGUCACCACUCAAUGGAUGAGAAACCAACAAAAAAGCCGGAUUAUUAGAAGAAUGAAUGUGAAAGAAUUGUUACCAAUCAUGGAAGUCAUGGGAGGUACAUAAAGUUCAACAAGAUCACAAAAGAAUAGCGUGAGAAGGAGAAAAAAGUUGUGCGAGAAAUCAGAGAGAAUUGAGGAAAAACUCAGUUGAUACCAUAUUUGAACCAUAUGAGACAAUUGAUUCCUGAAAUAAAAACAUUAAGGCUGCAUUUGAUACAAGAGGACUAGAAUGUUACAAGGUACAAACAGACACAAUAAUUCUUAUUGAUGUAAAGUAAAACAUUAACAAUAAAACAAACAUACAUAAUAACAUGAUCGUAAGUAGGAAGUGAGGGAAUGGAAUUCCUUCACAUCUGUUAUUCAAAGCAGCAACACAACAACCAUGAUCCACUUUAGAUGGAGAUACUAUUAGGAAUGCCUCGGCAAGUCAAUCCUUCCUCACUAGAAGGAUAAAGUAGAGUAUAUGGCAUCUUCACUGGUCCGUACCGAUUUCUCAAUGUCUCAUCAUUGUUCCUUUGAGUGAGUUUCUGUUCAAUUUCAGCCAACUUCUUUCCAAACCUCUUGAAGGCUUCUUUUGGUUGUGAAUCUGAAGUCCAAUUGUCACCUUCAAUUCUAUCUCCAAGGUAUUGCUCAUCAGAAGCAUGCCUUGACAAGACCUCUAUAAUGGUCAAGUCAGUAAGUGUAUCAUUCUUUGGUGUGAUUGUCCUCAAAUAAGACUUCUGGUAGUCCUUAGCAAGCUCAUCAUACUCAGGUGAUCCUUUCUCAGGCAUGAAUCUUCUACUCUUUGUUGGCCGGUUAAGGAUAUAUCCUCCAUAUGGAUAUUGUCCGAAAUUAACAGCUGCAUGAAGUGCUGAAGCAAUCCAUAUAAGGAUGGUGGAAGCUUCGAUCAACUCUUCACGGGUUUGCAUCUUAAACCACCAUGUGGCAUUCUUCAGGUCACCAUGACCAACCUCUACAAGUUCCUUCCAGAAUGCUUGGAGUUCAGCAUCUUGUGCAAUGGCAGCAUCAGACUUGUAAUAGAAAUUCACAUAUUCACCAACCCAUGACUUAAUGGCAGCCCAUAUUUCUAGUCCAUCAGAAGCAUAAGGAUAAUCCUCUAUCAGAAGGCGGAGACCGGUAGGAGAGGCUGGAUCCUCAACAGCUACUCCUCUAAAUAACAAGCAAGGAAGAAAUAUUAACAUACAAAAAAUAUGUUCUAUGGAGUUAUUAUUAAUUAAAGUGAUUUUAAUGAUCAUUUUACAACUGUUUUAGAGGAGAUUUAAGCCCGUAUAACAGAAAUUAUUAGUUAGAGUUUGUUGAUAAAAAAUUGACAGACCAAAGAUGUAAGGUUACCUUUUGAUUAGAUCGUUAGGUAGUCCUUGCUCAAUGAAAUUCCAAUCCUUGUAAACAACAGCAGACAUUUCCAAAGCAUAAUUUCCCCACAAGAAGGUUGAUUCUAUAAUACCCUCUGCAUUGACCAAGACAUUUCGUGCAAGUGCAUUUAUGUUCAUUGUGUCACGGUAGUGAGGAAGUAAAAGUUUAUGAAUAGGGUGAACCACACUAAGAUGCCUGUUUGUUGCUAUGAUGAAUGGCUCAACAACAGCGUGGGUGUUCAACCUGUCACACAUGUCGAUAUUCAUGAAUUAAUCAUAGAUAGGUUAAUUAUGUUUGAUUGUGUAUACGUGAUUAAUGAGAUUCAUACCAAUGGCUGACAAGUUGAUGAUAGCAGGAGUCAUUUACAACAACAAAAGCCUUGGCAAGGAGCCAAAUUGAAGCUUCAACACCUUCACUUGCGGGCAAGUAAACAUUGCUAACAGGACCAAAACUAUCACCUUGAGGGUGUGGCCUGCUUAGUUCAAUGGCCAGUGGCUUCAAAGUUCCAUCAUCUUGCAAGAAAAGUAUGGUUCUGGUAGCAUAGGCCUUUGUCUCGGUUGCAUUUAUUUUCCUCAAAUAUGGAAAGAGUGGGUCGUGGUGAUCAAGUAUGUACAAUCUAUUGUCUUGGAUAGCCUGUAUGACAAAAUAAAAUUUAGCUACUGUGGUUUACUUGAAUAAAAAAAAUUCAAUCAUGGAGAAAAAUAUUAAUCAAACUAAGUCCAUGAGGUGUCAACCCAGUGGUUAAAGUCGACCUUAUAACCUCAAGGGAUAGAUUUCAAAUUUUCUCCCGGACGAAAUUCACGAACGCCACUUUGGAAAAAAAUAGAACUGAUCAAAUAUGUCAUUACCUGUUCUACGGUGACCCCACCCAUGUUUGGCUCCAAGUUUUCUUUGGUUAUGGUGCUGGUAUUAUCACCAAAUUUUUGGCUAUCUAGCUUGCUCUUUGGUGGAAACUCCUGUAUUAAAUUUAGCAAGCAAUAAUGUCACCAAUUACAAAAAUAACAUAAUGUUUACAAAAUAGUCUUAGUUUUAUUUUUUUAAUUUCUUAACAAAGUUAAACUAUUAGCUUUACCGAAAGUUUUUUGAUGAUGUGUGGGUUCACCCCAGCAAUCAUCUCCCUUGCAAAUUCCUCAUCAGUCUGCCAUGCAGAAUGGUCCACUGUUCAUAUUAAGAAAUUUUCAAAAGAUCCAUUAGAUUUCUUUAUAUGAUUUUGUAUAAAUAUAUUACUGCAAGGACUAGGUAUUAUGAUUAAUAUAUACCUUGAAUCACUUUUGGUGGUGGAAACUUAAGUGCUUGUUCACCAUCAGAUCGGAAAAGUUCCUUGAACAAUGGUAUUGGACUAAUCUGGCUUAGUACAUCAGUAGGAAGCUUAAUUCCACCCUCGUAGAGAGAGCGCACAUCUUGAAAGGUGUUAAACUCAGGGUUAUUGAGUUGUAAUGUAACUACAGAUCUCAGUUGAGGUAUGACAUUUUGAGAUGCUGAUUUGAGUAUGUAAACAAGAAAGUCUGAUGACUUUGUGUGUCCAAAAGAUUCAUCUCUUGGAAGGUAAACAGUGGGACUUCGAGUCUCACUCUUAGGAUCUGUUCAAAUAUAUAAUAACAAUAUAUGUUUUAGAAACAAUACCAAAAUCUUUAGAAUCAUAAGCAGGGUAAACAUUUGGAUCAACCAAAAAAACACAUGUUUAGUCCAAAAUCUGACAGAAGUGUUUGUGGCCUAACCUGUUUUAGUUUUUCUUCUGCCAGUUCUUCCCCUUCGAGGGUAAGGGAAAUCGCUUGAUCCCCCAAGAAUUUGACGCGCCAAUUGAGGUUUCGAGUCAGGCUCACCCAAAUCAUUGUAGACAUCGUAAUCAUAUAUUCUUUCCCAUUCCUUGCGCUCUCCAGUUCCAUCUCCUCUUAAAGUCUUCAAUUCUUCUUGUCUGUAGUACACUAAUGGAGCCGGUGUUUCACUUGGAAGGUAUGUCUACAUAAAUUUAAUCAUUCAAAAUAUCAAGUUUUAGGAAAUAGGCUUAAUAUUCAGCAAGCUAUAUAGUUAUUAUGAUAAAGUGGAUUUGUGAUUUGAGACAUCAGAAAGAGAUUGGGAGUUGCAAGUUCUCAACUCCCUCUACUCGCAUUUCUAAAAACUAAUUACUAAUAUUUGUCGUUAUAAUAGAAAUAACAAGCUACAUGUGUAAUAGAAUUUUUAUUCUUACCUUGUUGGCAAAGAAGAUGCGGUCGGUUUUGUACUUUUUAGAAUUGUAAAUCCAUGAGUUGCAGACAAAGUGGAUGGAUCCAUGGUUUGGAACAUCUUCAAGUGUCAAACUCACAAGGAAGAAUUCACCUUGCAUAAAAUUAUCGAUGUAAAAAGCUCCGGGAAUUCCCAUGUUACUGUCCCAUUCAAAAUGAAUACUGAAAGCAUUUUGUUUGUCUCCCAAUGUUGGUAUGGAGGUAAGAAGACCUUCCAGAAAUGUUUCCUUUCCCACUUUUCCUUUUCCAGCAGCUAUAUUAAAAAUGUCAAAUAUUAUUAGUUUCUCAAUUUCACUAAUCCAUGAUUUUCAAAGUUUAAUUUUAUUCUUUUACAGAUCCAUUUUUCUUUUUACAUGAUCAUCAUCCAUCUUGCCUGAGUUAUAUCGAAGGGAAAUAAUUUCAAUAUUUUAGUGGUAAUUGAUUGUACCUGAUCAUUUAUAACCAAUAUUCUACAUCAAAAUCUCCAUUGCACAUUUUUAAUUUAAUAAAAAAAACAAAAGGGAAAAUAAGGUAAAUCUUAAUGGAUUGAUGUAUCAAAAACUCUUCUUGAAUAAUAGGCUGGCUUGGUGGUGUGGUGGAAGAGUUAUGGAGUAAUUAAUGCAGUCUGAGUUCAAUUCUUACAUCUAGCAAAAACUAACAACCGACAUAAUACUCAUUCGAUAUUAUUUAUAAGAAAUAAUGAAUUUUUUGAUUUAUUGAAUAAUUAAUGUAUAUGAUAUAUAUUCUAGAUCGAAUACAUAAAUUAUUCAAUGAAUCUAAAAAAUUAAUUAUUUCUUAUAAAUAGGAUUGGAUGAAGUAAUAUUUAUUGCUUAAAAAAAUAAAACUCCUCAAUAUUUUGUUGUUAAAUCAGAGAUAUCCUCCACGUGCAAAUGUCUGUCACUUAUGUUAUGUCACACAAUGUUGGUAAAAGAGUCUAAGUAAAGAGAUCAUAGAAGUAUGAAAAGAAGCAAUUUUAAAUAGAAAAAGAUAGUAGAAUUUACAAUUUUAAAAAUCUAAUAAGACAGAAGUUCAAAUAUAAAGUAUAUAGAUGGGGAUGUCAAAUUUUAAAUAGCUUAUGGUACAAGAUUAAUUUAAAAAAUUUAAGUGAGCAUGUGCACCCAUCACGUAGAUCCAUACAUACCAAAUGACAAAGAUAAAGUCCAAAACAGUUGCCAAACGCCAAAUAUCACACUUAUUUGCAUUAUAUAUACUUCUUUUUUUACAAAACCAUUAGAUAUACUCCCUUUAAUAUACAUUGGAUAUAAGUUUUUAUAUAGUCAUUUUUUAUUCCAAUAGUACUAUUUUUUCCAUAUCAUUUUAUUACUUAAUCAAAUGUCCAAAUUAUUUUAAAUAGUUACUUAAAUAAUUUCAUAAUUUCUUUAUUUUAAUUAAGAAGAGACAACGAUGAAAUUUUUGUCUGUCAAGUAAGGAUAUAGUUUUGCAGUUAAUAAAAGAAUAUAAACACAAUUUUUUUCUUUUCAUAAAUUUCAUCAAAGAAGGUAAUCAAUCUUAUUCAGAAUCCGUCGAUCAGACACUAAAUGUGAUACCUCUCUCAAUCAAGAUUCUAAAAUCAUUCUCGUCCGUUAGAUCCAAUUACUUCCAUUGGUGUACACAUAAUUUAAAUAAGUUAUAUCAAUCAAUUAAUUAAAAUGCCUAUUUCUUGUAUGAAUUAAACAUAGUGAGAAAGGUCCUCGUGAACUAGCUCAAUUGAUAGAGACAUAUAAUAUAAUAUAUGCAGGGGUUGAAGUCCGAACCCUAAACAUCCGACUUCUCCAUAUUUAAAAUGUGUGAGCUCCCGUCACUGGGUUAAUUGACAAAAAGAAAAAUAGAGUGAGAAAGAGAAAUGAGUUAUUACCAUCAGCACUUGUAGCACUAAUCAACCUGAGAGCUAUAGAACGUCCCAAGAAGGAAGUGGCAGUAUCAAGUAUAUUGCCAGCAACAUCACCAACAAUACCAAAGGCACCACCAAUGAUACCAGUAGGGCUUUUAGCAGCAGUGAGGGCGUUGAUAUCCAAAGUAUUCUUUUGCAUCAACACCACAGUUCCCUUCAACUUUUGGCCUCUAUCAAAGAGACCUGUUACACCAGAAAACAUCUUUGAAUAUGCUUUAAAUGUAUUACACUAUAUAUGGUAAAUGAAAGAAAGGCUUGUGUCUUGUAACCAUAGGGGUGGUUAGUAUUUAUAGUAGUUGAUGAGAUUAGGAUCACAAUGUUAUAGUUCAAAUGAGGUGAUAUUUUUAUUCAACUACUCAUUUACAACAUGGUGGAAUGCAAUUGGUCACGUCUUAUGCUAAUUUUUUAUUAUGAGUGAUUAUCUCGUGGUAUAUAAAAUAAUAAUAUAUCCGAUUGCAAAAUUAUUUUGGUAGUUGUUAUAUGUGCCAGCCUUGGCAUUAUGUUCAAUAAUAAUGACUCUGUUUGCUCUAUUGUUAAUUAUUACUACUAUCUUACGUGUCUGCAUUGGUUUUCUCGAGUUUUCUCAUAUUUUUUAAAGUGGGAAAAUCUCUACCCUUAAAAUUCAUUUCUUUCUUAUUUUAAUUUCAAAAUCUCUCCUCUUUUUUUUUUUUUUUUUUUUUUCUUUUUCUUUUUCUUUCUCUCAUACUAUCAAAUCAAGAUUAGGAUUGGACUUGAGAUACAUUUGCUUAGUCACAAACAUAAAAAUGAGUCAUUUAACACACACAAUGUAAUAAAAAAAAUUGAUUUGGUGUUGUGGUCUAAUUUAACACUUACUAUAUAAGUAUUUCUCCAUCCAAAGAUGGAUCCAAAAAUCUAUUAGCAAUUUUAGUUCACGGCCUAAUUUAUUCUCUUGUUUGGGAGUCUUUUGUAACAAUUUUUGUUUUUUUAUUUUGGGUUGACGGCAAGACCUUUGUCUUUUGAUGUAACUAUACUCUUUUUCCUUGUUCUUUUGGCACUUUCUGUGCUGGAAUAGCAGAUAUUUUUCAAAUAUAAGCAAUCAACGUUUGUUCUAGGGCGCUCUAUAUAUGGAUAAUGUUAUCAGCCACGUUUUUGACAUUUGCAUCAAUUUUUUUCUUUAUAAAUGAUGAAUAAGACAUGUAUUACUAAUGAUGGUUGAUAUUCCAGCUAUCAUGGAAUCCAAGUCGCCAUAGUACAAUGUUUUUAAAAUCCCAGCUAUGUUGGCAACCCAAAACAUCGUGUGUCAAAUGCGCCACAUCUUAUAUAUUAUUAAUAAUAAAAAAUACAAAAACGAAAAAAGUUGAGUUAAACUCAACAAAGCUAAUUAAAAUGAUAGGUAUGCAUACCAAACCUAUCUAAAAAAACCACUGAUAAUAAAACUAGGACAUAUAUACCACCAUUGAAAAUCUCCAAUUAGUUUACAAAUAUCAACGAAAAAACUUCUCCUUUUCCUCUUGUGACAUAGAUGAUCUCCAGUAGGUUUCUGCGUUUUUCCUCUUCAGUUUCGUGUUUUGCUGCUUGCGUUGGGGGUGUGAAAAUUAAACACUGAUGACUUGUGAAAAAAAGAAGCAUAAAGGGCUGCUGGACUAAAGUCUGAUAAUUGUUGGUCCCUCUAUUAUUUUUGUUAUAUACACCCCUCUAUAAACGAUUAUUGUUAUAUACACCCUCGUAUAAAAAAAUUAGGUCCCUAAAGGCAUGGGCCCUAGGCUGCCGCACCCCAUCCUAUAUCUAUGGCUGGCCCUGAAUGUUAUCGUUGUAAUAGAAGUGGUUUAAUAUAUAAAAUGAAAGACAUAAGGUAAAUAGGGUAAUGUUGCAUUAAAAAUGGAUGUUGGUAAGGCAUGUGGCAUUGAUAGGUCAUUUGAAAGAAAUUUUGAUGAAGAUGAGGUUAUGUCAGUAGUGAAUGAACUAGAUAAUGAUGUGUAUUAAAAUGGUGGAUUAUUCCAUUAUUGUUAACAAUGAAAUCACAUGACCAAUCAUACUCGGACGAGGCCUUCAUCGGAGAGAUUCUUUGUCUCAUUGUUUAUUCUGUGUGCAGAAGGCCUAUGUGCUCUUAUUAAGUAUGUCGAGGCUAGUGGAGAGCUUCAUGGGGUCAAAAUUUGUCGAAACACUUUGAUUAUUACUCGAAUUUUAUUUGCAGAUGACUACUUUCUAUUUUUCAGGGAAGGUGAAGCGCCGAGACUCAAAAUAUGAAGCAAAUUUUGAGGUUGUACAGAGCAACGUCUGGAUAUUACAGCUUAAAUGCCCAACAAUCCCUUCAAAAUGCUUUUACAACAACCUUAGGGGGGUCAGGCGGUGUUAUGCACAAUGAAGUACAUCGGACUACCCUCUAUGAUUGGUAGAAGAAGGAAUGUUACGUUCAGCUUUCUCAAAGAUAUGACUGGAGCAACAAGUAUUUGUGAAAGGAAGAUAUAAUGAUAAAAACAUGUACUGCAAGCAAUACCAUCUUAUGGAAUUAGAAUUUUCUUACUUUCUACCAUGUUCUUUGAUGCCAACGAAAAGAUUAUUAACACGUACGUACUGGUGGGGUCAUGGUGGUUCCACAAUUAGAGGUAUUGACUGGUUAUCAAGGGACAUGCUUGUUGUCUACAAAUUUUUUGGAGGUUUGGGGUUUAAAUACUUGACGUCAUUCAACUAAGCAAUGUUAGGAAAACAAGAUCGGAAAUUCCACACACACUUGGACUGUUUGGUAUCAAGACUGUUCAAGGCGCUCUAUUUUCCUCAUGGAAGCUAUCUAGACCGAAAGUGAUGACAGAGCACUAUAUGACAUUUUGGGCUAUGUUUUUAGUACUUUUAUUUGCAUUUGAAGACAUAUAAGUUGAGAGAUAGAGGAGUUGUUAAUGGUUUGGGAAACAUAUUGUAUUGUUUUCAAUCGAGCCGUUGUUCUUGAUGCUUGACAGUUUAAGGAACCUCUAGGGUAUGUUUUUUAAACAUCGUUGUUCCUUGAUUGAGGAACCUCUAGAUAUUUCAUGAAGUGUAAUUCCUUUAGAUGACAAUUUAAGAGUCACACGGGAUGUUGCAGUCAAAAGAUGUGAUCAUGGCUUUCAUAAUUGAGUUAUGGAUAAAACGACAUCUGUAGGAAUAUUCUCUCUAUAGUAAACCACCGUUUAUGUAAUUUUUAGGUUUUAAUUAAUAGGUACUUUGCAUUAAUCCAACAAAGAGGGAAGAGGGAAGAGGGGAUUCAAGGAUUCCCUAAUCACCGUUAUACAUCUAAAUCACACAAACAUAAUCUUUCUUUGGAUAGGGAAAUUUAACCAUGCAAAUCUUUUUUUCAUCUCUUUUCUAUUUUCUUUCUAAUAAGUUUUGCUAAUUACCGAAAAACUUGCUACUUUAUUAAUUGUUAUGAUUUGGUGCACUUGCCAAUUUCGUCCUUCAGAAAGCUUGGACAUAAAUCAAAGCUUUAGUUGGAGAAGAAUAUUUACCGCUAAGAGAGUAGUACAAAAAGUUGCUCGGUGGAAGAUCAGAUCGGGUACAAAGUUUCAAUUUUUUAUGCUUUGUGGGUAAAAGAUGGGACAAGUAUUCUAGGAGAUGGUCAACCUCUCAAGGUAAUUCAACAGGCUAAAGUGCACAAUCUCGUUGAUCAAGAAUUUCCCGUAUAGAACAAUCAUAUUGUAAACCAGUGUUUUGAUCAACUUAUAAAUGAGCUCAUUCUGAGUACUCCUUUAAUUGAGUCUGUUAAAGAAAGAUAAAUUAAUUUUUAAAUCAAAGAAAAAUGAACAUUACUCGGUAAAAAUUGUGUACAAGAUUUAUACAUAAAAUAGUGCAGGCAACUCAUAUUUAUGUCAGUAAGGUCAUUGGCUGGAAUUUAGAAGUUAAAGGUGCAUCCCAAAGUGAAGGAUUUCAUUUGGCUGAUUUAUCAAGGUUGCUUACCGACGCGUGUAAGGCUGAAAGAUCGAAGUCUCCAUUGUCUGUCUAUUUGUAUGAUGUGCACCGGUAACUAUGGGGAUGCAAUGCAUAUAUUGUUUGAUUCUCCGUAAAUAGGAUAUGUAUAUAUUUUUCUCAAGUGCAUUAAUUUUAUCAUUCAUAGCUCCAGCCCAGUUUAUAUUUUUAAAUGUUUCUUCAAUAGAUGAUUUGAUUCUCACAUAAUCAACGGCAACAAUAAAACUUUGAUUGUGUGGAAAGUUGUUUAGUGGAGACAUAUUGAGAAAUAUGUAUGAUAUCUAUAUAUAGAGGGACAGAUCGAUAACAUUUGCAAUCAUCUACAACAGGCCAUGUUACCCAAGAACAAUCAUCAAUAAAAGAAACAAACCACCUUGCCCCAUAAAUAUUAGAAACAACAAGAAAUAUUAGAAACAGGGGCCGAUCGGCAGACAUCAAAAUGAAUAAGAUCAAAUGGUUCAACACUUUUACGAAGAUUCAACGAAAAAAGUGGUAUGUGUACGCUUAUAAAAUGGAUAUAUAUAUCACAUUUAAAAGACUAAAUCGAUUGCAUUAAAAAACAAAGAUGGAAACAUAAACUUCAUUAGUUGAAAAUGAGGAUGACAAAGACGUUUGUGCUGAAGCCAAAUUUGAGAGGCAGAAUAAGACUCUGACUAAGACUGAAGUGCAGAAGACAACACCUUCUGAUCAAUUCGUGCAUCAUACAAAUAAUAUAGCCCUCCUUGUUCCUAAGCAACUCCAAUCGUCUUUCCCAUUACAAGAUCCUCGAAAGCACAAUGUGAAUCAAAAAAUAUUACUGCACAAAUAUUAUCCUUUAUAAGCUUACGAACAUAGAUAAGGUUAUUCCAAAGACAAGGAACAUGAAGCAUAUCUUUCAACUUAAAAGGUUCAAGGUUAAUUUCUCCACAACCAUCUACACGAGUAUGAGAACCAUAUGCAGCCGCAAAAAAGAAUGUCAUAUGAAGAAAUUUACUUCAAAAAGGCCAAGAACCAAUGUCAUAUGAUCAAUAGCACUAUAGUCAAUAAUAUAAUCAACAUUUCAAGCAAAAACCACAUAUAACUAUUUUCAGUCACAUUGGCUGAUAACUACAAAAGAAUCUCCUCAAAAGAACAACAAAAAGAAGAGGCUUCAAAUAACAAAAAAUAGGCAACAAGGUAAAAACCGUAAGUCGCAACAACGUAAAAUCACCAAAUAAAAGUCAAACUGAAUCACAAAGGGUCCUCAAAGAUGCUGGUAGUCACAAACAAGCACAAAACAACCGCUAUCAAUCAGUUAGUGUCAAGAGUACCCACGUAAAAUAGUAUCUUGGUCUUGGAUCAAGAUUUUGACCCCUUAAACGAACCAAUUAUGUGAAGACUAUAAUUUCUAGGAAUAAAUGGUGUCGAAUGGUGGUUCACAAGGUGGCAUGUGCAUCGCACUUGAUGGAGCUUCACUUUAGAUUGGGCCUCUGCUCUCAACUUCUCAAGUUCUUCUUCAAAAAGUAUUUGAGAACAAAUUUUUAUAGCCCUUUCGUUUAAAAAAUCUUUUUAGUUUUGCCAUAUUAGUUGAUGUAUGAUUCUUUAACUGUAUUUACAUUGGAAAAACAAUUGGCAGUGGAAAUAAAAUCAUUAUGAUCUAUUAUUGCUUUUUCAAUGUUAUCAUUUUUUUGUCAUGCUAUAUUGCAUAUUUGCAUUGAGAGCUUUUUUGUCAUGAAAUAAAAUAUGAAGUUUGCAUUUUAUAUACAAAGUAAAUCACACAACAAAAUAGAAACAUAGUAACUUUUAUUGAUGAAAUACAUUAUAACAAUCAAACAUGAUAGUUUUUAUUGAUAAAACACAUUACAGAAUUAAAAACAAACGUACAUAAUAACAUAACAUGACGAUAUACAUAGGGGGCGAGGGAAUUGGAUUCCUCCUCCUCUUUUAUUAAUAGCGACAACGCAACAACCACGACGUUUUUUAGAUAGAGACACUGUUGGGAAUGCCUCUGCAAGUCAAUCCUUCCUCACUAGAAGGAUAAAGCAGAGUGUAAGGCAUCUUCACUGGUCCGUUACGAUUCCUCAGUGUCUCAUCAUUGUUCCUUUGAAUGAGUUUUUGCUCAAUUUCAGCCAACUUCUUUCCAAACCUCUUAAAGGACUCUUUUGGCUGUGAAUCAGAAGUCCAGAGAUCACCUUCAAUUCUCUCUCCAAGGUAUUGCUCAUCAGAAGCAUGCCUUGACAAGACUUCUAUAAUGGUCAAGUCAGUAAGAGUAUCAUUCUUGGGUGUUAUUGUCCUCAGAUAAGACUUCUGGUAGUCCUUAGCAAGCUCAUCAUACUCAGGGGAUCCCUGCUCAGGCAUGAAUCUUCUACUUUUAGUUGGUCGGUUAACGAUAUAUCCUCCAUACGGAUAUUGUCCAAAAUUAACUGCUGCAUGAA